GUGCGGGCGCCGAAAUCCACGUGUGUUUCCUUGAUAAAUCCCAAUCAGCGUGGAAUUGAGCGCAGAUGUCGGAGUGACUGGGCCCGUCCCCGUUACGCCCUCCUAUAAAUAUGCAGAUUUAUUUAAAUAGGGUCUCCCUGUCCUCGCACGCAGACAAAAUGACAAGAAAAACUAAAUUUACGGCGUGCGAGGUGGAGGUGCUGGUGGCGGAGGUGGAGGAGCGACGGCGUGUUUUGUUUGGCAGCCUGUCCAGUGGCGUCAGUGCAAAACGAAAACGCUUGGAGUGGGAGAAAGUUUGCGAGAGGGUGAAUGCGGUGGGUUCCGAGACACGCAACCCCGCGAAGAUUAAAAAAAAGUGGUCGGACCUCAAGGUGGAGGUCAAGCGGCGUACAGCUGCCCUCCGGAGGAGUACCGGCCAGACAGGUGGGGGUCCGGGGAGGAGACCCUCACGACGUUUGAGCAGCGGGUGGUGGCGAUUAUUAUUAUAGGGUAAGUGGCGUGUCACACAAAUGUCCACAUGCUUUGCCAUCCCACUGAGCAAAAGACGUAUAUUAGACGUCUAGUCUAAGUUUAUACUUCAUUUCAACGUCGGGAUUCAGUCUAUUUUUAGACGGGAUUUAUACUUCGCCCUCAACUUCAUUUUUGAUAACUUUUUAUGCAAUAAACAACCGUAAUGUGCAUAACUGAACUCGAAAUACUGGAUUACAUUACCUAUGAUACCGUGGAGAGAGAUGUAAACGCAACAGAUACACAGAAGCAGGAAUUGAAAUGAACAAAUAUUUUUAUUGUGUCACAGAAAUCAAUGUGUCGGCCGUGUCGCCGGCUUGCGGAACCCCGGCCCGCGGCAGCCCGUCCGCCGGCUCGGAGUCGUCGGCCAGGACCAGCGGCAUUCGGGCCACCCCGGCCCCCGGCCCCAGCACCAGCACCAGCACCAGCAUCAGCACCAGCGCGCCGAAAAGCGGUGGAGCAUCCACCAGCCGCAGCGCUUCCGCUGGACCACCCGGACGCGGGUGGUCCUCGCGGAGGGGGUCCUGCAAUCACAGGAAGAAAUCAUCAGGGGGAUCGCGGGAAUCAACGAGCGGCUGGACCGGCUCGUAAAUGUACUCGAGCGUCUGGUGGAGAAAAUAAAUUAAUUUGGCUCAUUGAACUGUGUAUUCACUUCUUACCCAUUCACACUGUGGCGAUGAGAUUCUCCCGUGCGAGGACGGCGGCCCGGCAGGGAUCAGCUCGCAUCCCUCCGUCUGCUGCUGGUUCGUCAUGUGGGGCGAUGUGCUGCUCGGCCACGGGGAUGUGGUGCACGCUUGUCACAUAGUGAGUCACCAAACACCGCCACACAGCGUCGCCAAAGUGCGAAUCACAGUCAACGCAAGUGUCUGCUCAACGCCAAUUUCUACACCACCUCCUGACUUUGCGUUGAUUAGCGCUGGAACCGACGCUCGUUUCGCGAUGAUAAAUCUGGACGUGUGCGCCGAUUUUGGCGUACGCAAGGUUUUCUUGCGCCGCAAGCGUUGAUACAUGAGGCCCCUGGUCUCUUCCUACAACACUGCUCUCACCCUUAGCCUGGACUCUCUCGCCCCCAUCAAAACACUGACAGUUUCAUUCAACCGACUGGCUCCCUGGUUCACUCCCGUGCUCCGGGCCAUGAAGUCCACUGGCCGACGGCUGGAGAGGCUCUACAAAAAAUCUGGCCUCACCGUCCACCUUCUGGCCUUCCACGACCACAUAAAAAACUACAAGGACACUCUCUCACAAUCCAUAACCCAGUACUACUCCACCCUUAUUGGGUCUCAGGAGAACCACCCCAGAAAGCUGUUUUCCACAGUGAACAAGCGUCUCAGCCCCCUCCCACCCAUUCCAGCCUCUGGUGAUUCCGACCUCUGCCAUAGAUUCCUGAACUUCUUCCAGGACAAGGUGGAUACCAUCCAUCGGCAGCUCCAGACAUCCACCACCUGUCUGCAUACACCUCAGCUGCAGGACACUGCCCCCUCUGCCACGUGUCCCCCGUUCACCUCCUUCACUCCAGUGGAUGAAUCCCUUACCACCGAACUGGUCACCAAAGCCAAGGCCUCCAGUUGCUCCCUGGACCCUAUGCCCACCACGCUGGUAAAGGCCUGUCUACCGACCCUGGUUCCCAUCAUUACUAACAUCAUCAACUCCUCUCUGCUAUCCGGCACGAUUCCCACCAGUUUCAAAACCGCAUCUGUCACCCCCAUACUGAAAAAGCCUGGUCUGGACCCCGACGACCUUACCAACUACCAGCCGAUUUCUAAUCUCCCGUUCCUCAGCAAGACCCUGGAAAGAGUAGUCGCCGCACAGCUCCAGCAGCACAUGUCCGACCACAAACUCUCCGAACCCUUCCAGUCUGCCUACAGAGCGCACCACAGCACCGAGACUGCCUUGGUCAAAAUCAUCAACGACCUCCUCAUCGCGGUUGACUCCGGCAACAUCAGCAUCCUCAUCCUGUUGGACCUCUCUGCAGCCUUUGACACAGUCUCUCACUCCAUCCUCCUCAACCGCCUCUCUACGCACCUCAACAUCACUGGAUCCGCGCUCUCCUGGUUUCACUCCUAUCUGUCCAACCGCCUGCAGUUUGUCUCCAUGCAUGGUUCCAACUCCCACCCAGCCCCAGUUCAACACGGAGUCCCACAGGGUUCCGUACUUGGUCCACUCCUCUUCACCAUAUACAUGCUCCCGCUCGGCCAGAUCAUCUGUAAGCACGGCCUUGAUUUCCACUGUUACGCCGAUGAUACACAGAUAUAUCUCAGCACCACACCCACCACUCUGCUCCCUCCACUCCCCAUUGUCAACUGCCUACAAGAAAUAAAAACCUGGCUGAUCACCAACCUACUCCAACUCAACGCCAAGAAAACAGAGCUCUUGCUCAUGGUUCCCAAGGCACUGCUUUGCAGAGUGGGUGAUUUCCUCCUCCAUACUGACGGCUGCUCCAUCUCCCCAUCCUCCGAGGUGCGCAACCUGGGCGUCAUCUUGGACUCUGCCCUUUCAUUCAAAACCCACAUUAAAUCCGUAACUAAGUCAGCCUUUUUCCACCUUAAGACCAUUUCCAGACUCUGCUCGUCACUCUCAGACUCUGUCGCAGAAACCCUCAUCCAUGCCUUUGUAUCCUCCCGCUUAGACUACUGCAACGGUGUCCUGUUCGGACUUCCUAAAAAAGACCUAGAUCGUCUACAGUAUGUCCAAAACUCAGCUGCCAGAGUGCUCACCUGGACCAAACCUUGGCAGCACAUCACCCCCACCCUCAAACGCCUCCACUGGCUUCCCAUCAAAUAUCGCAUCAUCUACAAACUCCUCCUGCUCACCUACAAAGCUCUCCAUGCCCUAGCCCCACACCAUCUGUCUGACCUCCUCAAGGACUACAUCCCGGCGCAUACUCUGCGGUCUGUGGACCUUGGGCUCCUCACUGUCCGUUAUGGGAAAAGGCGAUCCCUCUGUGACAGAGCCUUCAGUGUGGCCGCCCCUCCUCUCUGGAACUCUCUCCCCUCUGAGAUUCGCCAAUCACAGACUCUUGACUCUUUCAAGUCUGCUCUGACGCGACACUUGUUUAUUCAGGCUUUUGGUAUCUAUCUAGCGCUUUGGGUAUCUUGAAAGGUGCUAUACAAAUUUAAGAUAUUAUUAUUAUUAUUACAAGGCAGACUAAUCUCCAUCCGAAAUCCAUCCGAAGUCCGAUGAGGGUGGUGUCAUCCGCAAACUUGAUGAGCUUAACAGAAUCAUGGCUGGAGGUGCAGCAGUUGGUGUACAGGGAGAAGAGCAGAGGGGAAAGUACACAGCCGUGUGGAGAUCCUGUGCUGAGAGCCAGAGUGUCUGAGACAUUCUUCUCCACACACUGCCUCUGGUCCGUCAGGAAGUCUAUGAUGCACCUGCAGGUGGAGUCAGGCACAUGGAGCAGGGAAAGCUUGUUCUGGAGCAAAGCCGGUAGGAUGGUGUUGAAUGCAGAGCUGAGGUCCACAAACAGGAUCCUAGCGUAGGAUCCUGGGAAGUCCAGGUGCUGCAGGAUGAAAUGCAGGGCCAGGUUUAUGGCGUCGUCUACAGACCUGUUGGCUCUGUAGGCAAACUGCAGAGGGUCCAGGAGGGGGUCGGUGAUGGACUUCAGGUGGGAUAAAACCAGGCGUUCAAAGGUCUUCAUGACUACAGACGUAAGAGCCACCUGCCUGUAGUCAUUAAGUCCAGUUACAUGAGGUUUCUUGGGGACGGGAACAAUGAUGGAGGAUUUGAAACAGACUGGAACAUGGCAUGACUCCAGGGAGGUGUUGAAGAACCCCGUGAAGACUGGAGCUAGCUCAUCAGCGCAGUGUCUCAGGGUGGCAGGAGAGACACAGUCCGGGCCAGCAGCCUUGUGUGGACUCAGCCGCUUAAACAGUCUGUUUACUUCCUCUUCAUGGACCGAGAGGGCAGCGGGGGGACGUCCAGAGUGGUUGAAUUUCCAGUUAUGUGGGGGUGAGAGGAUGUGAGUCCGUGACUUCGAAGCGUGAAUAGAAGUCAUUCAGGUCGUUAGCUAGUUUCAAGUCGUCAGUUGAAUGAGGUGCUUUGGGCUUGUAGUUCAAGAAGAAAGGAUUCCAACAGAUCUUUAAGGUACAGUUUGAAAUAAAAUGGCCCUUCCUUUAAUAUUUAUCCCCAUGCACAAGACACAUUGAGGAGCCAAUGAAAAGCCAUGAAUGAACAUACUCAUAUCUGCUUGUCUUUUAUAGUCUAACUUUUAAACUUACAAACCACAACAUAUUAGGCACUGUUGGCAGGAUCUGUCUUUAAACGAGGCAUAAAAAGGACACAACAGCAAGACAACAAAUCUGUUUGUCCAACAGACAGGGUUCAAUGAAACACAGCUAAAGGUUGGAACACAACAAGGCAGUCAGAUCAGGCAGAAGUAUCCAAAACAUGAGGCAAAAAGGCAAGGUCCGAAAAGGCAGGCAAAGGUAAACAACGGCUAGACUAUGACUGUAAAAAAGCUGAAACGAGAUUCAAGGUACAAUGAACUGGCGACGAGACAGUGACGCCCGUUUAUACAUACCCAGUUAUUUUUUAGAACAGAGACAUUAACUACCAUUUGCAUCCUUCGUUUAGAAGCAAACAGAGAAUUUGCCUAUGAAAAUGAUGCUUUUUAAAAUCUCUGGCCAGAAUGGAGAUUUUGGAAAACUCCAUUUGCAUGUUUGCAUGUAAACAGAAAAAAACUAAGAUUUGGGUAGCUGACGGCAAAUGGUGUGCCGGAAACUGGGUUAAAUGUGAUGUUUACAAUCUGCAGUCUAUGUUUACAAUCCAUGGUGAUCAUGGAUGCAGAAUAGCAGUCGCAUUUAUGCUAGUGCAAUAGCCUACCUAUGUAUUUGUUCGCAUUUGCAAAUACAAGUGCUGUACUAUGUGGAGGAGCAGAAAUAAUUGAGUGUUAGUGUAAACAAAAGCUUUUCUAAAAAAGUAGUGGUGCGCAUGCAGUUUUUUUUUUUUUUUUUUUUUUUAAGGGAGAGGGUGUAUUGUCCGUUUAUGGAAAUAGCCGGGCAUGUGUAAACAAAGUCUGAGACACACAAGGUUAAAUAAAAGAUGUAAUGAGGGUAAUGGGAAACAGGUGGGGAGACACAAUCGGGUAGCAGGUGUGACAAGACGGGGGACAGAGACAGUAGUGAACUACAAAAUAGGACAGGAAAUGCAUGACAUGAACAAAACAUAAAACUUAACUGAUUAAUUAACAGAAGUAUGGGAAAAUCAACAGACAUGACAGGAUCAGCCUGUAAACUCCCACUGAGUUACAAAUCCAUCCCUCUCACAAACUCAAGGCCAUUUAAUUCCAUUUUCAUUUGUGUUUCAGAUCCGUCUGCCCAGCAUCAACUUCACUCUGCCAAUGUCCCAUACUCAGCAUGCCCUGUGUCCCCACUUUUGACCCUCCUUGGGUUCCCCAGAACAAAGGCAGUGUACAGGAUCUUUUCUUUUCGUUUUUUUUUCUUCAUGUGAGCAGUCCAAUUGGUAUGUUCUAAAAAAGAGCAGAGAGGUUAAUGGAGAGUGGAACACACGGAGAUGCCAUCGAUGCAUAUAUUUGUGUAAUUACUGCUUAAUAAAACAUGGACCACUUGGUAUUUAUCAGACCCUAUGCAAAUAUUAUGAUUGUUUGUUUAAAUUAUUAUGCAUUACUUUUGGUAAUAAUUCAAGCUGUGCUUAAUUUGAUUUAAAAGUUUACUCACGCAUGUGAAUUUGCGCUCAUGCAACGUUUUCUAUUUCGUAUUAAUGGAGGCACUAUUGUUUAAUCUUGCAGCAUACUUGGAGAUAUAAGUGUUCACUCAUUUAAAUUUUCAGGUUUCAAAUAAUGUUUCAGUGUUGGCUAGUAGUUGUAAAAUAAUCAUGUUUAUUUAUACUGUAUAUAAAUCUGUUCAACUUCAUAGUUAAUCGUAAGAUAAAUUGACUAGUCUGUUAUUCAGAGGAGAGACUGUUACCUUUUUUGUAAGUCUUUUUUGAGUAAUAUUCCUCGGACUACAGCGGGGUGAUGAAGCUCAAGGAGCAGCCACCACAAGGCUAAGCCUAACCAGCAGCAGCCACCACCAGGCUCGGCCUAACAACUUUUCUGAGGGGAAUGGACCGGUUUCAGCCGAACCAAGCCAACGGGUCCGGGUCAGGGCUCUGUCUGUGGAGAGAUCCGCUCUGAUCUGAGCCGGUUUGAAAUGCGGCUAUCAGCUAACAACUAAUGGCUAACAGGUACCUCCUGUCCAACCAUCCCCCCACUCACCUCACCAUCCAGAUGUGAUCGCUGCCUCCAGCUGAGCCAAACUAUUUCUGACCUGGAGGAUAGCAUCUUCAAUCUCUACCAACUCCGCGAUGAAGAAAAGUUCUUGGAAUCUUUCAUUCUUACGACGGGAGCGACUGGUGCCACUGCUGAAGCUAAGCUUGACGACACCAUCCCGGUCCCCCGAGCCAUCCCUCACUCCAUGGGACAUCCCCGGCCCCCCCACCGCUCCCUCCGUUCAACCUGAGGCUGAUCUCCAUCCUAACAUCCCGGCGACUCAGCAUCCGACUAGAGGCGCUGAAGCCCAUUGGCUGCAGGAGGGUGCUAAGCCCAAGGCGCCUCAUGGUUAUUUUACUCCCAACCCAAAAUUGUGUAACUCCACUCCUGGUCCAUGGAUCCAGGUAAAAAGCAACACCAGGCUAAAGAAGUAAUCCCCUCCACGCCGUCGUUCCAUUGGAAUUCUUCUUUCCAAUAGCUUCAGCCCUCUGGAUGAGCAGGACUUACCCCGCUCACCACACCGGAGCGGCGGGCGCCAUCACUUUCACCUCAGCAGACAGGUGUACCUCGAUGCACUCCUCCUCCGCUCCCUUUGCCGCAGCGGCAUUCAGGUGAGUCUUGGCACACCCCUUCAUCUUCGCCACCGACAUCCUCAAUGGCUGCGUCACAUUUUGCACAUCGUCGAGGAAAGCACAUGGCUCAUUCUCGUCCGACCAAACCCAUUCCUCCACCUCCUUCUGUACUUGUGGUCAGCACUUCAACGGUACAUAACAUCACUCUGCCCGCAACUGUAAUCAGCUGCAACCCAGGUGUCAGUGUCAAGGCCAUCGACUCCAAAAUCCCAGAGUUACUGGAACAAUACCCCUCUGCCUCAUCACUCUGCAUCCAUGUAGGGGGAAAAUGAGCUCCGCUUUAAACAGUCAAAUUACUGAAAAAUGAUUUUAGGAACCUCAUUGAUAGCCUCUCUGUCAGACCGCAGUUUUGUGAUUUCUGGUCCUCUGCCCUGUCCCUGCUCUGGUGACGUGAAGUUCAGCCGUGUACGACAGUUACAUGUGUGGCUAAAAGCUUACUGCUCUUCACUAAGUAUUCCAUUCAUGGACAAUUUCACCACCUUCCUCCACUGCCCUUACCUUUUCAGACUUGAUGGACUUCAUCCAAACUUUCAUGGAACACGUGUCAUCUCGAGCAACAUGCAUCUGGCCCUUUUAUCAGUUAACAUGGACCUUACCCUCCGCUCCUGUACCACACCCACCUCCUGACAAACUGUCAACACAUGCACACACACGCCCACCACCCCUCACCCCCCUGCACUCCCUCACACCUCACACACCUCAUCAGCAACACCCCCACCACUCACAAUAGAAAAACAGGACACUCACACCAUCAAAACCAUCAUUUCAUACAGACAGCUUGAGGCUUCCCCCACAAAUUUUAACUUUUUAUUUUCUACGCGGGAGGGGAAGACAGGAGGAGGAACUGCAUCAAUAAUAUGAUCCACACUGUCCCCUUCUGCAGUUCCUUUUAGCAGCUACUCAUCAUUUGAAUAUCACGCCUUUGUUGUUAGCAGCCUUCCUAUCCUCUGCAUCAAUGUGUACAGACCCCCCCCCCCCCCCCCCCGCCAGUCAGACAGUGAGGAAAUGUUACCUAAUUUCUGAAGUGGCUGCAAAUUUUAUUCAGAUCCUACAGAACACCUCUUUUACCAGCACCCUGUGAUUUUAUCGUUGACAAUUCUAACAACAAUCUAAGGUCAACACUGGACUCUGUUGCUCCACUUUAAUUAAAACAAUCAAGAAAAAAGCAAGACCUACAUGGAGAAACGCGCAUAUCAAAGAGCUCAAAUGAAACUGCAGGAGUGCUGAAAGAAGAUGGAGAAAAUCAAAAUUAACAGUCCACCUUGAAAUUUUUAAACACCACUUCAAAACCUUCAAUAGCACAGUCAAACAGGCAAGAACUUCCCACAAACUGAUCGCUGACAAUAAACAUAACUCCAGAUUUCUUUUUACAACAGUUGAUCUUUUAACGAACAAUAAUUUUAACAGAACCCCUGGGUCAUCCUCUGAUAUCCUCUGUGAGGAAUUUGCAGACCACUUCAGAAGUAAAAUCGACAACAUCAGAUCCAGUCUUCUAUCUCAACAGAUUUUAACUGCCAACACACCUGGAUCACUGCUUUUACCCAAGGAAACACUGGAGAGUUUUGCACUGCUUGAUGCACAGACACUUGGUUGAGUUUUCUCCCAAGUAAACCCCACAACCUGCCUUUUAGAUCCAAUUCCCACACGUUUUUUUAAACCAGUUUAUGGAUUCUUUAAGGAACAGCUUUUAAACAAACAACGUGUGUGAAUAUGCCAAAACCAUGUCGGACUCCGUAGUUUUCUCUGGUCCCCUGCCCGAUCAGACAACUGAUGAGAUGUGUCUCAUCAUUCAACCGCUGGCUGUUGAGGUGGUGUCUGCAAAACGGCAUGGGCUUCAUUGAUAAUUGGAAGUCAUUUUGGGGCAAGCCUGGUCUGAUUAGUCGGGACGGCAUUCAUCCCAGUCGAGAUGGAGCGGCCCGUUUAUCCAGACAUCUGUCGGAUUUUAUUAGUCCGAACCACUGACCAUUCAGAGCAGAGAUCAGGGAGCAGAGCCGCAGUCCUACACGCCCCUCUUCGCCUCCUUUAGAGCAGCUUCCCAGCCACUAUUACUUAUAUACAGAGACUAGGGCGCAGAGCCGCAGUCUUACACGCACCGCUGCACUCCACUCAGAGCAGCUUCCUAGCUACUAUCAGUUUGAUAUGGAGCUCAGGGAGCAUAGCCGCACUUCUACAUGUUCCUCUGCACUUUUGUUAGAGCAGCCUCCAAGCUACUAUCACUUAAAUAUAGAGACUGUGUCCGACCCUCGUCCUCGGCUCUUUAAUUCUAACCAAUCGAUUAACAAAGGCGCAAAUAACAAGAACCUUACUAGAAUUAUGACUGCUAACAUAGCUGGACAGAGUGGUAGUAAGAUAAAAUGUGGUCUACUGAACAUAAGGGGCUCUAUUUUCGUGUACGCCGGUGAGGCGGCGGAGGGUGGCGGACCUGGCGCAGUUGUAUUUUCGUCUGGUGGAGCCCGGUGUACAGCCAGUUUGUUUUUUUCGUGGACUGAGGCGCACGUGUGCUGUGCUGUGACUGUGCUCAUAUGAGAGAGUGUGGAGGACACCCAAUGCAGCGUUUACAGUGACACUUGUUUAGGAGCUGCUUUAUGUCGCCAUCUUGUGGCAUUACUGUCUUCAGACAUCUCUUGAUCUCUUUGACUACUUCACAAAAAUAGUAAUACGCCUCGCCGGUGGCGGAUUUAAAGGCAAGGAGAGGAGCUUAUGUGAUUGGUGAAAACAGGUCUCGGCUGUGUUAAAUCCACUCCACGCCCUCUCUCCUCCCUCGCUACGACUUAUGCCGAUGGGAGGAGCUGAGUUAGGGAGGGGGAAACUUACGCCUGGCUGCGCUGCUCACCAAAAUACCAAAUCAUGCUUGGGAACGCCUUGUCGGCACCUGUCGACUUACGCCGCACCUGCGGCACGUCUCCGGCGAGGCACGAAAAUAGAGCCCCAGGUCUCUCAGUUCCAAAUCUGUGUUAAUAAAUGAACUAAUCUCUGAUCAUCACAUCAAUUUACUCUCCCUAACCGAAACUUGUCUGCGUCAGGAUGAAUAUGUCAGUUUAAAUGAAUCCACUCCUCCUAGCCACCUAAGCUUACACAUUCCUCGGGACCCUGGCCGAGGUGGUGGAGUUGCAGCUAUUUAAAGUUCCAGUCUUCGAAUUAACCCAAGACCAAAACUGGAUUAUAACUCUUUUGAAAGUCUUGUUCUCAGUCUUCCGCAUCCAGCCUCAAAGACCAUGAGACCACUGGUAUUUGCUAUAGGUUAUCGCCCUCCCAGCCCAUUCUCUGAGUUUUUGUCAGAAUUCUCAGAGUUUUUAUCUGAUCUAGUCCUUAGUACAGACAAAGUCAUUGUUGUUGGUGACUUUAAUGUUCAUGUGGAUGUGGAAAAUGAUAGCCUAAGCAUUUCUUUCUUGUCCUUGCUAGACUCCAUUGGGUUUACACAGUGUGUACAUGGACCUAUGCACUGCUUUAACCACACCCUCGAUCUUGUCCUGGCUUAUGGCCUUGAAGCUGAAGCCUUUUCAGUCAGCUCAUUAAAUCCUCUUUUAUCGGAUCACUUUCUAGUAACUUUUGAAUUUGUGCUUUCAGGCUACUCUCCUCAUAACAAAACCGUGCUAACUAGAGGGUUGUCUGAAAAUGCUAUGACUAAGUUCAAAGAGGCAAUUCCGUCUGCUCUUAACUCUGUGCUUGAGAAGAACUUCACUGAUAGCUCAUACUUGAACAUCAGUUCCUUGCAACUUGAUCAGUUUGUCGAUGAUACCUCAGGCACAUUGCGAUCAAUUCUUGACUCAGUUGCUCUUCUUCGACAGAAAACUUUUACACGCGAGAGGCUGGCUCCGUGGUAUAAUGCUGAAACACGUGAGCUGAAACAGUUAUUAAGAAGACGAGAAAGGAUUUGGCGCUCUUCCAAAACAGCUGAAGCUCGUUUUCUCUGGCAGGAAUGUCUUGACAAAUAUAAGAAGGCCUUACGACAUGCUCGGACAACUUACUACUCGUCUCUUAUUGAAGAAAAUAAGAAUAACCCCAGGUAUCUCUUCAGCACUAUAGCCAGGCUGACGGACUGUCAGAGCACCGCUGAACCGUGUAUCCCAUUAGCCCUCAGCAGCGACGACUUCUUGAGCUUCUUCAAUGAAAAAAAUCUUAAAAAUAAGGGGUAAAAUUAGUAACCUCUUGCCUUCAUCAGGUGUCUUUUUCUUAGAUAACCCUAAAAUUGUUGAGGAGCCCCUAAGGCCUCUGGUGCACCUUAGUAACUUUGCACCUUUUGACCUUCCUGAGUUAAAGUCAGUGGUGCUGGCAGCCAAACCAUCUACGUGUCUUUUAGACCCAAUUCCAUCUGAACUGCUGAAGGAAACGCUUCCUUUGAUCAGUACAUCCUUGCGUCUUUAUUAACAGGAUUUGUUCCCCGGUUUUUUAAGACUGCAUUGAUUAAACCUCUCCUUAGAAAACUUACUCUUGACUCAGACACCCUACCUAACUAUAGACCAAUAUCCAACCUUCCUUAUAUUUAUAUAAGUCCUAGAGAAAGUUGUUGCGAAUCAACUUUGUGAUUUUCUUUAUAACAACGGUUUAUUGGAGGAUUUCCAGUCUGGGUUUAGAACCCAUCACAGCACAGAGACUGCUCUGCUGAAGGUGACAAAUGACCUACUCAUGGCUUCGGACAGUGGUCUUCUCUCUGUUCUUGUCCUGUUGGAUCUUAGUGCUGCGUUUGACACGAUUGACCACCGCAUCCUGCUUCAGAGACUGGAACAAUCUAUCGGCAUAGCAGGAUCCGCUCUUUCCUGGUUUGAAUCUUUUCAAACAGAUUGAUUCCAGUUUGUCCAUGUUAAUAAUGAAUCCUCUGCGCUCACCAAGGUCUGCUAUGGAGUCCCGCAAGGGUCAGUGCUUGGACCGAUCCUCUUUACCUUGUACAUGCUUCCUCUGGGUAAAAUUAUGAGAAAAUACUUAAUUUCCACUUUUAUGCAGAUGACACCCAGUUAUACUUAUCCAUGAAGCCAGAAGAAACAAAUCAGGUUACCAAAUUAGAAGCUUGUCUCAAAGAUGUAAAAUCCCGGAUGUUGUUUUAGUGUUCUUUUGAUGAGUUUGGCUUGUUGUUAUGAAAAGUGUUUGUUUUGGCGAGUUUGAACGUUUUUGAGCAUGUGUAAUGGCAUGAAUGCGUUAAGCUGUUGUUUUAGUGUUCUUUUGAUGAGUUUGGCUUGUUGUUAUGAAAAGUGUUUGUUUUGGCGAGUUUGAACGUUUUUGAGCAUGUGUAAUGGCAUGAAUGCGUUAAGCUGUUGUUUUAGUGUUCUUUUGAUGAGUUUGGCUUGUUGUUAUGAAAAGUGUUUGUUUUGGCGAGUUUGAAGGUUUUUGAGCAUGGGUAAUGGCAUGAAUGUGUUGAAUUAGUAAUCCCUUGUGUUAAGCUGUUGUUUUAGUGUUCUUUUGAUGAGUUUGGCUUGUUGUUAUGAAAAGUGUUUGUUGUGGCGAGUUUGAACGUUUUUGAGCAUGUGUAAUGACAUGAAUGCGUUAAGCUGUUGUUUUAGUGUUCUUUUGAUGAGUUUGGCUUGUUGUUAUGAAAAGUGUUUGUUUUGGCGAGUUUGAAGGUUUUUGAGCAUGUGUAAUGGCAUGAAUGCGUUAAGCUGUUGUUUUAAUGUUCUUUUGAUGAGUUUGGCUUGUUGUUAAGAACAUUGUUCGUUUUGGCGAGUUUGAAGGUUUUUGAGCAUGUGUAAUGGAAUGAAUGUGCUGAAUUAGUAAUCCCUUGUGUUAAGCUGUUGUUGUAGUGUUCUUUUGAUGAGUUUGGCUUUUUGUUAUGAAAAGUGUUUGUUUUGGCGAGUUUGAACGUUUUUGAGCAUGUGUAAUGGCAUGAAUGUGUUGAAUUAGUAAUCCCUUAUGUUAAGCUGUUGUUUUAGUGUUCUUUUGAUGAGUUUGGCUUGUUGUUAUGAAAAGUGUUUGUUUUGGCGAGUUUGAAUGUUUUUGAGCAUGUGUAAUGGCAUGAAUGCGUUAAGCUGUUGUUUUAGUGUUCUUUUGAUGAGUUUGGCUUGUUGUUAUGAAAAGUGUUUGUUUUGGCGAGUUUGAACGUUUUUGAGCAUGGGUAAUGGCAUGAAUGUGUUGAAUUAGUAAUCCCUUGUGUUAAGCUGUUGUUUUUGUGUUCUUUUGAUGAGUUUGGCUUGUUGUUAUGAAAAGUGUUUGUUUUGGCGAGUUUGAACGUUUUUGAGCAUGUGUAAUGACAUGAAUGCGUUAAGCUGUUGUUUUAGUGUUCUUUUGAUGAGUUUGGCUUGUUGUUAUGAAAAGUGUUUGUUUUGCGAGCUUGAAGGUUUUUGAGCAUGUGUAAUGGCAUAAAUGCGUUAAGCUGUUGUUUUAGUGUUCUUUUGAUGAGUUUGGCUUGUUGUUAAGAACAUUGUUCGUUUUGGCGAGUUUGAACGUUUUUGAGCAUGUGUAAUGGAAUGAAUGUGUUGAAUUAGUAAUCCCUUGUGUUAAGCUGUUGUUUUAGUGUUCUUUUGAUGAGUUUGGCUUGUUGUUAUGAAAAGUGUUUGUUUUGGCGAGUUUGAACGUUUUUGAGCAUGUGUAAUGGCAUGAAUGUGUUGAAUUAGUAAUCCCUUAUGUUAAGCUGUUGUUUUAGUGUUCUUUUGAUGAGUUUGGCUUGUUGUUAUGAAAAGUGUUUGUUUUGGCGAGUUUGAAUGUUUUUGAGCAUGUGUAAUGGCAUGAAUGCGUUAAGCUGUUGUUUUAGUGUUCUUUUGAUGAGUUUGGCUUGUUGUUGUGAAAAGUGUUUGUUUUGGCGAGUUUGAACAUUUUUGAGCAUGUGUAAUGGCAUGAAUGCGCUAAGCUGUUGUUUUAGUGUUCUUUUGAUGAGUUUGGCUUGUUAUGAAAAGUGUUUCUUUUGGCGAGUUUGAAGGUUUUUGAGCAUGUGUAAUUGCAUGAAUGUGUUGAAAUAGUAAUCCCUUGUGUUAACCUGUUGUUUUAGUGUUCUUUUGAUGAGUUUAGCUUGUUGUUAUGAAAAGUCUUUGUUUUGGCGAGUUUGAACUUUUUGAGCAUAUGUAAUGGCAUGAAUGCGUUAAGCUGUUGUUUUAGUGUUCUUUUGAUGAGUUUGGCUUGUUGUUAUGAAAAGUGUUUGUUUUGGCGAGUUUGAAGGUUUUUGAGCAUGUGUAAUGGCAUGAAUGCGUUAAGCUGUUGUUUUAGUGUUCUUUUGAUGAGAUUGGCUUGUUGUUAUGAAAAGUGUUUGUUUUGGCGAGUUUGAACGUUUUUGAGCAUGUGUAAUGGCAUGAAUGCGUUAAGCUGUUGUUUUUGUGUUCUUUUGAUGAGUUUGGCUUGUUGUUAUGAAAAGUGUUUGUUUUGGCGAGUUUGAAGGUUUUUGAGCAUGUGUAAUGGCAUGAAUGCGUUAAGCUGUUGUUUUAGUGUUCUUUUGAUGAGUUUGGCUUGUUGAUAUGAAAAGUGUUUGUUUUGGCGAGUUUGAACGUUUUUGAGCAUGUGUAAUGGCAUGAAUGCGUUAAGCUGUUGUUUUAGUGUUCUUUUGAUGAGUUUGGCUUGUUGUUAUGAAAAGUGUUUGUUUUGGCGAGUUUGAACGUUUUUGAGCAUGUGUAAUGGCAUGAAUGUGUUGAAUUAGUAAUCGCUUGUGUUAAGCUGUUGUUUUAGUGUUCUUUUGAUGAGUUUGGCUUGUUGUUAUGAAAAGUGUUUGUUUUGGUGAGUUUGAACGUUUUUGAGCAUGUGUAAUGGCAUGAAUGCGUUAAGCUGUUGUUUUAGUGUUCUUUUGAUGAGUUUGGCUUGUUGUUAUGAAAAGUGUUUGUUUUGGCGAGUUUGAACGUUUUUGAGCAUGGGUAAUGGCAUGAAUGUGUUGAAUUAGUAAUCCCUUGUGUUAAGCUGUUGUUUUAGUGUUCUUUUGAUGAGUUUGGCUUGUUGUUAUGAAAAGUGUUUGUUUUGGCGAGUUUGAAGGUUUUUGAGCAUGUGUAAUGGCAUGAAUGCGUUAAGCUGUUGUUUUAGUGUUCUUUUGAUGAGUUUGGCAUGUUGAUAUGAAAAGUGUUUGUUUUGGCGAGUUUGAACGUUUUUGAGCAUGUGUAAUGGCAUGAAUGCGUUAAGCUGUUGUUUUAGUGUUCUUUUGAUGAGUUUGGCUUGUUGUUAUGAAAAGUGUUUGUUUUGGCGAGUUUGAACGUUUUUGAGCAUGUGUAAUGGCAUGAAUGUGUUGAAAUAGUAAUCCCUUAUGUUAAGCUGUUGUUUUAGUUUUCUUUUGAUGAGUUUGGCUUGUUGUUAUGAAAAAUGUUUGUUUUGGCGAGUUUGAACGUUUUUGAGCAUGUGUAAUGGCAUGAAUGUGUUGAAAUAGUAAUCCCUUGUGUUAACCUGUUGUUUCAGUGUUCUUUUGAUGAGUUUAGCUUGUUGUUAUGAAAAGUCUUUGUUUUGGCGAGUUUGAACGUUUUUGAGCAUGUGUAAUGGCAUGAAUGCGUUAAGCUGUUGUUUUAGUGUUCUUUUGAUGAGUUUGGCUUGUUGUUAUGAAAAGUGUUUGUUUUGGCGAGUUUGAACGUUUUCGAGCAUGUGUAAUGGCAUGAAUGUGUUGAAUUAGUAAUCCCUUGUGUUAAGCUGUUGUUUUAGUGUUCUUUUGAUGAGUUUUGCUUGUUGUUAUGAAAAGUGUUUGAUUUGGUGAGUUUGAACGUUUUUGAGCAUGUGUAAUGGCAUGAAUGCGUUAAGCUGUUGUUUUAGUGUUCUUUUGAUGAGUUUGGCUUGUUGUUAUGAAAAGUGUUUGUUUUGGCGAGUUUGAACGUUUUUGAGGAUGUGUAAUGGCAUGAAUGUGUUGAAUUGGUAAUCCCUUGUGUUAAGCUGUUGUUUUAGUGUUCUUUUGAUGAGUUUGGCUUGUAGUUAUGAAAAGUGUUUUUUUUGGCGAGUUUGAAGGUUUUUGAGCAUGUGUAAUGGCAUGAAUGCGUUAAGCUGUUGUUUUAGCGUUCUUUUGAUGAGUUUGGCUUGUUGUUAUGAAAAGUGUUUGUUUUGGCGAGUUUGAACGUUUUUGAGCAUGUGUAAUGGCAUGAAUGCGUUAAGCUGUUGUUUUAGUGUUCUUUUGAUGAGUUUGGCUUGUUGUUAUGAAAAGUGUUUGUUUUGGCGAGUUUGAACGUUUUUGAGCAUGUGUAAUGGCAUGAAUGUGUUGAAAUAGUAAUCCCUUGUGUUAACCUGUUGUUUCAGUGUUCUUUUGAUGAGUUUAGCUUGUUGUUAUGAAAAGUCUUUGUUUUGGCGAGUUUGAACUUUUUGAGCAUAUGUAAUGGCAUGAAUGCGUUAAGCUGUUGUUUUAGUGUUCUUUUGAUGAGUUUGGCUUGUUGUUAUGAAAAGUGUUUGUUUUGGCGAGUUUGAAGGUUUUUGAGCAUGUGUAAUGGCAUGAAUGCGUUAAGCUGUUGUUUUAGUGUUCUUUUGAUGAGUUUGGCUUGUUGUUAUGAAAAGUGUUUGUUUUGGCGAGUUUGAAGGUUUUUGAGCAUGUGUAAUGGCAUGAAUGCGUUAAGCUGUUGUUUUAGUGUUCUUUUGAUGAGUUUGGCAUGUUGAUAUGAAAAGUGUUUGUUUUGGCGAGUUUGAACGUUUUUGAGCAUGUGUAAUGGCAUGAAUGCGUUAAGCUGUUGUUUUAGUGUUCUUUUGAUGAGUUUGGCUUGUUGUUAUGAAAAGUGUUUGUUUUGGCGAGUUUGAACGUUUUUGAGCAUGUGUAAUGGCAUGAAUGUGUUGAAUUAGUAAUCCCUUGUGUUAAGCUGUUGUUUUAGUGUUCUUUUGAUGAGUUUGGCUUGUUGUUAUGAAAAGUGUUUGUUUUGGUGAGUUUGAACGUUUUUGAGCAUGUGUAAUGGCAUGAAUGCGUUAAGCUGUUGUUUUAGUGUUCUUUUGAUGAGUUUGGCUUGUUGUUAUGAAAAGUGUUUGUUUUGGCGAGUUUGAACGUUUUUGAGGAUGUGUAAUGGCAUGAAUGUGUUGAAUUGGUAAUCCCUUGUGUUAAGCUGUUGUUUUAGUGUUCUUUUGAUGAGUUUGGCUUGUUGUUAUGAAAAGUGUUUGUUUUGGCGAGUUUGAAGGUUUUUGAGCAUGUGUAAUGGCAUGAAUGCGUUAAGCUGUUGUUUUAGUGUUCUUUUGAUGAGUUUGGCUUGUUGUUAUGAAAAGUGUUUGUUUUGGCGAGUUUGAACGUUUUUGAGCAUGUGUAAUGGCAUGAAUGCGUUAAGCUGUUGUUUUAGUGUUCUUUUGAUGAGUUUGGCUUGUUGUUAUGAAAAGUGUUUGUUUUGGAGAGUUUGAAGGUUUUUGAGCAUGUGUAAUGGCAUGAAUGCGUUAAGCUGUUGUUUUAGUGUUCUUUUGAUGAGUUUGGCAUGUUGAUAUGAAAAGUGUUUGUUUUGGCGAGUUUGAACGUUUUUGAGCAUGUGUAAUGGCAUGAAUGCGUUAAGCUGUUGUUUUAGUGUUCUUUUGAUGAGUUUGGCUUGUUGUUAUGAAAAGUGUUUGUUUUGGCGAGUUUGAACGUUUUUGAGCAUGUGUAAUGGCAUGAAUGUGUUGAAAUAGUAAUCCCUUAUGUUAAGCUGUUGUUUUAGUUUUCUUUUGAUGAGUUUGGCUUGUUGUUAUGAAAAGUGUUUGUUUUGGCGAGUUUGAACGUUUUUGAGCAUGUGUAAUGGCAUGAAUGUGUUGAAAUAGUAAUCCCUUGUGUUAACCUGUUGUUUCAGUGUUCUUUUGAUGAGUUUAGCUUGUUGUUAUGAAAAGUCUUUGUUUUGGCGAGUUUGAACUUUUUGAGCAUAUGUAAUGGCAUGAAUGCGUUAAGCUGUUGUUUUAGUGUUCUUUUGAUGAGUUUGGCUUGUUGUUAUGAAAAGUGUUUGUUUUGGCGAGUUUGAAGGUUUUUGAGCAUGUGUAAUGGCAUGAAUGCGUUAAGCUGUUGUUUUAGUGUUCUUUUGAUGAGUUUGGCUUGUUGUUAUGAAAAGUGUUUGUUUUGGCGAGUUUGAAGGUUUUUGAGCAUGUGUAAUGGCAUGAAUGCGUUAAGCUGUUGUUUUAGUGUUCUUUUGAUGAGUUUGGCAUGUUGAUAUGAAAAGUGUUUGUUUUGGCGAGUUUGAAGGUUUUUGAGCAUGUGUAAUGGCAUGAAUGCGUUAAGCUGUUGUUUUAGUGUUCUUUUGAUGAGUUUGGCUUGUUGUUAUGAAAAGUGUUUGUUUUGGCGAGUUUGAACGUUUUUGAGCAUGUGUAAUGGCAUGAAUGUGUUGAAUUAGUAAUCCCUUGUGUUAAGCUGUUGUUUUAGUGUUCUUUUGAUGAGUUUGGCUUGUUGUUAUGAAAAGUGUUUGUUUUGGUGAGUUUGAACGUUUUUGAGCAUGUGUAAUGGCAUGAAUGCGUUAAGCUGUUGUUUUAGUGUUCUUUUGAUGAGUUUGGCUUGUUGUUAUGAAAAGUGUUUGUUUUGGCGAGUUUGAACGUUUUUGAGGAUGUGUAAUGGCAUGAAUGUGUUGAAUUGGUAAUCCCUUGUGUUAAGCUGUUGUUUUAGUGUUCUUUUGAUGAGUUUGGCUUGUUGUUAUGAAAAGUGUUUUUUUGGCGAGUUUGAAGGUUUUUGAGCAUGUGUAAUGGCAUGAAUGCGUUAAGCUGUUGUUUUAGUGUUCUUUUGAUGAGUUUGGCUUGUUGUUAUGAAAAGUGUUUGUUUUGGCGAGUUUGAACGUUUUUGAGCAUGUGUAAUGGCAUGAAUGCGUUAAGCUGUUGUUUUAGUGUUCUUUUGAUGAGUUUAGCUUGUUGUUAUGAAAAGUCUUUGUUUUGGCGAGUUUGAACUUUUUGAGCAUAUGUAAUGGCAUGAAUGCGUUAAGCUGUUGUUUUAGUGUUCUUUUGAUGAGUUUGGCUUGUUGUUAUGAAAAGUGUUUGUUUUGGCGAGUUUGAAGGUUUUUGAGCAUGUGUAAUGGCAUGAAUGUGUUGAAUUAGUAAUCCCUUGUCUUAAGCUGUUGUUUUAGUGUUCUUUUGAUGAGUUUGGCUUGUUGUUAUGAAAAGUGUUUGUUUUGGCGAGUUUGAAGGUUUUUGAGCAUGUGUAAUGGCAUGAAUGUGUUAAGCUGUUGUUUUAGUGUUCUUUUGAUGAGUUUGGCAUGUUGAUAUGAAAAGUGUUUGUUUUGGCGAGUUUGAACGUUUUUGAGCAUGUGUAAUGGCAUGAAUGUGUUGAAUUAGUAAUCCCUUGUGUUAAGCUGUUGUUCUAGUGUUCUUUUGAUGAGUUUGGCCCUUUGUUAUGAAAAGUGUUUGUUUUGGUGAGUUUGAACGUUUUUGAGCAUGUGUAAUGGCAUGAAUGCGUUAAGCUGUUGUUUUAGUGUUCUUUUGAUGAGUUUGGCUUGUUGUUAUGGAAAGUUUUUGUUUUGUCGAGUUUGAACGUUUUUGAGGAUGUGUAAUGGCAUGAAUGUGUUGAAUUAGUAAUCCCUUGUGUUAAGCUGUUGUUUUAGUGUUCUUUUGAUGAGUUUGGCUUGUUGUUAUGAAAAGUGUUUGUUUUGGCGAGUUUGAACGUUUUUGAGCAUGUGUAAUGGCAUGAAUGUGUUGAAUUAGUAAUCCCUUGUGUUAAGCUGUUGUUUUAGUGUUCUUUUGAUGAGUUUGGCUUGUUGUUAUGAAAAGUGUUUGUUUUGGCGAGUUUGAACGUUUUUGAGCAUGUGUAAUGGCAUGAAUACGUUAAGCUGUUGUUUUAGUGUUCUUUUGAUGAGUUUGGCUUGUUGUUAUGAAAAGUGUUUGUUUUGGCGAGUUUGAACGUUUUUGAGCAUGUGUAAUGGCAUGAAUGCGUUAAGCUGUUGUUUUAGUGUUCUUUUGAUGAGUUUGGCUUGUUGUUAUGAAAAGUGUUUGUUUUGGCGAGUUUGAAGGUUUUUGAGCAUGUGUAAUGGCAUGAAUGCGUUAAGCUGUUGUUUUAGUGUUCUUUUGAUGUGUUUGGCUUGUUGUUAUGAAAAGUGUUUGUUUUGGCGAGUUUGAACUUCUUUGAGCAUGUGUAAUGGCAUGAAUGCGUUAAAAGCUGUUGUUUUAGUGUUCUUUUGAUAAGUUUGGCUUGUUGUUAUGAAAAGUGUUUGUUUUGGCGAGUUUGAACGUUUUUGAGCAUGUGUAAUGGCAUGAAUGUGUUGAAUUAGUAAUCCCUUGUGUUAAGCUGUUGUUUUAGUGUUCUUUUGAUGAGUUUGGCUUGUUGUUAUGAAAAGUGUUUGUUUUGGCGAGUUUGAACGUUUUUGAGCAUGUGUAAUGGCAUGAAUUUGUUGAAUUAGUAAUCCCUUGUGUUAAGCUGUUGUUUUAGUGUUCUUUUGAUGAGUUUGGCUUGUUGUUAUGAAAAGUGUUUGUUUUGGCGAGUUUGAAGGUUUUUGAGCAUGUGUAAUGGCAUGAAUGCGUUAAGCUGUUGUUUUAGUGUUCUUUUGAUGAGUUUGGCUUGUUGUUAUGAAAAGUGUUUGUUUUGGCGAGUUUGAACGUUUUUGAGGAUGUGUAAUGGCAUGAAUGUGUUGAAUUAGUAAUCCCUUGUGUUAAGCUGUUGUUUUAGUGUUCUUUUGAUGAGUUUGGCUUGUUGUUAUGAAAAGUGUUUGUUUUGGCGAGUUUGAACUUCUUUGAGCAUGUGUAAUGGCAUGAAUAAGUUAAGCUGUUGUUUUAGUGUUCUUUUGAUGAGUUAGGCUUGUUGUUAUGAAAAGUGUUUGUUUUGGCGAGUUUGAAGGUUUUUGAGCAUGUGUAAUGGCAUGAAUGCGUUAAGCUGUUGUUUUAGUGUUCUUUUGAUGAGUUUGGCUUGUUGUUAUGAAAAGUGUUUGUUUUGGCGAGUUUGAAUGUUUUUGAGCAUGUGUAAUGACAUGAAUGCGUUAAGCUGUUGUUUUAGUGUUCUUUUGAUGAGUUUGGCUUGUUGUUAUGAAAAGUGUUUGUUUUGGCGAGUUUGAACGUUUUUGAGCAUGGGUAAUGGCAUGAAUGUGUUGAAUUAGGUAUCCCUUGUGUUAAGCUGUUGUUUUUGUGUUCUUUUGAUGAGUUUGGCUUGUUGUUAUGAAAAGUGUUUGUUGUGGCGAGUUUGAACGUUUUUGAGCAUGUGUAAUGACAUGAAUGCGUUAAGCUGUUGUUUUAGUGUUCUUUUGAUGAGUUUGGCUUGUUGUUAUGAAAAGUGUUUGUUUUGGCGAGUUUGAAGGUUUUUGAGCAUGUGUAAUGGCAUGAAUGCGUUAAGCUGUUGUUUUAGUGUUCUUUUGAUGAGUUUGGCUUGUUGUUAAGAACAUUGUUCGUUUUGGCGAGUUUGAAGGUUUUUGAGCAUGUGUAAUGGCAUGAAUGCGUUAAGCUGUUGUUUUAGUGUUCUUUUGAUGAGUUUGGCUUGUUGUUAUGAAAAGUGUUUGUUUUGGCGAGUUUGAAGGUUUUUGAGCAUGUGUAAUGGCAUGAAUGCGUUAAGCUGUUGUUUUAGUGUUCUUUUGAUGAGUUUGGCAUGUUGAUAUGAAAAGUGUUUGUUUUGGCGAGUUUGAACGUUUUUGAGCAUGUGUAAUGGCAUGAAUGCGUUAAGCUGUUGUUUUAGUGUUCUUUUGAUGAGUUUGGCUUGUUGUUAUGAAAAGUGUUUGUUUUGGCGAGUUUGAACGUUUUUGAGCAUGUGUAAUGGCAUGAAUGUGUUGAAUUAGUAAUCCCUUGUGUUAAGCUGUUGUUUUAGUGUUCUUUUGAUGAGUUUGGCUUGUUGUUAUGAAAAGUGUUUGAUUUGGUGAGUUUGAACGUUUUUGAGCAUGUGUAAUGGCAUGAAUGCGUUAAGCUGUUGUUUUAGUGUUCUUUUGAUGAGUUUGGCUUGUUGUUAUGAAAAGUGUUUGUUUUGGCGAGUUUGAACGUUUUUGAGGAUGUGUAAUGGCAUGAAUGUGUUGAAUUGGUAAUCCCUUGUGUUAAGCUGUUGUUUUAGUGUUCUUUUGAUGAGUUUGGCUUGUUGUUAUGAAAAGUGUUUUUUUUGGCGAGUUUGAAGGUUUUUGAGCAUGUGUAAUGGCAUGAAUGCGUUAAGCUGUUGUUUUAGUGUUCUUUUGAUGAGUUUGGCUUGUUGUUAUGAAAAGUGUUUGUUUUGGCGAGUUUGAACGUUUUUGAGCAUGUGUAAUGGCAUGAAUGCGUUAAGCUGUUGUUUUAGUGUUCUUUUGAUGAGUUUAGCUCGUUGUUAUGAAAAGUCUUUGUUUUGGCGAGUUUGAACUUUUUGAGCAUAUGUAAUGGCAUGAAUGCGUUAAGCUGUUGUUUUAGUGUUCUUUUGAUGAGUUUGGCUUGUUGUUAUGAAAAGUGUUUGUUUUGGCGAGUUUGAACGUUUUUGAGCAUGUGUAAUGGCAUGAAUGUGUUGAAUUAGUAAUCCCUUGUCUUAAGCUGUUGUUUUAGUGUUCUUUUGAUGAGUUUGGCUUGUUGUUAUGAAAAGUGUUUGUUUUGGCGAGUUUGAAGGUUUUUGAGCAUGUGUAAUGGCAUGAAUGUGUUAAGCUGUUGUUUUAGUGUUCUUUUGAUGAGUUUGGCAUGUUGAUAUGAAAAGUGUUUGUUUUGGCGAGUUUGAACGUUUUUGAGCAUGUGUAAUGGCAUGAAUGUGUUGAAUUAGUAAUCCCUUGUGUUAAGCUGUUGUUCUAGUGUUCUUUUGAUGAGUUUGGCUUGUUGUUAUGAAAAGUGUUUGUUUUGGUGAGUUUGAACGUUUUUGAGCAUGUGUAAUGGCAUGAAUGCGUUAAGCUGUUGUUUUAGUGUUCUUUUGAUGAGUUUGGCUUGUUGUUAUGUAAAGUUUUUGUUUUGUCGAGUUUGAACGUUUUUGAGGAUGUGUAAUGGCAUGAAUGUGUUGAAUUAGUAAUCCCUUGUGUUAAGCUGUUGUUUUAGUGUUCUUUUGAUGAGUUUGGCUUGUUGUUAUGAAAAGUGUUUGUUUUGGCGAGUUUGAACGUUUUUGAGCAUGUGUAAUGGCAUGAAUGUGUUGAAUUAGUAAUCCCUUGUGUUAAGCUGUUGUUUUAGUGUUCUUUUGAUGAGUUUGGCUUGUUGUUAUGAAAAGUGUUUGUUUUGGCGAGUUUGAACGUUUUUGAGCAUGUGUAAUGGCAUGAAUACGUUAAGCUGUUGUUUUAGUUUUCUUUUGAUGAGUUUGGCUUGUUGUUAUGAAAAGUGUUUGUUUUGGCGAGUUUGAACGUUUUUGAGCAUGUGUAAUGGCAUGAAUGCGUUAAGCUGUUGUUUUAGUGUUCUUUUGAUGAGUUUGGCUUGUUGUUAUGAAAAGUGUUUGUUUUGGCGAGUUUGAAGGUUUUUGAGCAUGUGUAAUGGCAUGAAUGCGUUAAGCUGUUGUUUUAGUGUUCUUUUGAUGUGUUUGGCUUGUUGUUAUGAAAAGUGUUUGUUUUGGCGAGUUUGAACUUCUUUGAGCAUGUGUAAUGGCAUGAAUGCGUUAAAAGCUGUUGUUUUAGUGUUCUUUUGAUAAGUUUGGCUUGUUGUUAUGAAAAGUGUUUGUUUUGGCGAGUUUGAACGUUUUUGAGCAUGUGUAAUGGCAUGAAUGUGUUGAAUUAGUAAUCCCUUGUGUUAAGCUGUUGUUUUAGUGUUCUUUUGAUGAGUUUGGCUUGUUGUUAUGAAAAGUGUUUGUUUUGGCGAGUUUGAACGUUUUUGAGCAUGUGUAAUGGCAUGAAUUUGUUGAAUUAGUAAUCCCUUGUGUUAAGCUGUUGUUUUAGUGUUCUUUUGAUGAGUUUGGCUUGUUGUUAUGAAAAGUGUUUGUUUUGGCGAGUUUGAACGUUUUUGAGCAUGUGUAAUGGCAUGAAUGCGUUAAGCUGUUGUUUUAGUGUUCUUUUGAUGAGUUUGGCUUGUUGUUAUGAAAAGUGUUUGUUUUGGCGAGUUUGAACGUUUUUGAGGAUGUGUAAUGGCAUGAAUGUGUUGAAUUAGUAAUCCCUUGUGUUAAGCUGUUGUUUUAGUGUUCUUUUGAUGAGUUUGGCUUGUUGUUAUGAAAAGUGUUUGUUUUGGCGAGUUUGAACUUCUUUGAGCAUGUGUAAUGGCAUGAAUAAGUUAAGCUGUUGUUUUAGUGUUCUUUUGAUGAGUUAGGCUUGUUGUUAUUAAAAGUGUUUGUUUUGGCGAGUUUGAAGGUUUUUGAGCAUGUGUAAUGGCAUGAAUGCGUUAAGCUGUUGUUUUAGUGUUCUUUUGAUGAGUUUGGCUUGUCGUUAUGAAAAGUGUUUGUUUUGGCGAGUUUGAAUGUUUUUGAGCAUGUGUAAUGACAUGAAUGCGUUAAGCUGUUGUUUUAGUGUUCUUUUGAUGAGUUUGGCUUGUUGUUAUGAAAAGUGUUUGUUUUGGCGAGUUUGAACGUUUUUGAGCAUGGGUAAUGGCAUGAAUGUGUUGAAUUAGGUAUCCCUUGUGUUAAGCUGUUGUUUUUGUGUUCUUUUGAUGAGUUUGGCUUGUUGUUAUGAAAAGUGUUUGUUGUGGCGAGUUUGAACGUUUUUGAGCAUGUGUAAUGACAUGAAUGCGUUAAGCUGUUGUUUUAGUGUUCUUUUGAUGAGUUUGGCUUGUUGUUAUGAAAAGUGUUUGUUUUGGCGAGUUUGAAGGUUUUUGAGCAUGUGUAAUGGCAUGAAUGCGUUAAGCUGUUGUUUUAGUGUUCUUUUGAUGAGUUUGGCUUGUUGUUAAGAACAUUGUUCGUUUUGGCGAGUUUGAAGGUUUUUGAGCAUGUGUAAUGGAAUGAAUGUGUUGAAUUAGUAAUCCCUUGUGUUAAGCUGUUGUUUUAGUGUUCUUUUGAUGAGUUUGGCUUUUUGUUAUGAAAAGUGUUUGUUUUGGCGAGUUUGAACGUUUUUGAGCAUGUGUAAUGGCAUGAAUGUGUUGAAUUAGUAAUCCCUUAUGUUAAGCUGUUGUUUUAGUGUUCUUUUGAUGAGUUUGGCUUGUUGUUAUGAAAAGUGUUUGUUUUGGCGAGUUUGAAUGUUUUUGAGCAUGUGUAAUGGCAUGAAUGCGUUAAGCUGUUGUUUUAGUGUUCUUUUGAUGAGUUUGGCUUGUUGUUGUGAAAAGUGUUUGUUUUGGCGAGUUUGAACGUUUUUGAGCAUGUGUAAUGGCAUGAAUGCGUUAAGCUGUUGUUUUAGUGUUCUUUUGAUGAGUUUGGCUUGUUUUUAUAAAAAGUGUUUGUUUUGGCGAGUUUGAAGGUUUUUGAGCAUGUGUAAUGGCAUGAAUGUGUUGAAAUAGUAAUCCCUUGUGUUAACCUGUUGUUUUAGUGUUCUUUUGAUGAGUUUAGCUUGUUGUUAUGAAAAGUCUUUGUUUUGGCGAGUUUGAACUUUUUGAGCAUAUGUAAUGGCAUGAAUGCGUUAAGCUGUUGUUUUAGUGUUCUUUUGAUGAGUUUGGCUUGUUGUUAUGAAAAGUGUUUGUUUUGGCGAGUUUGAAGGUUUUUGAGCAUGUGUAAUGGCAUGAAUGCGUUAAGCUGUUGUUUUAGGGUUCUUUUGAUGAGUUUGGCUUGUUGUUAAGAACAUUGUUCGUUUUGGCGAGUUUGAAGGUUUUUGAGCAUGUGUAAUGGAAUGAAUGUGUUGAAUUAGUAAUCCCUUGUGUUAAGCUGUUGUUUUAGUGUUCUUUUGAUGAGUUUGGCUUUUUGUUAUGAAAAGUGUUUGUUUUGGCGAGUUUGAACGUUUUUGAGCAUGUGUAAUGGCAUGAAUGUGUUGAAUCAGUAAUCCCUUAUGUUAAGCUGUUGUUUCAGUGUUCUUUUGAUGAGUUUGGCUUGUUGUUAUGAAAAGUGUUUGUUUUGGCGAGUUUGAACGUUUUUGAGCAUGUGUAAUGGCAUGAAUGUGUUGAAAUAGUAAUCCCUUGUGUUAACCUGUUGUUUCAGUGUUCUUUUGAUGAGUUUAGCUUGUUGUUAUGAAAAGUCUUUGUUUUGGCGAGUUUGAACUUUUUGAGCAUAUGUAAUGGCAUGAAUGCGUUAAGCUGUUGUUUUAGUGUUCUUUUGAUGAGUUUGGCUUGUUGUUAUGAAAAGUGUUUGUUUUGGCGAGUUUGAACGUUUUUGAGCAUGUGUAAUGGCAUGAAUGCGUUAAGCUGUUGUUUUAGUGUUCUUUUGAUGAGUUUAGCUUGUUGUUAUGAAAAGUCUUUGUUUUGGCGAGUUUGAACUUUUUGAGCAUAUGUAAUGGCAUGAAUGCGUUAAGCUGUUGUUUUAGUGUUCUUUUGAUGAGUUUGGCUUGUUGUUAUGAAAAGUGUUUGUUUUGGCGAGUUUGAACGUUUUUGAGCAUGUGUAAUGGCAUGAAUGUGUUGAAUUAGUAAUCCCUUGUCUUAAGCUGUUGUUUUAGUGUUCUUUUGAUGAGUUUGGCUUGUUGUUAUGAAAAGUGUUUGUUUUGGCGAGUUUGAAGGUUUUUGAGCAUGUGUAAUGGCAUGAAUGUGUUAAGCUGUUGUUUUAGUGUUCUUUUGAUGAGUUUGGCAUGUUGAUAUGAAAAGUGUUUGUUUUGGCGAGUUUGAACGUUUUUGAGCAUGUGUAAUGGCAUGAAUGUGUUGAAUUAGUAAUCCCUUGUGUUAAGCUGUUGUUCUAGUGUUCUUUUGAUGAGUUUGGCUUGUUGUUAUGAAAAGUGUUUGUUUUGGUGAGUUUGAACGUUUUUGAGCAUGUGUAAUGGCAUGAAUGCGUUAAGCUGUUGUUUUAGUGUUCUUUUGAUGAGUUUGGCUUGUUGUUAUGGAAAGUUUUUGUUUUGUCGAGUUUGAACGUUUUUGAGGAUGUGUAAUGGCAUGAAUGUGUUGAAUUAGUAAUCCCUUGUGUUAAGCUGUUGUUUUAGUGUUCUUUUGAUGAGUUUGGCUUGUUGUUAUGAAAAGUGUUUGUUUUGGCGAGUUUGAACGUUUUUGAGCAUGUGUAAUGGCAUGAAUGUGUUGAAUUAGUAAUCCCUUGUGUUAAGCUGUUGUUUUAGUGUUCUUUUGAUGAGUUUGGCUUGUUGUUAUGAAAAGUGUUUGUUUUGGCGAGUUUGAACGUUUUUGAGCAUGUGUAAUGGCAUGAAUACGUUAAGCUGUUGUUUUAGUGUUCUUUUGAUGAGUUUGGCUUGUUGUUAUGAAAAGUGUUUGUUUUGGCGAGUUUGAACGUUUUUGAGCAUGUGUAAUGGCAUGAAUGCGUUAAGCUGUUGUUUUAGUGUUCUUUUGAUGAGUUUGGCUUGUUGUUAUGAAAAGUGUUUGUUUUGGCGAGUUUGAAGGUUUUUGAGCAUGUGUAAUGGCAUGAAUGCGUUAAGCUGUUGUUUUAGUGUUCUUUUGAUGUGUUUGGCUUGUUGUUAUGAAAAGUGUUUGUUUUGGCGAGUUUGAACUUCUUUGAGCAUGUGUAAUGGCAUGAAUGCGUUAAAAGCUGUUGUUUUAGUGUUCUUUUGAUAAGUUUGGCUUGUUGUUAUGAAAAGUGUUUGUUUUGGCGAGUUUGAACGUUUUUGAGCAUGUGUAAUGGCAUGAAUGUGUUGAAUUAGUAAUCCCUUGUGUUAAGCUGUUGUUUUAGUGUUCUUUUGAUGAGUUUGGCUUGUUGUUAUGAAAAGUGUUUGUUUUGGCGAGUUUGAACGUUUUUGAGCAUGUGUAAUGGCAUGAAUUUGUUGAAUUAGUAAUCCCUUGUGUUAAGCUGUUGUUUUAGUGUUCUUUUGAUGAGUUUGGCUUGUUGUUAUGAAAAGUGUUUGUUUUGGCGAGUUUGAACGUUUUUGAGCAUGUGUAAUGGCAUGAAUGCGUUAAGCUGUUGUUUUAGUGUUCUUUUGAUGAGUUUGGCUUGUUGUUAUGAAAAGUGUUUGUUUUGGCGAGUUUGAACGUUUUUGAGGAUGUGUAAUGGCAUGAAUGUGUUGAAUUAGUAAUCCCUUGUGUUAAGCUGUUGUUUUAGUGUUCUUUUGAUGAGUUUGGCUUGUUGUUAUGAAAAGUGUUUGUUUUGGCGAGUUUGAACUUCUUUGAGCAUGUGUAAUGGCAUGAAUAAGUUAAGCUGUUGUUUUAGUGUUCUUUUGAUGAGUUAGGCUUGUUGUUAUGAAAAGUGUUUGUUUUGGCGAGUUUGAAGGUUUUUGAGCAUGUGUAAUGGCAUGAAUGCGUUAAGCUGUUGUUUUAGUGUUCUUUUGAUGAGUUUGGCUUGUUGUUAUGAAAAGUGUUUGUUUUGGCGAGUUUGAAUGUUUUUGAGCAUGUGUAAUGACAUGAAUGCGUUAAGCUGUUGUUUUAGUGUUCUUUUGAUGAGUUUGGCUUGUUGUUAUGAAAAGUGUUUGUUUUGGCGAGUUUGAACGUUUUUGAGCAUGGGUAAUGGCAUGAAUGUGUUGAAUUAGGUAUCCCUUGUGUUAAGCUGUUGUUUUUGUGUUCUUUUGAUGAGUUUGGCUUGUUGUUAUGAAAAGUGUUUGUUGUGGCGAGUUUGAACGUUUUUGAGCAUGUGUAAUGACAUGAAUGCGUUAAGCUGUUGUUUUAGUGUUCUUUUGAUGAGUUUGGCUUGUUGUUAUGAAAAGUGUUUGUUUUGGCGAGUUUGAAGGUUUUUGAGCAUGUGUAAUGGCAUGAAUGCGUUAAGCUGUUGUUUUAGUGUUCUUUUGAUGAGUUUGGCUUGUUGUUAAGAACAUUGUUCGUUUUGGCGAGUUUGAAGGUUUUUGAGCAUGUGUAAUGGAAUGAAUGUGUUGAAUUAGUAAUCCCUUGUGUUAAGCUGUUGUUUUAGUGUUCUUUUGAUGAGUUUGGCUUGUUGUUAUGAAAAGUGUUUGUUUUGGCGAGUUUGAACGUUUUUGAGCAUGUGUAAUGGCAUGAAUGUGUUGAAUUAGUAAUCCCUUAUGUUAAGCUGUUGUUUUAGUGUUCUUUUGAUGAGUUUGGCUUGUUGUUAUGAAAAGUGUUUGUUUUGGCGAGUUUGAAUGUUUUUGAGCAUGUGUAAUGGCAUGAAUGCGUUAAGCUGUUGUUUUAGUGUUCUUUUGAUGAGUUUGGCUUGUUGUUGUGAAAAGUGUUUGUUUUGGCGAGUUUGAACGUUUUUGAGCAUGUGUAAUGGCAUGAAUGCGUUAAGCUGUUGUUUUAGUGUUCUUUUGAUGAGUUUGGCUUGUUUUUAUAAAAAGUGUUUGUUUUGGCGAGUUUGAAGGUUUUUGAGCAUGUGUAAUGGCAUGAAUGUGUUGAAAUAGUAAUCCCUUGUGUUAACCUGUUGUUUUAGUGUUCUUUUGAUGAGUUUAGCUUGUUGUUAUGAAAAGUCUUUGUUUUGGCGAGUUUGAACUUUUUGAGCAUAUGUAAUGGCAUGAAUGCGUUAAGCUGUUGUUUUAGUGUUCUUUUGAUGAGUUUGGCUUGUUGUUAUGAAAAGUGUUUGUUUUGGCGAGUUUGAAGGUUUUUGAGCAUGUGUAAUGGCAUGAAUGCGUUAAGCUGUUGUUUUAGGGUUCUUUUGAUGAGUUUGGCUUGUUGUUAAGAACAUUGUUCGUUUUGGCGAGUUUGAAGGUUUUUGAGCAUGUGUAAUGGAAUGAAUGUGUUGAAUUAGUAAUCCCUUGUGUUAAGCUGUUGUUUUAGUGUUCUUUUGAUGAGUUUGGCUUUUUGUUAUGAAAAGUGUUUGUUUUGGCGAGUUUGAACGUUUUUGAGCAUGUGUAAUGGCAUGAAUGUGUUGAAUUAGUAAUCCCUUAUGUUAAGCUGUUGUUUCAGUGUUCUUUUGAUGAGUUUGGCUUGUUGUUAUGAAAAGUGUUUGUUUUGGCGAGUUUGAACGUUUUUGAGCAUGUGUAAUGGCAUGAAUGUGUUGAAAUAGUAAUCCCUUGUGUUAACCUGUUGUUUCAGUGUUCUUUUGAUGAGUUUAGCUUGUUGUUAUGAAAAGUCUUUGUUUUGGCGAGUUUGAACUUUUUGAGCAUAUGUAAUGGCAUGAAUGCGUUAAGCUGUUGUUUUAGUGUUCUUUUGAUGAGUUUGGCUUGUUGUUAUGAAAAGUGUUUGUUUUGGCGAGUUUGAAGGUUUUUGAGCAUGUGUAAUGGCAUGAAUGCGUUAAGCUGUUGUUUUAGUGUUCUUUUGAUGAGUUUGGCUUGUUGUUAUGAAAAGUGUUUGUUUUGGCGAGUUUGAACGUUUUUGAGCAUGUGUAAUGGCAUGAAUGCGUUAAGCUGUUGUUUCAGUGUUCUUUUGAUGAGUUUGGCUUGUUGUUAUGAAAAGUGUUUGUUUUGGCGAGUUUGAACGUUUUUGAGCAUGUGUAAUGGCAUGAAUGUGUUGAAAUAGUAAUCCCUUGUGUUAACCUGUUGUUUCAGUGUUCUUUUGAUGAGUUUAGCUUGUUGUUAUGAAAAGUCUUUGUUUUGGCGAGUUUGAACUUUUUGAGCAUAUGUAAUGGCAUGAAUGCGUUAAGCUGUUGUUUUAGUGUUCUUUUGAUGAGUUUGGCUUGUUGUUAUGAAAAGUGUUUGUUUUGGCGAGUUUGAAGGUUUUUGAGCAUGUGUAAUGGCAUGAAUGCGUUAAGCUGUUGUUUUAGUGUUCUUUUGAUGAGUUUGGCUUGUUGUUAUGAAAAGUGUUUGUUUUGGCGAGUUUGAACGUUUUUGAGCAUGUGUAAUGGCAUGAAUGCGUUAAGCUGUUGUUUUAGUGUUCUUUUGAUGAGUUUGGCUUGUUGUUAUGAAAAGUGUUUGUUUUGGCGAGUUUGAAGGUUUUUGAGCAUGUGUAAUGGCAUGAAUGCGUUAAGCUGUUGUUUUAGUGUUCUUUUGAUGAGUUUGGCAUGUUGAUAUGAAAAGUGUUUGUUUUGGCGAGUUUGAACGUUUUUGAGCAUGUGUAAUGGCAUGAAUGCGUUAAGCUGUUGUUUUAGUGUUCUUUUGAUGAGUUUGGCUUGUUGUUAUGAAAAGUGUUUGUUUUGGCGAGUUUGAACGUUUUUGAGCAUGUGUAAUGGCAUGAAUGUGUUGAAAUAGUAAUCCCUUAUGUUAAGCUGUUGUUUUAGUGUUCUUUUGAUGAGUUUGGCUUGUUGUUAUGAAAAGUGUUUGUUUUGGCGAGUUUGAACGUUUUUGAGCAUGUGUAAUGGCAUGAAUGUGUUGAAAUAGUAAUCCCUUGUGUUAACCUGUUGUUUCAGUGUUCUUUUGAUGAGUUUAGCUUGUUGUUAUGAAAAGUCUUUGUUUUGGCGAGUUUGAACGUUUUUGAGCAUGUGUAAUGGCAUGAAUGUGUUGAAAUAGUAAUCCCUUAUGUUAAGCUGUUGUUUUAGUGUUCUUUUGAUGAGUUUGGCUUGUUGUUAUGAAAAGUGUUUGUUUUGGCGAGUUUGAACGUUUUUGAGCAUAUGUAAUGGCAUGAAUGCGUUAAGCUGUUGUUUUAGUGUUCUUUUGAUGAGUUUGGCUUGUUGUUAUGAAAAGUGUUUGUUUUGGCGAGUUUGAAGGUUUUUGAGCAUGUGUAAUGGCAUGAAUGCGUUAAGCUGUUGUUUUAGUGUUCUUUUGAUGAGUUUGGCUUGUUGUUAUGAAAAGUGUUUGUUUUGGCGAGUUUGAAGGUUUUUGAGCAUGUGUAAUGGCAUGAAUGCGUUAAGCUGUUGUUUUAGUGUUCUUUUGAUGAGUUUGGCAUGUUGAUAUGAAAAGUGUUUGUUUUGGCGAGUUUGAACGUUUUUGAGCAUGUGUAAUGGCAUGAAUGCGUUAAGCUGUUGUUUUAGUGUUCUUUUGAUGAGUUUGGCUUGUUGUUAUGAAAAGUGUUUGUUUUGGCGAGUUUGAACGUUUUUGAGCAUGUGUAAUGGCAUGAAUGUGUUGAAUUAGUAAUCCCUUGUGUUAAGCUGUUGUUUUAGUGUUCUUUUGAUGAGUUUGGCUUGUUGUUAUGAAAAGUGUUUGUUUUGGUGAGUUUGAACGUUUUUGAGCAUGUGUAAUGGCAUGAAUGCGUUAAGCUGUUGUUUUAGUGUUCUUUUGAUGAGUUUGGCUUGUUAUUAUGAAAAGUGUUUGUUUUGGCGAGUUUGAACGUUUUUGAGGAUGUGUAAUGGCAUGAAUGUGUUGAAUUGGUAAUCCCUUGUGUUAAGCUGUUGUUUUAGUGUUCUUUUGAUGAGUUUGGCUUGUUGUUAUGAAAAGUGUUUUUUUUGGCGAGUUUGAAGGUUUUUGAGCAUGUGUAAUGGCAUGAAUGCGUUAAGCUGUUGUUUUAGUGUUCUUUUGAUGAGUUUGGCUUGUUGUUAUGAAAAGUGUUUGUUUUGGCGAGUUUGAACGUUUUUGAGCAUGUGUAAUGGCAUGAAUGCGUUAAGCUGUUGUUUUAGUGUUCUUUUGAUGAGUUUAGCUUGUUGUUAUGAAAAGUCUUUGUUUUGGCGAGUUUGAACUUUUUGAGCAUAUGUAAUGGCAUGAAUGCGUUAAGCUGUUGUUUUAGUGUUCUUUUGAUGAGUUUGGCUUGUUGUUAUGAAAAGUGUUUGUUUUGGCGAGUUUGAACGUUUUUGAGCAUGUGUAAUGGCAUGAAUGUGUUGAAUUAGUAAUCCCUUGUGUUAAGCUGUUGUUUUAGUGUUCUUUUGAUGAGUUUGGCUUGUUGUUAUGAAAAGUGUUUGUUUUGGCGAGUUUGAAGGUUUUUGAGCAUGUGUAAUGGCAUGAAUGCGUUAAGCUGUUGUUUUAGUGUUCUUUUGAUGAGUUUGGCAUGUUGAUAUGAAAAGUGUUUGUUUUGGCGAGUUUGAACGUUUUUGAGCAUGUGUAAUGGCAUGAAUGUGUUGAAUUAGUAAUCCCUUGUGUUAAGCUGUUGUUUUAGUGUUCUUUUGAUGAGUUUGGCUUGUUGUUAUGAAAAGUGUUUGUUUUGGUGAGUUUGAACGUUUUUGAGCAUGUGUAAUGGCAUGAAUGCGUUAAGCUGUUGUUUUAGUGUUCUUUUGAUGAGUUUGGCUUGUUGUUAUGGAAAGUUUUUGUUUUGUCGAGUUUGAACGUUUUUGAGGAUGUGUAAUGGCAUGAAUGUGUUGAAUUAGUAAUCCCUUGUGUUAAGCUGUUGUUUUAGUGUUCUUUUGAUGAGUUUGGCUUGUUGUUAUGAAAAGUGUUUGUUUUGGCGAGUUUGAACGUUUUUGAGCAUGUGUAAUGGCAUGAAUGCGUUAAGCUGUUGUUUUAGUGUUCUUUUGAUGAGUUUGGCUUGUUGUGAAAAGUGUUUGUUUUGGCGAGUUUGAACGUUUUUGAGCAUGUGUAAUGGCAUGAAUGCGUUAAGCUGUUGUUUUAGUGUUCUUUUGGUGAGUUUGGCUUGUUGUUAUGAAAAGUGUUUGUUUUGGCGAGUUUGAACGUUUUUGAGCAUGUGUAAUGGCAUGAAUGUGUUGAAUUAGUAAUCCCUUGUGUUAAGCUUUUGUUUUAGUGUUCUUUUGAUGAGUUUGGCUUGUUGUUAUGAAAAGUGUUUGUUUUGGCGAGUUUGAACGUUUUUGAGCAUGUGUAAUGGCAUGAAUGUGUUGAAUUAGUAAUCCCUUGUGUUAAGCUGUUGUUUUAGUGUUCUUUUGAUGAGUUUGGCUUGUUGUUAUGAAAAGUGUUUGUUUUGGCGAGUUUGAACGUUUUUGAGCAUGUGUAAUGGCAUGAAUGCGUAAAGCUGUUGUUUUAGUGUUCUUUUGAUGAGUUUGGCUUGUUGUUAUGAAAAGUGUUUGUUUUGGCGAGUUUGAACGUUUUUGAGGAUGUGUAAUGGCAUGAAUGUGUUGAAUUAGUAAUCCCUUGUGUUAAGCUGUUGUUUUAGUGUUCUUUUGAUGAGUUUGGCUUGUUGUUAUGAAAAGUGUUUGUUUUGGCGAGUUUGAACUUCUUUGAGCAUGUGUAAUGGCAUGAAUGCGUUAAGCUGUUGUUUUAGUGUUCUUUUGAUGAGUUAGGCUUGUUGUUAUGAAAAGUGUUUGUUUUGGCGAGUUUGAACGUUUUUGAGCAUGUGUAAUGGCAUGAAUGCGUAAAGCUGUUGUUUUAGUGUUCUUUUGAUGAGUUUGGCUUGUUGUUAUGAAAAGUGUUUGUUUUGGCGAGUUUGAACGUUUUUGAGCAUGUGUAAUGGCAUGAAUGCUUUAAGCUGUUGUUUUAGUGUUCUUUUGAUGAGUUUGGCUUGUUGUUAUGAAAAGAGUUUGUUUUGGCGACUUUGAAUGUUUUUGAGCAUGUGUAAUGACAUGAAUGCGUUAAGCUGUUGUUUUAGUGUUCUUUUGUUGAGUUUGGCUUGUUGUUAUGAAAAGUGUUUGUUUUGGCGAGUUUGAACGUUUUUGAGCAUGGGUAAUGGCAUGAAUGUGUUGAAUUAGUAAUCCCUUGUGUUAAGCUGUUGUUUUUGUGUUCUUUUGAUGAGUUUGGCUUGUUGUUAUGAAAAGUGUUUGUUGUGGCGAGUUUGAACGUUUUUGAGCAUGUGUAAUGCCAUGAAUGUGUUGAAUUAGUAAUCCCUUGUGUUAAGCUGUUGUUUUAGUGUUCUUUUGAUGAGUUUGGCUUGUUGUUAUGAAAAGUGUUUGUUUUGGCGAGUUUGAACGUUUUUGAGCAUGUGUAAUGGCAUGAAUGCGUAAAGCUGUUGUUUUAGUGUUCUUUUGAUGAGUUUGGCUUGUUGUUAUGAAAAGUGUUUGUUUUGGCGAGUUUGAACGUUUUUGAGGAUGUGUAAUGGCAUGAAUGUGUUGAAUUAGUAAUCCCUUGUGUUAAGCUGUUGUUUUAGUGUUCUUUUGAUGAGUUUGGCUUGUUGUUAUGAAAAGUGUUUGUUUUGGCGAGUUUGAACUUCUUUGAGCAUGUGUAAUGGCAUGAAUGCGUUAAGCUGUUGUUUUAGUGUUCUUUUGAUGAGUUAGGCUUGUUGUUAUGAAAAGUGUUUGUUUUGGCGAGUUUGAACGUUUUUGAGCAUGUGUAAUGGCAUGAAUGCGUAAAGCUGUUGUUUUAGUGUUCUUUUGAUGAGUUUGGCUUGUUGUUAUGAAAAGUGUUUGUUUUGGCGAGUUUGAACGUUUUUGAGCAUGUGUAAUGGCAUGAAUGCGUUAAGCUGUUGUUUUAGUGUUCUUUUGAUGAGUUUGGCUUUUUGUUAUGAAAAGAGUUUGUUUUGGCGACUUUGAAUGUUUUUGAGCAUGUGUAAUGACAUGAAUGCGUUAAGCUGUUGUUUUAGUGUUCUUUUGUUGAGUUUGGCUUGUUGUUAUGAAAAGUGUUUGUUUUGGCGAGUUUGAACGUUUUUGAGCAUGGGUAAUGGCAUGAAUGUGUUGAAUUAGUAAUCCCUUGUGUUAAGCUGUUGUUUUUGUGUUCUUUUGAUGAGUUUGGCUUGUUGUUAUAAAAAGUGUUUGUUGUGGCGAGUUUGAACGUUUUUGAGCAUGUGUAAUGGCAUGAAUGUGUUGAAUUAGUAAUCCCUUGUGUUAAGCUGUUGUUUUAGUGUUCUUUUGAUGAGUUUGGCUUGUUGUUAUGAAAAGUGUUUGUUUUGGCGAGUUUGAACGUUUUUGAGCAUGUGUAAUGGCAUGAAUGCGUAAAGCUGUUGUUUUAGUGUUCUUUUGAUGAGUUUGGCUUGUUGUUAUGAAAAGUGUUUGUUUUGGCGAGUUUGAACGUUUUUGAGGAUGUGUAAUGGCAUGAAUGUGUUGAAUUAGUAAUCCCUUGUGUUAAGCUGUUGUUUUAGUGUUCUUUUGAUGAGUUUGGCUUGUUGUUAUGAAAAGUGUUUGUUUUGGCGAGUUUGAACUUCUUUGAGCAUGUGUAAUGGCAUGAAUGCGUUAAGCUGUUGUUUUAGUGUUCUUUUGAUGAGUUAGGCUUGUUGUUAUGAAAAGUGUUUGUUUUGGCGAGUUUGAACGUUUUUGAGCAUGUGUAAUGGCAUGAAUGCGUAAAGCUGUUGUUUUAGUGUUCUUUUGAUGAGUUUGGCUUGUUGUUAUGAAAAGUGUUUGUUUUGGCGAGUUUGAACGUUUUUGAGCAUGUGUAAUGGCAUGAAUGCGUUAAGCUGUUGUUUUAGUGUUCUUUUGAUGAGUUUGGCUUGUUGUUAUGAAAAGAGUUUGUUUUGGCGACUUUGAAUGUUUUUGAGCAUGUGUAAUGACAUGAAUGCGUUAAGCUGUUGUUUUAGUGUUCUUUUGUUGAGUUUGGCUUGUUGUUAUGAAAAGUGUUUGUUUUGGCGAGUUUGAACGUUUUUGAGCAUGGGUAAUGGCAUGAAUGUGUUGAAUUAGUAAUCCCUUGUGUUAAGCUGUUGUUUUUGUGUUCUUUUGAUGAGUUUGGCUUGUUGUUAUGAAAAGUGUUUGUUGUGGCGAGUUUGAACGUUUUUGAGCAUGUGUAAUGGCAUGAAUGUGUUGAAUUAGUAAUCCCUUGUGUUAAGCUGUUGUUUUAGUGUUCUUUUGAUGAGUUUGGCUUGUUGUUAUGAAAAGUGUUUGUUUUGGCGAGUUUGAACGUUUUUGAGCAUGUGUAAUGGCAUGAAUGCGUAAAGCUGUUGUUUUAGUGUUCUUUUGAUGAGUUUGGCUUGUUGUUAUGAAAAGUGUUUGUUUUGGCGAGUUUGAACGUUUUUGAGGAUGUGUAAUGGCAUGAAUGUGUUGAAUUAGUAAUCCCUUGUGUUAAGCUGUUGUUUUAGUGUUCUUUUGAUGAGUUUGGCUUGUUGUUAUGAAAAGUGUUUGUUUUGGCGAGUUUGAACUUCUUUGAGCAUGUGUAAUGGCAUGAAUGCGUUAAGCUGUUGUUUUAGUGUUCUUUUGAUGAGUUAGGCUUGUUGUUAUGAAAAGUGUUUGUUUUGGCGAGUUUGAACGUUUUUGAGCAUGUGUAAUGGCAUGAAUGCGUAAAGCUGUUGUUUUAGUGUUCUUUUGAUGAGUUUGGCUUGUUGUUAUGAAAAGUGUUUGUUUUGGCGAGUUUGAACGUUUUUGAGCAUGUGUAAUGGCAUGAAUGCGUUAAGCUGUUGUUUUAGUGUUCUUUUGAUGAGUUUGGCUUGUUGUUAUGAAAAGAGUUUGUUUUGGCGACUUUGAAUGUUUUUGAGCAUGUGUAAUGACAUGAAUGCGUUAAGCUGUUGUUUUAGUGUUCUUUUGUUGAGUUUGGCUUGUUGUUAUGAAAAGUGUUUGUUUUGGCGAGUUUGAACGUUUUUGAGCAUGGGUAAUGGCAUGAAUGUGUUGAAUUAGUAAUCCCUUGUGUUAAGCUGUUGUUUUUGUGUUCUUUUGAUGAGUUUGGCUUGUUGUUAUGAAAAGUGUUUGUUGUGGCGAGUUUGAACGUUUUUGAGCAUGUGUAAUGACAUGAAUGCGUUAAGCUGUUGUUUUAGUGUUCUUUUGAUGAGUUUGGCUUGUUGUUAUGAAAAGUGUUUGUUUUGGCGAGUUUGAAGGUUUUUGAGCAUGUGUAAUGGCAUGAAUGCGUUAAGCUGUUGUUUUAGUGUUCUUUUGAUGAGUUUGGCUUGUUGUUAAGAACAUUGUUCGUUUUGCCAUGUUGAAGGUUUUUGAGCAUGUGUAAUGGAAUGAAUGUGUUGAAUUAGUAAUCCCUUGUGUUAAGCUGUUGUUUUAGUGUUCUUUUGAUGAGUUUGGCUUUUUGUUAUGAAAAGUGUUUGUUUUGGCGAGUUUGAACGUUUUUUGAGCAUGUGUAAUGUCAUGAAUGUGUUGAAUUAGUAAUCCCUUAUGUUAAGCUGUUGUUUUAGUGUUCUUUUGAUGAGUUUGGCUUGUUGUUAUGAAAAGUGUUUGUUUUGGCGAGUUUGAACGUUUUUGAGCAUGUGUAAUGGCAUGAAUGCGUAAAGCUGUUGUUUUAGUGUUCUUUUGAUGAGUUUGGCUUGUUGUUAUGAAAAGUGUUUGUUUUGGCGAGUUUGAACGUUUUUGAGGAUGUGUAAUGGCAUGAAUGUGUUGAAUUAGUAAUCCCUUGUGUUAAGCUGUUGUUUUAGUGUUCUUUUGAUGAGUUUGGCUUGUUGUUAUGAAAAGUGUUUGUUUUGGCGAGUUUGAACUUCUUUGAGCAUGUGUAAUGGCAUGAAUGCGUUAAGCUGUUGUUUUAGUGUUCUUUUGAUGAGUUAGGCUUGUUGUUAUGAAAAGUGUUUGUUUUGGCGAGUUUGAACGUUUUUGAGCAUGUGUAAUGGCAUGAAUGCGUAAAGCUGUUGUUUUAGUGUUCUUUUGAUGAGUUUGGCUUGUUGUUAUGAAAAGUGUUUGUUUUGGCGAGUUUGAACGUUUUUGAGCAUGUGUAAUGGCAUGAAUGCGUUAAGCUGUUGUUUUAGUGUUCUUUUGAUGAGUUUGGCUUGUUGUUAUGAAAAGUGUUUGUUUUGGCGAGUUUGAACGUUUUUGAGCAUGUGUAAUGGCAUGAAUGCGUUAAGCUGUUGUUUUAGUGUUCUUUUGAUGAGUUUAGCUUGUUGUUAUGAAAAGUCUUUGUUUUGGCGAGUUUGAACUUUUUGAGCAUAUGUAAUGGCAUGAAUGCGUUAAGCUGUUGUUUUAGUGUUCUUUUGAUGAGUUUGGCUUGUUGUUAUGAAAAGUGUUUGUUUUGGCGAGUUUGAACGUUUUUGAGCAUGUGUAAUGGCAUGAAUGUGUUGAAUUAGUAAUCCCUUGUGUUAAGCCGUUGUUUUAGUGUUCUUUUAAUGAGUUUGGCUUGUUGUUAUGAAAAGUGUUUGUUUUGGCGAGUUUGAAGGUUUUUGAGCAUGUGUAAUGGCAUGAAUGCGUUAAGCUGUUGUUUUAGUGUUCUUUUGAUGAGUUUGGCAUGUUGAUAUGAAAAGUGUUUGUUUUGGCGAGUUUGAACGUUUUUGAGCAUGUGUAAUGGCAUGAAUGUGUUGAAUUAGUAAUCCCUUGUGUUAAGCUGUUGUUUUAGUGUUCUUUUGAUGAGUUUGGCUUGUUGUUAUGAAAAGUGUUUGUUUUGGCGAGUUUGAACGUUUUUGAGCAUGUGUAAUGGCAUGAAUGCGUUAAGCUGUUGUUUUAGUGUUCUUUUGAUGAGUUUGGCUUGUUGUUAUGAAAAGUGUUUUUUUUUGGCGAGUUUGAAGGUUUUUGAGCAUGUGUAAUGGCAUGAAUGCGUUAAGCUGUUGUUUGAGUGUUCUUUUGAUGAGUUUGGCAUGUUGAUAUGAAAAGUGUUUGUUUUGGCGAGUUUGAAUGUUUUUGAGCAUGUGUAAUGGCAUGAAUGCGUUAAGCUGUUGUUUUAGUGUUCUUUUGAUGAGUUUGGCUUGUUGUUAUGAAAAGUGUUUGUUUUGGCGAGUUUGAAGGUUUUUGAGCAUGUGUAAUGGCAUGAAUGUGUGGAAUUAGUAAUCCCUUGUGUUAAGCUGUUGUUUUAGUGUUCUUUUGAUGAGUUUGGCUUGUUGUUAUGAAAAGUGUUUGUUUUGGCGAGUUUGAACGUUUUUGAGCAUGUGUAAUGGCAUGAAUACGUUAAGCUGUUGUUUUAGUGUUCUUUUGAUGAGUUUGGCUUGUUAUGAAAAGUGUUUGUUUUGGCGAGUUUGAACGUUUUUGAGCAUGUGUAAUGGCAUGAAUGCGUUAAGCUGUUGUUUUAGUGUCCUUUUGAUGAGUUUGGCUUGUUGUUAUGAACAUUGUUCGUUUUGGCGAGUUUGAAGGUUUUUGAGCAUGUGUAAUGGCAUGAAUGUGUUGAAUUAGUAAUCCCUUGUGUUAAGAUGUUGUUUUAGUGUUCUUUUGAUGAGUUUGGCUUGUUGUUAUGAAAAGUGUUUGUUUUGGCCAGUUUGAACGUUUUUGAGCAUGUGUAAUGGCAUGAAUGUGUUGAAUUAGUAAUCCCUUGUGUUAAGCUGUUGUUUUAGUGUUCUUUUGAUGAGUUUGGCUUGUUGUUAUGAAAAGUGUUUGUUUUGGCGAGUUUGAACGUUUUUGAGCAUGUGUAAUGGCAUGAAUGCGUUAAGCUGUUGUUUUAGUGUUCUUUUGAUGAGUUUGGCUUGUUGUUAUGAAAAGUGUUUGUUUUGGCGAGUUUGAACGUUUUUGAGGAUGUGUAAUGGCAUGAAUGUGUUGAAUUAGUAAUCCCUUGUGUUAAGCUGUUGUUUUAGUGUUCUUUUGAUGAGUUUGGCUUGUUGUUAUGAAAAGUGUUUGUUUUGGCGAGUUUGAACGUUUUUGAGCAUGUGUAAUGGCAUGAAUGCGUAAAGCUGUUGUUUUAGUGUUCUUUUGAUGAGUUUGGCUUGUUGUUAUGAAAAGAGUUUGUUUUGGCGAGUUUGAACGUUUUUGAGCAUGUGUAAUGGCAUGAAUGCGUUAAGCUGUUGUUUUAGUGUUCUUUUGAUGAGUUUGGCUUGUUGUUAUGAAAAGAGUUUGUUUUGGCGACUUUGAAUGUUUUUGAGCAUGUGUAAUGCAUGAAUGCGUUAAGCUGUUGUUUUAGUGUUCUUUUGUUGAGUCUGGCUUGUUGUUAUGAAAAGUGUUUGUUUUGGCGAGUUUGAACGUUUUUGAGCAUGGGUAAUGGCAUGAAUGUGUUGAAUUAGUAAUCCCUUGUGUUAAGCUGUUGUUUUUGUGUUCUUUUGAUGAGUUUGGCUUGUUGUUAUGAAAAGUGUUUGUUGUGGCGAGUUUGAACGUUUUUGAGCAUGUGUAAUGGCAUGAAUGUGUUGAAUUAGUAAUCCCUUGUGUUAAGCUGUUGUUUUAGUGUUCUUUUGAUGAGUUUGGCUUGUUGUUAUGAAAAGUGUUUGUUUUGGCGAGUUUGAACGUUUUUGAGCAUGUGUAAUGGCAUGAAUGCGUAAAGCUGUUGUUUUAGUGUUCUUUUGAUGAGUUUGGCUUGUUGUUAUGAAAAGUGUUUGUUUUGGCGAGUUUGAACGUUUUUGAGGAUGUGUAAUGGCAUGAAUGUGUUGAAUUAGUAAUCCCUUGUGUUAAGCUGUUGUUUUAGUGUUCUUUUGAUGAGUUUGGCUUGUUGUUAUGAAAAGUGUUUGUUUUGGCGAGUUUGAACUUUUUGAGCAUGUGUAAUGGCAUGAAUGCGUUAAGCUGUUGUUUUAGUGUUCUUUUGAUGAGUUAGGCUUGUUGUUAUGAAAAGUGUUUGUUUUGGCGAGUUUGAACGUUUUUGAGCAUGUGUAAUGGCAUGAAUGCGUAAAGCUGUUGUUUUAGUGUUCUUUUGAUGAGUUUGGCUUGUUGUUAUGAAAAGUGUUUGUUUUGGCGAGUUUGAACGUUUUUGAGCAUGUGUAAUGGCAUGAAUGCGUUAAGCUGUUGUUUUAGUGUUCUUUUGAUGAGUUUGGCUUGUUGUUAUGAAAAGAGUUUGUUUUGGCGACUUUGAAUGUUUUUGAGCAUGUGUAAUGACAUGAAUGCGUUAAGCUGUUGUUUUAGUGUUCUUUUGUUGAGUUUGGCUUGUUGUUAUGAAAAGUGUUUGUUUUGGCGAGUUUGAACGUUUUUGAGCAUGGGUAAUGGCAUGAAUGUGUUGAAUUAGUAAUCCCUUGUGUUAAGCUGUUGUUUUUGUGUUCUUUUGAUGAGUUUGGCUUGUUGUUAUGAAAAGUGUUUGUUGUGGCGAGUUUGAACGUUUUUGAGCAUGUGUAAUGACAUGAAUGCGUUAAGCUGUUGUUUUAGUGUUCUUUUGAUGAGUUUGGCUUGUUGUUAUGAAAAGUGUUUGUUUUGGCGAGUUUGAAGGUUUUUGAGCAUGUGUAAUGGCAUGAAUGCGUUAAGCUGUUGUUUUAGUGUUCUUUUGAUGAGUUUGGCUUGUUGUUAAGAACAUUGUUCGUUUUGCCAUGUUGAAGGUUUUUGAGCAUGUGUAAUGGAAUGAAUGUGUUGAAUUAGUAAUCCCUUGUGUUAAGCUGUUGUUUUAGUGUUCUUUUGAUGAGUUUGGCUUUUUGUUAUGAAAAGUGUUUGUUUUGGCGAGUUUGAACGUUUUUUGAGCAUGUGUAAUGUCAUGAAUGUGUUGAAUUAGUAAUCCCUUAUGUUAAGCUGUUGUUUUAGUGUUCUUUUGAUGAGUUUGGCUUGUUGUUAUGAAAAGUGUUUGUUUUGGCGAGUUUGAACGUUUUUGAGCAUGUGUAAUGGCAUGAAUGCGUAAAGCUGUUGUUUUAGUGUUCUUUUGAUGAGUUUGGCUUGUUGUUAUGAAAAGUGUUUGUUUUGGCGAGUUUGAACGUUUUUGAGCAUGUGUAAUGGCAUGAAUGCGUAAAGCUGUUGUUUUAGUGUUCUUUUGAUGAGUUUGGCUUGUUGUUAUGAAAAGUGUUUGUUUUGGCGAGUUUGAACGUUUUUGAGGAUGUGUAAUGGCAUGAAUGUGAUGAAUUAGUAAUCCCUUGUGUUAAGCUGUUGUUUUAGUGUUCUUUUGAUGAGUUUGGCUUGUUGUUAUGAAAAGUGUUUGUUUUGGCGAGUUUGAACUUUUUGAGCAUGUGUAAUGGCAUGAAUGCGUUAAGCUGUUGUUUUAGUGUUCUUUUGAUGAGUUAGGCUUGUUGUUAUGAAAAGUGUUUGUUUUGGCGAGUUUGAACGUUUUUGAGCAUGUGUAAUGGCAUGAAUGCGUAAAGCUGUUGUUUUAGUGUUCUUUUGAUGAGUUUGGCUUGUUGUUAUGAAAAGUGUUUGUUUUGGCGAGUUUGAACGUUUUUGAGCAUGUGUAAUGGCAUGAAUGCGUUAAGCUGUUGAUUUAGUGUUCUUUUGAUGAGUUUGGCUUGUUGUUAUGAAAAGUGUUUGUUUUGGCGAGUUUGAACGUUUUUGAGCAUGUGUAAUGGCAUGAAUGCGUUAAGCUGUUGUUUUAGUGUUCUUUUGAUGAGUUUAGCUUGUUGUUAUGAAAAGUCUUUGUUUUGGCGAGUUUGAACUUUUUGAGCAUAUGUAAUGGCAUGAAUGCGUUAAGCUGUUGUUUUAGUGUUCUUUUGAUGAGUUUGGCUUGUUGUUAUGAAAAGUGUUUGUUUUGGCGAGUUUGAACGUUUUUGAGCAUGUGUAAUGGCAUGAAUGUGUUGAAUUAGUAAUCCCUUGUGUUAAGCUGUUGUUUUAGUGUUCUUUUAAUGAGUUUGGCUUGUUGUUAUGAAAAGUGUUUGUUUUGGCGAGUUUGAAGGUUUUUGAGCAUGUGUAAUGGCAUGAAUGCGUUAAGCUGUUGUUUUAGUGUUCUUUUGAUGAGUUUGGCAUGUUGAUAUGAAAAGUGUUUGUUUUGGCGAGUUUGAACGUUUUUGAGCAUGUGUAAUGGCAUGAAUGUGUUGAAUUAGUAAUCCCUUGUGUAAAGCUGUUGUUUUAGUGUUCUUUUGAUGAGUUUGGCUUGUUGUUAUGAAAAGUGUUUGUUUUGGUGAGUUUGAACGUUUUUGAGCAUGUGUAAUGGCAUGAAUGCGUUAAGCUGUUGUUUUAGUGUUCUUUUGAUGAGUUUGGCUUGUUGUUAUGAAAAGUGUUUUUUUUUGGCGAGUUUGAAGGUUUUUGAGCAUGUGUAAUGGCAUGAAUGCGUUAAGCUGUUGUUUGAGUGUUCUUUUGAUGAGUUUGGCAUGUUGAUAUGAAAAGUGUUUGUUUUGGCGAGUUUGAAUGUUUUUGAGCAUGUGUAAUGGCAUGAAUGCGUUAAGCUGUUGUUUUAGUGUUCUUUUGAUGAGUUUGGCUUGUUGUUAUGAAAAGUGUUUGUUUUGGCGAGUUUGAAGGUUUUUGAGCAUGUGUAAUGGCAUGAAUGUGUGGAAUUAGUAAUCCCUUGUGUUAAGCUGUUGUUUUAGUGUUCUUUUGAUGAGUUUUGCUUGUUGUUAUGAAAAGUGUUUGUUUUGGCGAGUUUGAACGUUUUUGAGCAUGUGUAAUGGCAUGAAUACGUUAAGCUGUUGUUUAAGUGUUCUUUUGAUGAGUUUGGCUUGUUAUGAAAAGUGUUUGUUUUGGCGAGUUUGAACGUUUUUGAGCAUGUGUAAUGGCAUGAAUGCGUUAAGCUGUUGUUUUAGUGUCCUUUUGAUGAGUUUGGCUUGUUGUUAUGAACAUUGUUCGUUUUGGCGAGUUUGAAGGUUUUUGAGCAUGUGUAAUGGCAUGAAUGUGUUGAAUUAGUAAUCCCUUGUGUUAAGCUGUUGUUUUAGUGUUCUUUUGAUGAGUUUGGCUUGUUGUUAUGAAAAGUGUUUGUUUUGGCGAGUUUGAACGUUUUUGAGCAUGUGUAAUGGCAUGAAUGUGUUGAAUUAGUAAUCCCUUGUGUUAAGCUGUUGUUUUAGUGUUCUUUUGAUGAGUUUGGCUUGUUGUUAUGAAAAGUGUUUGUUUUGGCGAGUUUGAACGUUUUUGAGCAUGUGUAAUGGCAUGAAUGCGUAAAGCUGUUGUUUUAGUGUUCUUUUGAUGAGUUUAGCUUGUUGUUAUGAAAAGUCUUUGUUUUGGCGAGUUUGAACUUUUUGAGCAUAUGUAAUGGCAUGAAUGCGUUAAGCUGUUGUUUUAGUGUUCUUUUGAUGAGUUUGGCUUGUUGUUAUGAAAAGUGUUUGUUUUGGCGAGUUUGAACGUUUUUGAGCAUGUGUAAUGGCAUGAAUGUGUUGAAUUAGUAAUCCCUUGUGUUAAGCUGUUGUUUUAGUGUUCUUUUAAUGAGUUUGGCUUGUUGUUAUGAAAAGUGUUUGUUUUGGCGAGUUUGAAGGUUUUUGAGCAUGUGUAAUGGCAUGAAUGCGUUAAGCUGUUGUUUUAGUGUUCUUUUGAUGAGUUUGGCAUGUUGAUAUGAAAAGUGUUUGUUUUGGCGAGUUUGAACGUUUUUGAGCAUGUGUAAUGGCAUGAAUGUGUUGAAUUAGUAAUCCCUUGUGUUAAGCUGUUGUUUUAGUGUUCUUUUGAUGAGUUUGGCUUGUUGUUAUGAAAAGUGUUUGUUUUGGUGAGUUUGAACGUUUUUGAGCAUGUGUAAUGGCAUGAAUGCGUUAAGCUGUUGUUUUAGUGUUCUUUUGAUGAGUUUGGCUUGUUGUUAUGAAAAGUGUUUUUUUUUUGGCGAGUUUGAAGGUUUUUGAGCAUGUGUAAUGGCAUGAAUGCGUUAAGCUGUUGUUUGAGUGUUCUUUUGAUGAGUUUGGCAUGUUGAUAUGAAAAGUGUUUGUUUUGGCGAGUUUGAAUGUUUUUGAGCAUGUGUAAUGGCAUGAAUGCGUUAAGCUGUUGUUUUAGUGUUCUUUUGAUGAGUUUGGCUUGUUGUUAUGAAAAGUGUUUGUUUUGGCGAGUUUGAAGGUUUUUGAGCAUGUGUAAUGGCAUGAAUGUGUGGAAUUAGUAAUCCCUUGUGUUAAGCUGUUGUUUUAGUGUUCUUUUGAUGAGUUUGGCUUGUUGUUAUGAAAAGUGUUUGUUUUGGCGAGUUUGAACGUUUUUGAGCAUGUGUAAUGGCAUGAAUACGUUAAGCUGUUGUUUUAGUGUUCUUUUGAUGAGUUUGGCUUGUUAUGAAAAGUGUUUGUUUUGGCGAGUUUGAACGUUUUUGAGCAUGUGUAAUGGCAUGAAUGCGUUAAGCUGUUGUUUUAGUGUCCUUUUGAUGAGUUUGGCUUGUUGUUAUGAACAUUGUUCGUUUUGGCGAGUUUGAAGGUUUUUGAGCAUGUGUAAUGGCAUGAAUGUGUUGAAUUAGUAAUCCCUUGUGUUAAGCUGUUGUUUUAGUGUUCUUUUGAUGAGUUUGGCUUGUUGUUAUGAAAAGUGUUUGUUUUGGCCAGUUUGAACGUUUUUGAGCAUGUGUAAUGGCAUGAAUGUGUUGAAUUAGUAAUCCCUUGUGUUAAGCUGUUGUUUUAGUGUUCUUUUGAUGAGUUUGGCUUGUUGUUAUGAAAAGUGUUUGUUUUGGCGAGUUUGAACGUUUUUGAGCAUGUGUAAUGGCAUGAAUGCGUAAAGCUGUUGUUUUAGUGUUCUUUUGAUGAGUUUGGCUUGUUGUUAUGAAAAGUGUUUGUUUUGGCGAGUUUGAACGUUUUUGAGGAUGUGUAAUGGCAUGAAUGUGUUGAAUUAGUAAUCCCUUGUGUUAAGCUGUUGUUUUAGUGUUCUUUUGAUGAGUUUGGCUUGUUGUUAUGAAAAGUGUUUGUUUUGGCGAGUUUGAACGUUUUUGAGCAUGUGUAAUGGCAUGAAUGCGUAAAGCUGUUGUUUUAGUGUUCUUUUGAUGAGUUUGGCUUGUUGUUAUGAAAAGAGUUUGUUUUGGCGAGUUUGAACGUUUUUGAGCAUGUGUAAUGGCAUGAAUGCGUUAAGCUGUUGUUUUAGUGUUCUUUUGAUGAGUUUGGCUUGUUGUUAUGAAAAGAGUUUGUUUUGGCGACUUUGAAUGUUUUUGAGCAUGUGUAAUGACAUGAAUGCGUUAAGCUGUUGUUUUAGUGUUCUUUUGUUGAGUCUGGCUUGUUGUUAUGAAAAGUGUUUGUUUUGGCGAGUUUGAACGUUUUUGAGCAUGGGUAAUGGCAUGAAUGUGUUGAAUUAGUAAUCCCUUGUGUUAAGCUGUUGUUUUUGUGUUCUUUUGAUGAGUUUGGCUUGUUGUUAUGAAAAGUGUUUGUUGUGGCGAGUUUGAACGUUUUUGAGCAUGUGUAAUGGCAUGAAUGUGUUGAAUUAGUAAUCCCUUGUGUUAAGCUGUUGUUUUAGUGUUCUUUUGAUGAGUUUGGCUUGUUGUUAUGAAAAGUGUUUGUUUUGGCGAGUUUGAACGUUUUUGAGCAUGUGUAAUGGCAUGAAUGCGUAAAGCUGUUGUUUUAGUGUUCUUUUGAUGAGUUUGGCUUGUUGUUAUGAAAAGUGUUUGUUUUGGCGAGUUUGAACGUUUUUGAGGAUGUGUAAUGGCAUGAAUGUGUUGAAUUAGUAAUCCCUUGUGUUAAGCUGUUGUUUUAGUGUUCUUUUGAUGAGUUUGGCUUGUUGUUAUGAAAAGUGUUUGUUUUGGCGAGUUUGAACUUCUUUGAGCAUGUGUAAUGGCAUGAAUGCGUUAAGCUGUUGUUUUAGUGUUCUUUUGAUGAGUUAGGCUUGUUGUUAUGAAAAGUGUUUGUUUUGGCGAGUUUGAACGUUUUUGAGCAUGUGUAAUGGCAUGAAUGCGUAAAGCUGUUGUUUUAGUGUUCUUUUGAUGAGUUUGGCUUGUUGUUAUGAAAAGUGUUUGUUUUGGCGAGUUUGAACGUUUUUGAGCAUGUGUAAUGGCAUGAAUGCGUUAAGCUGUUGUUUUAGUGUUCUUUUGAUGAGUUUGGCUUGUUGUUAUGAAAAGAGUUUGUUUUGGCGACUUUGAAUGUUUUUGAGCAUGUGUAAUGACAUGAAUGCGUUAAGCUGUUGUUUUAGUGUUCUUUUGUUGAGUUUGGCUUGUUGUUAUGAAAAGUGUUUGUUUUGGCGAGUUUGAACGUUUUUGAGCAUGGGUAAUGGCAUGAAUGUGUUGAAUUAGUAAUCCCUUGUGUUAAGCUGUUGUUUUUGUGUUCUUUUGAUGAGUUUGGCUUGUUGUUAUGAAAAGUGUUUGUUGUGGCGAGUUUGAACGUUUUUGAGCAUGUGUAAUGACAUGAAUGCGUUAAGCUGUUGUUUUAGUGUUCUUUUGAUGAGUUUGGCUUGUUGUUAUGAAAAGUGUUUGUUUUGGCGAGUUUGAAGGUUUUUGAGCAUGUGUAAUGGCAUGAAUGCGUUAAGCUGUUGUUUUAGUGUUCUUUUGAUGAGUUUGGCUUGUUGUUAAGAACAUUGUUCGUUUUGCCAUGUUGAAGGUUUUUGAGCAUGUGUAAUGGAAUGAAUGUGUUGAAUUAGUAAUCCCUUGUGUUAAGCUGUUGUUUUAGUGUUCUUUUGAUGAGUUUGGCUUUUUGUUAUGAAAAGUGUUUGUUUUGGCGAGUUUGAACGUUUUUUGAGCAUGUGUAAUGUCAUGAAUGUGUUGAAUUAGUAAUCCCUUAUGUUAAGCUGUUGUUUUAGUGUUCUUUUGAUGAGUUUGGCUUGUUGUUAUGAAAAGUGUUUGUUUUGGCGAGUUUGAACGUUUUUGAGCAUGUGUAAUGGCAUGAAUGCGUAAAGCUGUUGUUUUAGUGUUCUUUUGAUGAGUUUGGCUUGUUGUUAUGAAAAGUGUUUGUUUUGGCGAGUUUGAACGUUUUUGAGCAUGUGUAAUGGCAUGAAUGCGUAAAGCUGUUGUUUUAGUGUUCUUUUGAUGAGUUUGGCUUGUUGUUAUGAAAAGUGUUUGUUUUGGCGAGUUUGAACGUUUUUGAGGAUGUGUAAUGGCAUGAAUGUGAUGAAUUAGUAAUCCCUUGUGUUAAGCUGUUGUUUUAGUGUUCUUUUGAUGAGUUUGGCUUGUUGUUAUGAAAAGUGUUUGUUUUGGCGAGUUUGAACUUCUUUGAGCAUGUGUAAUGGCAUGAAUGCGUUAAGCUGUUGUUUUAGUGUUCUUUUGAUGAGUUAGGCUUGUUGUUAUGAAAAGUGUUUGUUUUGGCGAGUUUGAACGUUUUUGAGCAUGUGUAAUGGCAUGAAUGCGUAAAGCUGUUGUUUUAGUGUUCUUUUGAUGAGUUUGGCUUGUUGUUAUGAAAAGUGUUUGUUUUGGCGAGUUUGAACGUUUUUGAGCAUGUGUAAUGGCAUGAAUGCGUUAAGCUGUUGUUUUAGUGUUCUUUUGAUGAGUUUGGCUUGUUGUUAUGAAAAGUGUUUGUUUUGGCGAGUUUGAACGUUUUUGAGCAUGUGUAAUGGCAUGAAUGCGUUAAGCUGUUGUUUUAGUGUUCUUUUGAUGAGUUUAGCUUGUUGUUAUGAAAAGUCUUUGUUUUGGCGAGUUUGAACUUUUUGAGCAUAUGUAAUGGCAUGAAUGCGUUAAGCUGUUGUUUUAGUGUUCUUUUGAUGAGUUUGGCUUGUUGUUAUGAAAAGUGUUUGUUUUGGCGAGUUUGAACGUUUUUGAGCAUGUGUAAUGGCAUGAAUGUGUUGAAUUAGUAAUCCCUUGUGUUAAGCUGUUGUUUUAGUGUUCUUUUAAUGAGUUUGGCUUGUUGUUAUGAAAAGUGUUUGUUUUGGCGAGUUUGAAGGUUUUUGAGCAUGUGUAAUGGCAUGAAUGCGUUAAGCUGUUGUUUUAGUGUUCUUUUGAUGAGUUUGGCAUGUUGAUAUGAAAAGUGUUUGUUUUGGCGAGUUUGAACGUUUUUGAGCAUGUGUAAUGGCAUGAAUGUGUUGAAUUAGUAAUCCCUUGUGUAAAGCUGUUGUUUUAGUGUUCUUUUGAUGAGUUUGGCUUGUUGUUAUGAAAAGUGUUUGUUUUGGUGAGUUUGAACGUUUUUGAGCAUGUGUAAUGGCAUGAAUGCGUUAAGCUGUUGUUUUAGUGUUCUUUUGAUGAGUUUGGCUUGUUGUUAUGAAAAGUGUUUUUUUUUGGCGAGUUUGAAGGUUUUUGAGCAUGUGUAAUGGCAUGAAUGCGUUAAGCUGUUGUUUGAGUGUUCUUUUGAUGAGUUUGGCAUGUUGAUAUGAAAAGUGUUUGUUUUGGCGAGUUUGAAUGUUUUUGAGCAUGUGUAAUGGCAUGAAUGCGUUAAGCUGUUGUUUUAGUGUUCUUUUGAUGAGUUUGGCUUGUUGUUAUGAAAAGUGUUUGUUUUGGCGAGUUUGAAGGUUUUUGAGCAUGUGUAAUGGCAUGAAUGUGUGGAAUUAGUAAUCCCUUGUGUUAAGCUGUUGUUUUAGUGUUCUUUUGAUGAGUUUUGCUUGUUGUUAUGAAAAGUGUUUGUUUUGGCGAGUUUGAACGUUUUUGAGCAUGUGUAAUGGCAUGAAUACGUUAAGCUGUUGUUUAAGUGUUCUUUUGAUGAGUUUGGCUUGUUAUGAAAAGUGUUUGUUUUGGCGAGUUUGAACGUUUUUGAGCAUGUGUAAUGGCAUGAAUGCGUUAAGCUGUUGUUUUAGUGUCCUUUUGAUGAGUUUGGCUUGUUGUUAUGAACAUUGUUCGUUUUGGCGAGUUUGAAGGUUUUUGAGCAUGUGUAAUGGCAUGAAUGUGUUGAAUUAGUAAUCCCUUGUGUUAAGCUGUUGUUUUAGUGUUCUUUUGAUGAGUUUGGCUUGUUGUUAUGAAAAGUGUUUGUUUUGGCGAGUUUGAACGUUUUUGAGCAUGUGUAAUGGCAUGAAUGUGUUGAAUUAGUAAUCCCUUGUGUUAAGCUGUUGUUUUAGUGUUCUUUUGAUGAGUUUGGCUUGUUGUUAUGAAAAGUGUUUGUUUUGGCGAGUUUGAACGUUUUUGAGCAUGUGUAAUGGCAUGAAUGCGUAAAGCUGUUGUUUUAGUGUUCUUUUGAUGAGUUUGGCUUGUUGUUAUGAAAAGUGUUUGUUUUGGCGAGUUUGAACGUUUUUGAGGAUGUGUAAUGGCAUGAAUGUGUUGAAUUAGUAAUCCCUUGUGUUAAGCUGUUGUUUUAGUGUUCUUUUGAUGAGUUUGGCUUGUUGUUAUGAAAAGUGUUUGUUUUGGCGAGUUUGAACUUCUUUGAGCAUGUGUAAUGGCAUGAAUGCGUUAAGCUGUUGUUUUAGUGUUCUUUUGAUGAGUUAGGCUUGUUGUUAUGAAAAGUGUUUGUUUUGGCGAGUUUGAACGUUUUUGAGCAUGUGUAAUGGCAUGAAUGCGUAAAGCUGUUGUUUUAGUGUUCUUUUGAUGAGUUUGGCUUGUUGUUAUGAAAAGUGUUUGUUUUGGCGAGUUUGAACGUUUUUGAGCAUGUGUAAUGGCAUGAAUGCGUUAAGCUGUUGUUUUAGUGUUCUUUUGAUGAGUUUGGCUUGUUGUUAUGAAAAGAGUUUGUUUUGGCGACUUUGAAUGUUUUUGAGCAUGUGUAAUGACAUGAAUGCGUUAAGCUGUUGUUUUAGUGUUCUUUUGUUGAGUCUGGCUUGUUGUUAUGAAAAGUGUUUGUUUUGGCGAGUUUGAACGUUUUUGAGCAUGGGUAAUGGCAUGAAUGUGUUGAAUUAGUAAUCCCUUGUGUUAAGCUGUUGUUUUUGUGUUCUUUUGAUGAGUUUGGCUUGUUGUUAUGAAAAGUGUUUGUUGUGGCGAGUUUGAACGUUUUUGAGCAUGUGUAAUGGCAUGAAUGUGUUGAAUUAGUAAUCCCUUGUGUUAAGCUGUUGUUUUAGUGUUCUUUUGAUGAGUUUGGCUUGUUGUUAUGAAAAGUGUUUGUUUUGGCGAGUUUGAACGUUUUUGAGCAUGUGUAAUGGCAUGAAUGCGUAAAGCUGUUGUUUUAGUGUUCUUUUGAUGAGUUUGGCUUGUUGUUAUGAAAAGUGUUUGUUUUGGCGAGUUUGAACGUUUUUGAGGAUGUGUAAUGGCAUGAAUGUGUUGAAUUAGUAAUCCCUUGUGUUAAGCUGUUGUUUUAGUGUUCUUUUGAUGAGUUUGGCUUGUUGUUAUGAAAAGUGUUUGUUUUGGCGAGUUUGAACUUCUUUGAGCAUGUGUAAUGGCAUGAAUGCGUUAAGCUGUUGUUUUAGUGUUCUUUUGAUGAGUUAGGCUUGUUGUUAUGAAAAGUGUUUGUUUUGGCGAGUUUGAACGUUUUUGAGCAUGUGUAAUGGCAUGAAUGCGUAAAGCUGUUGUUUUAGUGUUCUUUUGAUGAGUUUGGCUUGUUGUUAUGAAAAGUGUUUGUUUUGGCGAGUUUGAACGUUUUUGAGCAUGUGUAAUGGCAUGAAUGCGUUAAGCUGUUGUUUUAGUGUUCUUUUGAUGAGUUUGGCUUGUUGUUAUGAAAAGAGUUUGUUUUGGCGACUUUGAAUGUUUUUGAGCAUGUGUAAUGACAUGAAUGCGUUAAGCUGUUGUUUUAGUGUUCUUUUGUUGAGUUUGGCUUGUUGUUAUGAAAAGUGUUUGUUUUGGCGAGUUUGAACGUUUUUGAGCAUGGGUAAUGGCAUGAAUGUGUUGAAUUAGUAAUCCCUUGUGUUAAGCUGUUGUUUUUGUGUUCUUUUGAUGAGUUUGGCUUGUUGUUAUGAAAAGUGUUUGUUGUGGCGAGUUUGAACGUUUUUGAGCAUGUGUAAUGACAUGAAUGCGUUAAGCUGUUGUUUUAGUGUUCUUUUGAUGAGUUUGGCUUGUUGUUAUGAAAAGUGUUUGUUUUGGCGAGUUUGAAGGUUUUUGAGCAUGUGUAAUGGCAUGAAUGCGUUAAGCUGUUGUUUUAGUGUUCUUUUGAUGAGUUUGGCUUGUUGUUAAGAACAUUGUUCGUUUUGCCAUGUUGAAGGUUUUUGAGCAUGUGUAAUGGAAUGAAUGUGUUGAAUUAGUAAUCCCUUAUGUUAAGCUGUUGUUUUAGUGUUCUUUUGAUGAGUUUGGCUUUUUGUUAUGAAAAGUGUUUGUUUUGGCGAGUUUGAACGUUUUUUGAGCAUGUGUAAUGUCAUGAAUGUGUUGAAUUAGUAAUCCCUUAUGUUAAGCUGUUGUUUUAGUGUUCUUAUGAUGAGUUUGGCUUGUUGUUAUGAAAAGUGUUUGUUUUGGCGAGUUUGAACGUUUUUGAGCAUGUGUAAUGGCAUGAAUGCGUAAAGCUGUUGUUUUAGUGUUCUUUUGAUGAGUUUGGCUUGUUGUUAUGAAAAGUGUUUGUUUUGGCGAGUUUGAACGUUUUUGAGGAUGUGUAAUGGCAUGAAUGUGUUGAAUUAGUAAUCCCUUGUGUUAAGCUGUUGUUUUAGUGUUCUUUUGAUGAGUUUGGCUUGUUGUUAUGAAAAGUGUUUGUUUUGGCGAGUUUGAACUUCUUUGAGCAUGUGUAAUGGCAUGAAUGCGUUAAGCUGUUGUUUUAGUGUUCUUUUGAUGAGUUAGGCUUGUUGUUAUGAAAAGUGUUUGUUUUGGCGAGUUUGAACGUUUUUGAGCAUGUGUAAUGGCAUGAAUGCGUAAAGCUGUUGUUUUAGUGUUCUUUUGAUGAGUUUGGCUUGUUGUUAUGAAAAGUGUUUGUUUUGGCGAGUUUGAACGUUUUUGAGCAUGUGUAAUGGCAUGAAUGCGUUAAGCUGUUGUUUUAGUGUUCUUUUGAUGAGUUUGGCUUGUUGUUAUGAAAAGAGUUUGUUUUGGCGACUUUGAAUGUUUUUGAGCAUGUGUAAUGACAUGAAUGCGUUAAGCUGUUGUUUUAGUGUUCUUUUGUUGAGUUUGGCUUGUUGUUAUGAAAAGUGUUUGUUUUGGCGAGUUUGAACGUUUUUGAGCAUGGGUAAUGGCAUGAAUGUGUUGAAUUAGUAAUCCCUUGUGUUAAGCUGUUGUUUUUGUGUUCUUUUGAUGAGUUUGGCUUGUUGUUAUGAAAAGUGUUUGUUGUGGCGAGUUUGAACGUUUUUGAGCAUGUGUAAUGACAUGAAUGCGUUAAGCUGUUGUUUUAGUGUUCUUUUGAUGAGUUUGGCUUGUUGUUAUGAAAAGUGUUUGUUUUGGCGAGUUUGAAGGUUUUUGAGCAUGUGUAAUGGCAUGAAUGCGUUAAGCUGUUGUUUUAGUGUUCUUUUGAUGAGUUUGGCUUGUUGUUAAUAACAUUGUUCGUUUUGCCAUGUUGAAGGUUUUUGAGCAUGUGUAAUGGAAUGAAUGUGUUGAAUUAGUAAUCCCUUGUGUUAAGCUGUUGUUUUAGUGUUCUUUUGAUGAGUUUGGCUUUUUGUUAUGAAAAGUGUUUGUUUUGGCGAGUUUGAACGUUUUUUGAGCAUGUGUAAUGUCAUGAAUGUGUUGAAUUAGUAAUCCCUUGUGUUAAGCUGUUGUUUUAGUGUUCUUUUGAUGAGUUUGGCUUGUUGUUAUGAAAAGUGUUUGUUUUGGCGAGUUUGAACGUUUUUGAGCAUGUGUAAUGGCAUGAAUGCGUAAAGCUGUUGUUUUAGUGUUCUUUUGAUGAGUUUGGCUUGUUGUUUUGAAAAGUGUUUGUUUUGGCGAGUUUGAACGUUUUUGAGGAUGUGUAAUGGCAUGAAUGUGUUGAAUUGGUAAUCCCUUGUGUUAAGCUGUUGUUUUAGUGUUCUUUUGAUGAGUUUGGCUUGUUGUUAUGAAAAGUGUUUGUUUUGGCGAGUUUGAACUUCUUUGAGCAUGUGUAAUGGCAUGAAUGCGUUAAGCUGUUGUUUUAGUGUUCUUUUGAUGAGUUAGGCUUGUUGUUAUGAAAAGUGUUUGUUUUGGCGAGUUUGAACGUUUUUGAGCAUGUGUAAUGGCAUGAAUGCGUAAAGCUGUUGUUUUAGUGUUCUUUUGAUGAGUUUGGCUUGUUGUUAUGAAAAGUGUUUGUUUUGGCGAGUUUGAACGUUUUUGAGCAUGUGUAAUGGCAUGAAUGCGUUAAGCUGUUGUUUUAGUGUUCUUUUGAUGAGUUUGGCUUGUUGUUAUGAAAAGAGUUUGUUUUGGCGACUUUGAAUGUUUUUGAGCAUGUGUAAUGACAUGAAUGCGUUAAGCUGUUGUUUUAGUGUUCUUUUGUUGAGUUUGGCUUGUUGUUAUGAAAAGUGUUUGUUUUGGCGAGUUUGAACGUUUUUGAGCAUGGGUAAUGGCAUGAAUGUGUUGAAUUAGUAAUCCCUUGUGUUAAGCUGUUGUUUUUGUGUUCUUUUGAUGAGUUUGGCUUGUUGUUAUGAAAAGUGUUUGUUGUGGCGAGUUUGAACGUUUUUGAGCAUGUGUAAUGGCAUGAAUGUGUUGAAUUAGUAAUCCCUUGUGUUAAGCUGUUGUUUUAGUGUUCUUUUGAUGAGUUUGGCUUGUUGUUAUGAAAAGUGUUUGUUUUGGCGAGUUUGAACGUUUUUGAGCAUGUGUAAUGGCAUGAAUGCGUAAAGCUGUUGUUUUAGUGUUCUUUUGAUGAGUUUGGCUUGUUGUUAUGAAAAGUGUUUGUUUUGGCGAGUUUGAACGUUUUUGAGGAUGUGUAAUGGCAUGAAUGUGUUGAAUUAGUAAUCCCUUGUGUUAAGCUGUUGUUUUAGUGUUCUUUUGAUGAGUUUGGCUUGUUGUUAUGAAAAGUGUUUGUUUUGGCGAGUUUGAACUUCUUUGAGCAUGUGUAAUGGCAUGAAUGCGUUAAGCUGUUGUUUUAGUGUUCUUUUGAUGAGUUAGGCUUGUUGUUAUGAAAAGUGUUUGUUUUGGCGAGUUUGAACGUUUUUGAGGAUGUGUAAUGGCAUGAAUGUGUUGAAUUAGUAAUCCCUUGUGUUAAGCUGUUGUUUUAGUGUUCUUUUGAUGAGUUUGGCUUGUUGUUAUGAAAAGUGUUUGUUUUGGCGAGUUUGAACUUCUUUGAGCAUGUGUAAUGGCAUGAAUGCGUUAAGCUGUUGUUUUAGUGUUCUUUUGAUGAGUUAGGCUUGUUGUUAUGAAAAGUGUUUGUUUUGGCGAGUUUGAACGUUUUUGAGCAUGUGUAAUGGCAUGAAUGCGUAAAGCUGUUGUUUUAGUGUUCUUUUGAUGAGUUUGGCUUGUUGUUAUGAAAAGUGUUUGUUUUGGCGAGUUUGAACGUUUUUGAGCAUGUGUAAUGGCAUGAAUGCGUUAAGCUGUUGUUUUAGUGUUCUUUUGAUGAGUUUGGCUUGUUGUUAUGAAAAGAGUUUGUUUUGGCGACUUUGAAUGUUUUUGAGCAUGUGUAAUGACAUGAAUGCGUUAAGCUGUUGUUUUAGUGUUCUUUUGUUGAGUUUGGCUUGUUGUUAUGAAAAGUGUUUGUUUUGGCGAGUUUGAACGUUUUUGAGCAUGGGUAAUGGCAUGAAUGUGUUGAAUUAGUAAUCCCUUGUGUUAAGCUGUUGUUUUUGUGUUCUUUUGAUGAGUUUGGCUUGUUGUUAUGAAAAGUGUUUGUUGUGGCGAGUUUGAACGUUUUUGAGCAUGUGUAAUGACAUGAAUGCGUUAAGCUGUUGUUUUAGUGUUCUUUUGAUGAGUUUGGCUUGUUGUUAUGAAAAGUGUUUGUUUUGGCGAGUUUGAAGGUUUUUGAGCAUGUGUAAUGGCAUGAAUGCGUUAAGCUGUUGUUUUAGUGUUCUUUUGAUGAGUUUGGCUUGUUGUUAAGAACAUUGUUCGUUUUGCCAUAUUGAAGGUUUUUGAGCAUGUGUAAUGGAAUGAAUGUGUUGAAUUAGUAAUCCCUUGUGUUAAGCUGUUGUUUUAGUGUUCUUUUGAUGAGUUUGGCUUUUUGUUAUGAAAAGUGUUUGUUUUGGCGAGUUUGAACGUUUUUUGAGCAUGUGUAAUGUCAUGAAUGUGUUGAAUUAGUAAUCCCUUAUGUUAAGCUGUUGUUUUAGUGUUCUUAUGAUGAGUUUGGCUUGUUGUUAUGAAAAGUGUUUGUUUUGGCGAGUUUGAACGUUUUUGAGCAUGUGUAAUGGCAUGAAUGCGUAAAGCUGUUGUUUUAGUGUUCUUUUGAUGAGUUUGGCUUGUUGUUAUGAAAAGUGUUUGUUUUGGCGAGUUUGAACGUUUUUGAGGAUGUGUAAUGGCAUGAAUGUGUUGAAUUAGUAAUCCCUUGUGUUAAGCUGUUGUUUUAGUGUUCUUUUGAUGAGUUUGGCUUGUUGUUAUGAAAAGUGUUUGUUUUGGCGAGUUUGAACUUCUUUGAGCAUGUGUAAUGGCAUGAAUGCGUUAAGCUGUUGUUUUAGUGUUCUUUUGAUGAGUUAGGCUUGUUGUUAUGAAAAGUGUUUGUUUUGGCGAGUUUGAACGUUUUUGAGCAUGUGUAAUGGCAUGAAUGCGUAAAGCUGUUGUUUUAGUGUUCUUUUGAUGAGUUUGGCUUGUUGUUAUGAAAAGUGUUUGUUUUGGCGAGUUUGAACGUUUUUGAGCAUGUGUAAUGGCAUGAAUGCGUUAAGCUGUUGUUUUAGUGUUCUUUUGAUGAGUUUGGCUUGUUGUUAUGAAAAGAGUUUGUUUUGGCGACUUUGAAUGUUUUUGAGCAUGUGUAAUGACAUGAAUGCGUUAAGCUGUUGUUUUAGUGUUCUUUUGUUGAGUUUGGCUUGUUGUUAUGAAAAGUGUUUGUUUUGGCGAGUUUGAACGUUUUUGAGCAUGGGUAAUGGCAUGAAUGUGUUGAAUUAGUAAUCCCUUGUGUUAAGCUGUUGUUUUUGUGUUCUUUUGAUGAGUUUGGCUUGUUGUUAUGAAAAGUGUUUGUUGUGGCGAGUUUGAACGUUUUUGAGCAUGUGUAAUGACAUGAAUGCGUUAAGCUGUUGUUUUAGUGUUCUUUUGAUGAGUUUGGCUUGUUGUUAUGAAAAGUGUUUGUUUUGGCGAGUUUGAAGGUUUUUGAGCAUGUGUAAUGGCAUGAAUGCGUUAAGCUGUUGUUUUAGUGUUCUUUUGAUGAGUUUGGCUUGUUGUUAAGAACAUUGUUCGUUUUGCCAUGUUGAAGGUUUUUGAGCAUGUGUAAUGGAAUGAAUGUGUUGAAUUAGUAAUCCCUUGUGUUAAGCUGUUGUUUUAGUGUUCUUUUGAUGAGUUUGGCUUUUUGUUAUGAAAAGUGUUUGUUUUGGCGAGUUUGAACGUUUUUUGAGCAUGUGUAAUGUCAUGAAUGUGUUGAAUUAGUAAUCCCUUAUGUUAAGCUGUUGUUUUAGUGUUCUUUUGAUGAGUUUGGCUUGUUGUUAUGAAAAGUGUUUGUUUUGGCGAGUUUGAAUGUUUUUGAGCAUGUGUAAUGGCAUGAAUGCGUUAAGCUGUUGUUUUAGUGUUCUUUUGAUGAGUUUGGCUUGUUGUUGUGAAAAGUGUUUGUUUUGGCGAGUUUGAACGUUUUUGAGCAUGUGUAAUGGCAUGAAUGCGUUAAGCUGUUGUUUUAGUGUUCUUUUGAUGAGUUUGGCUUGUUGUUAUGAAAAGUGUUUGUUUUGGCGAGUUUGAACGUUUUUGAGCAUGUGUAAUGGCAUGAAUGUGUUGAAUUAGUAAUCCCUUGUGUUAAGCUGUUGUUUUAGUGUUCUUUUGAUGAGUUUGGCUUGUUGUUAUGAAAAGUGUUUGUUUUGGCGAGUUUGAACGUUUUUGAGCAUGUGUAAUGGCAUGAAUGCGUUAAGCUGUUGUUUUAGUGUUCUUUUGAUGAGUUUGGCUUGUUGUUAUGAAAAGUGUUUGUUUUGGCGAGUUUGAACGUUUUUGAGCAUGUGUAAUGGCAUGAAUGCGUAAAGCUGUUGUUUUAGUGUUCUUUUGAUGAGUUUGGCUUGUUGUUAUGAAAAGUGUUUGUUUUGGCGAGUUUGAACGUUUUUGAGCAUGUGUAAUGGCAUGAAUGCGUAAAGCUGUUGUUUUAGUGUUCUUUUGAUGAGUCUAGCUUGUUGUUAUGAAAAGUCUUUGUUUUGGCGAGUUUGAACUUUUUGAGCAUAUGUAAUGGCAUGAAUGCGUUAAGCUGUUGUUUUAGUGUUCUUUUGAUGAGUUUGGCUUGUUGUUAUGAAAAGUGUUUGUUUUGGCGAGUUUGAACGUUUUUGAGCAUGUGUAAUGGCAUGAAUGCGUAAAGCUGUUGUUUUAGUGUUCUUUUGAUGAGUUUGGCUUGUUGUUAUGAAAAGUGUUUGUUUUGGCGAGUUUGAACGUUUUUGAGCAUGUGUAAUGGCAUGAAUGCGUAAAGCUGUUGUUUUAGUGUUCUUUUGAUGAGUCUAGCUUGUUGUUAUGAAAAGUCUUUGUUUUGCCGAGUUUGAACUUUUUGAGCAUAUGUAAUGGCAUGAAUGCGUUAAGCUGUUGUUUUAGUGUUCUUUUGAUGAGUUUGGCUUGUUGUUAUGAAAAGUGUUUGUUUUGGUGAGUUUGAACGUUUUUGAGCAUGUGUAAUGGCAUGAAUGCGUUAAGCUGUUGUUUUAGUGUUCUUUUGAUGAGUUUGGCUUGUUGUUAUGAAAAGUGUUUGUUUUGGCGAGUUUGAACGUUUUUGAGCAUGUGUAAUGGCAUGAAUGCGUUAAGCUGUUGUUUUAGUGUUCUUUUGAUGAGUUUGGCUUGUUGUUAUGAAAAGUGUUUGUUUUGGCAAGUUUGACGGUUUUUGAGCAUGUGUAAUGGCAUGAAUGCGUUAAGCUGUUGUUUUAGUGUUCUUUUGAUGAGUUUGGCAUGUUGAUAUGAAAAGUGUUUGUUUUGGCGAGUUUGAACGUUUUUGAGCAUGUGUAAUGGCAUGAAUGCGUUAAGCUGUUGUUUUAGUGUUCUUUUGAUGAGUUUGGCUUGUUGUUAUGAAAAGUGUUUGUUUUGGCGAGUUUGAACGUUUUUGAGCAUGUGUAAUGGCAUGAAUGUGUUGAAUUAGUAAUCCCUUGUGUUAAGCUGUUGUUUUAGUGUUCUUUUGAUGAGUUUGGCUUGUUGUUAUGAAAAGUGUUUGUUUUGGUGAGUUUGAACGUUUUUGAGCAUGUGUAAUGGCAUGAAUGCGUUAAGCUGUUGUUUUAGUGUUCUUUUGAUGAGUUUGGCUUGUUGUUAUGAAAAGUGUUUGUUUUGGCGAGUUUGAACGUUUUUGAGGAUGUGUAAUGGCAUGAAUGUGUUGAAUUAGUAAUCCCUUGUGUUAAGCUGUUGUUUUAGUGUUCUUUUGAUGAGUUUGGCUUGUUGUUAUGAAAAGUGUUUGUUUUGGCGAGUUUGAACGUUUUUGAGCAUGUGUAAUGGCAUGAAAGCGUUAAGCUGUUGUUUUAGUGUUCUUUUGAUGAGUUUGGCUUGUUAUGAAAAGUGUUUGUUUUGGCGAGUUUGAACGUUUUUGAGCAUGUGUAAUGGCAUGAAUGCGUUAAGCUGUUGUUUUAGUGUUCUUUUGAUGAGUUUGGCUUGUUGUUAUGAAAAGUGUUUGUUUUGGCGAGUUUGAACGUUUUUGAGGAUGUGUAAUGGCAUGAAUGUGUUGAAUUAGUAAUCCCUUGUGUUAAGCUUUUGUUUUAGUGUUCUUUUGAUGAGUUUGGCUUGUUGUUAUGAAAAGUGUUUGUUUUGGCGAGUUUGAAGGUUUUUGAGCAUGUGUCAUGGCAUGAAUGCGUUAAGCUGUUGUUUUAGUGUUCUUUUGAUGAGUUUGGCUUGUUGUUAUGAAAAGUGUUUGUUUUGGCGAGUUUGAACGUUUUUGAGCAUGUGUAAUGGCAUGAAUGCGUUAAGCUGUUGUUUUAGUGUCCUUUUGAUGAGUUUGGCUUGUUGUUAUGAACAUUGUUCGUUUUGGCGAGUUUGAAGGUUUUUGAGCAUGUGUAAUGGCAUGAAUGUGUUGAAUUAGUAAUCCCUUGUGUUAAGCUGUUGUUUUAGUGUUCUUUUGAUGAGUUUGGCUUGUUGUUAUGAAAAGUUUUUGUUUUGGCGAGUUUGAACGUUUUUGAGCAUGUGUAAUGGCAUGAAUGCGUUAAGCUGUUGUUUUAGUGUUCUUUUGAUGAGUUUGGCUUGUUGUUAUGAACAUUGUUCGUUUUGGCGAGUUUGAACGUUUUUGAGCAUUUGUAAUGGCAUGAAUGUGUUGAAUUAGUAAUCCCUUGUGUAAAGCUGUUGUUUUAGUGUUCUUUUGAUGAGUUUGGCUUGUUGUUAUGAAAAGUGUUUUUUUUUGGCGAGUUUGAAGGUUUUUGAGCAUGUGUAAUGGCAUGAAUGCGUUAAGCUGUUGUUUUAGUGUUCUUUUGAUGAGUUUGGCAUGUUGAUAUGAAAAGUGUUUGUUUUGGCGAGUUUGAACGUUUUUGAGCAUGUGUAAUGGCAUGAAUGCGUUAAGCUGUUGUUUUAGUGUUCUUUUGAUGAGUUUGGCUUGUUGUUAUGAAAAGUGUUUGUUUUGGCGAGUUUGAACGUUUUUUAGCAUGUGUAAUGGCAUGAAUGUGUUGAAUUAGUAAUCCCUUGUGUUAAGCUGUUGUUUUAGUGUUCUUUUGAUGAGUUUGGCUUGUUGUUAUGAAAAGUGUUUGUUUUGGCGAGUUUGAACGUUUUUGAGCAUGUGUAAUGGCAUGAAUGCGUUAAGCUGUUGUUUUAGUGUUCUUUUGAUGAGUUUGGCUUGUUAUGAAAAGUGUUUGUUUUGGCGAGUUUGAAGGUUUUUGAGCAUGUGUAAUGGCAUGAAUGCGUUAAGCUGUUGUUUUAGUGUUCUUUUGAUGAGUUUGGCUUGUUGUUAUGAAAAGUGUUUGUUUUGGCGAGUUUGAACGUUUUUGAGCAUGUGUAAUGGCAUGAAUGCGUUAAGCUGUUGUUUUAGUGUUCUUUUGAUGAGUUUGGCUUGUUGUUAUGAAAAGUGUUUGUUUUGGCGAGUUUGAACGUUUUUGAGGAUGUGUAAUGGCAUGAAUGUGUUGAAUUAGUAAUCCCUUGUGUUAAGCUGUUGUUUUAGUGUUCUUUUGAUGAGUUUGGCUUGUUGUUAUGAAAAGUGUUUGUUUUGGCGAGUUUGAACUUCUUUGAGCAUGUGUAAUGGCAUGAAUGCGUUAAGCUGUUGUUUUAGUGUUCUUUUGAUGAGUUAGGCUUGUUGUUAUGAAAAGUGUUUGUUUUGGCAAGUUUGAACAUUAUUGAGCAUGUGUAAUGGCAUGAAUGCGUUAAGCUGUUGUUUUAGUGUUCUUUUGAUGAGUUUGGCUUGUUGUUAUGAAAAGUGUUUGUUUUGGCGAGUUUGAAUGUUUUUGAGCAUGUGUAAUGACAUGAAUGCGUUAAGCUGUUGUUUUAGUGUUCUUUUGAUGAGUUUGGCUUUUUGUUAUGAAAAGUGUUUGUUUUGGCGAGUUUGAACGUUUUUGAGCAUGUGUAAUGGCAUGAAUGUGUUGAAUUAGUAAUCCCUUGUGUAAAAGCUGUUGUUUUAGUGUUCUUUUGAUGUGUUUGGCUUGUUGUUAUGAAAAGUGUUUGUUUUGGCGAGUUUGAAGGUUUUGAGCAUGUGUAAUGGCAUGAAUGCGUUAAGCUGUUGUUUUAGUGUUCUUUUGAUGAGUUUGGCUUGUUGUUAUGAACAUUGUUCGUUUUGGCGAGUUUGAGCAUGUGUAAUGCAUGAAUGUGUUGAAUUAGUAAUCCCUUGUGUUAAGCUGUUGUUUUAGUGUUCUUUUGAUGAGUUUGGCUUGUUGUUAUGAAAAGCGUUUGUUUUGGCGAGUUUGAACGUUUUUGAGCAUGUGUAAUGGCAUGAAUGUGUUGAAUUAGUAAUCCCUUGUGUUAAAGCUGUUGUUUUAGUGUUCUUUUGAUGAGUUUGGCUUGUUGUUAUGGAAGUGUUUGUUUUGGUGAGUUUGAACGUUUUUGAGCAUGUGUAAUGGCAUGAAUGCGUUAAGCUGUUGUUUUAGUGUUCUUUUGAUGAGUUUGGCUUGUUGUUAUGAACAUUGUUCAUUUUGGCGAGUUUGAACGUUUUUGAGCAUGUGUAAUGGCAUGAGUGCGUUAAGCUGUUGUGUUAGUGUUCUUUUGAUGAGUUUGGCUUGUUGUUAUGAAAAGUGUUUCUUUUGGCGAGUUUUAACGUUUUUGAGCAUGUGUAAUGGCAUGAAUGUGUUGAAUUAGUAAUCCCUUGUGUUCAGCUGUUGUUUUAGUGUUCUUUUGAUGAGUUUGGCUUGUUGUUAUGAAAAGUGUUUGUUUUGGCGAGUUUGAAGGUUUUUGAGCAUGUGUAAUGGCAUGAAUGCGUUAAGCUGUUGUUUUAGUGUUCUUUUGGUGAGUUUGGCUUGUUGUUAUGAACAGUGUUUGUUUUGGCGAGUUUGAAGGUUUUUGAGCAUGUGUAAUGGCAUGAAUGCAUUAAUCUGUUGUUUUAGUGUUCAUUUGAUGAGUUUGGCUUGUUGUUAUGAAAAGUGUUUCUUUUGGCGAGUUUGAACGUUUUUGAGCAUGUGUAAUGGCAUGAAUGUGUUGAAUUAGUAAUCCCUUGUGUUCAGCUGUUGUUUUAGUGUUCUUUUGAUGAGUUUGGUUUGUUGUUAUGAAAAGUGUUUGUUUUGGCGAGUUUGAAGGUUUUUGAGCAUGUGUAAUGGCAUGAAUGCGUUAAGCUGUUGUUUUAGUGUUCUUUUGAUGUGUUUGGCUUGUUGUUAUGAACAUUUUUCGAUUUGGUGAGUUUGAAGGUUUUUGAGCAUGUGUAAUGGCAUGAAUGUGUUGAAUUAGUAAUCUCUUGUGUUAAGCUGUUGUUUUAGUGUUCUUUUGAUGAGUUUGGCUUGUUGUUAUGAAAAGUGUUUGUUUUGGCGAGUUUGAACGUUUUUGAGCAUGUGUAAUGGCAUGAAUGUGUUGAAUUAGUAAUCCCUUGUGUUAAGAUGUUGUUUUAGUGUUCUUUUGAUGAGUUUUGCUUGUUGUUAUGAACAUUGUUCGUUUUGUCGAGCUUGAAGGUUUUUGAGCAUGUGUAAUGGCAUGAAUGCGUUAAGCUGUUGUUUUAGUGUUCUUUUGAUGAGUUUGGCUUGUUGUUAUAAACAGUGUUUGUUUUGGCGAGUUUGAAGGUUUUUGAGCAUAUGUAAUGGCAUGAAUGCGUUAAGCUGUUGUUUUAGUGUUCUUUUGAUGUAUUUGGCUUGUUGUUUUGAACAUUGUUCGUUUUGUCGAGUUUGAAGGUUUUUGAGCAUGUGUAAUGGCAUAAAUGCGUUAAGCUGUUGUUUUAGUGUUCUUUUGAUGAGUUUGGCUUGUUGUUAUAAACAGUGUUUGUUUUGGCGAGUUUGAAGGUUUUUGAGCAUGUGUAAUGGUAUGAAUGUUUUGAAAUAGUAAUCCCUUGUGUUAAGCUGUUGUUUUAGUGUUCUUUUGAUGAGUUUGGCUUGUUGUUAUGAACAUUGUUCGUUUUGGCGAGGUUUGAAGGUUUUUGAGCAUGUGUAAUGGCAUGAGUGCGUUAAGCUGUUGUUUUAGUGUCCUUUUGAUGGGUUUGGCUUGUUUUUAUGAUAAUUGUUUGUUUUGGCGAGUUUGAAGGUUUUUGAGCAUGUGUAAUGGCAUUUAUGUGUUGAAUUAGUCAACCCUUGGGCUAAGCUGUUGUUUUAGUGUUCAUUUGAUGAGUUUGGCUUGUUGAUAUGAUCACUGUUUGUUUUGGCGAGUUUGAAGGUUUGUGAGCAUGUGUUAUGGCACGUAUGUGUUGAAUUGGCUACCUCUUGUGUUAAGCUGUUGUUUUAGUCUUCUUUUGAUGAGUUUGGCUUGUUGUUAUGAACAUUGUUUGUUUUGGCGAGUUUGAAGGUUUGUUAGCAUGUGUAAUGGCAUGUAUGUGUUGAAUUAGUUAACCCUUGUGUUAACCUGUUGUUUUAGUCUUCUUUUGAUGAGUUUGGCUUUUUGUUAUGAUCAUUGUUUGUUUUGGCGAGUUUGAAGGUUUUUGAGCAUGAUCAUAAGAUGAUCAUAACAACAAGCCAAACUCUGUAAAAGAACACUAAAACAACAGCUUAACACAAGGGUUUACUAAUUCAACACAUACAUGCCAUUACACAUGCUCAAAAACCUUCAAACUCGCCAAAACAAACAAUGAUCAUAACAACAAGCCAAACUCUUUAAAAGAACACUUAAAAUACAGCUUAACACAAGGGUCAGGGGCGUCACUAGGUUUUAAGGACAAGGGGGGCUUAGCCCCCAAGAGAUGAACAGGAUGUGCGUGAACGUAGUGAGCGAUCACAAAAUUUCACAAACAGAAAAGACUGAGAAAUUGCUUUUCAGCUUUUUUGGACGGAUUUAACUAAGAUGUAGUCUCAGGCCACCAGGAGUUUUUUUGUUUUAUUUCAGUCUUUUUUUUCUUCAGUUCUUGGAACCACUACUGACCAAACUAUCAUGUUUUAUGUUUUUGCCAAACACUUUACAUGGGCAACAGAAAGCUGUAUUCUAGUUGACUGAAUAUUCUAACCAGUUGUGCUUUUCAAACCAGCUGUAGUGAAACGCUCGCUUCUGUGUACCAAAACUGUCUUGUGGGUAGCUCUUCAGCUUGACCUGUCUGGGCCCUGUGUCUUUGUCACCUAAAUCAAACCCUGUAGUGGAAUGAGUUGCUGCAGCUGCUUCAUUAUUUUCCCUCUCUUGGCCUGUUUGCUGUCCUCUCUCAGCUUCCUCUGCCAUUUGCUGCAGCUCCUCGGCCUUUCCUUCUGCCUGACCCUCCAAGAUACAUUGAAACACAUUGAAUUAAUAACUAAUCCAACAUAGAGGCUAAUGUCAUGACUUAAGCUCACACACCACCCACAGUAAUUUUUUGCUCCCAAAUAUCAAGAUGUUACACAGAUUACAUUUUGGGCCCAUAUGUGACUAAAAUGGUUGCAAUUUAAAGCCCUGAAAAAUAUUACUAAAUUACUUGAAUUAAAGUAAUAUUAAAAUAGAACCCCCAAAAAUAUUUGGGUCAGGCUAAUUUAUCUCUUGGCUCUCUCCACUUUCUAAUCUUGACUCUCUUAAAUAAAAACUCAAGUGAAAUAAGUCUUAUAUGGUGCACCAUGACUGAAAUUUCAUAUUUCAUAUCCAUAUUGAGUUCCAUAAAAUUCUGAUCAGACUGUCUGCAUCACUCCUGUGAAUUCUUUUAGACUCACCUCUUCAGUAGAGGUGUCUCCCCUCUCACUUGCUGUGCUCCUCUAUCCUGACUCCUACAGGUCAGUGGGGAUGGUGGGGUGAGUAUUAUUAGUGCAUUAUUAUUUUCCACUGAUGAUAAUCAUACGUGAAUGAGCUCAGCUCGUCCUUUUCCACAGCUAAAACAAGUGACAGAAAUCAACAUCAUGCUAACAAUUUAACUUGGUGUGAUAGCCAGGUUUUUAUUUCUCAAAAUGGGGAGCACCUGGUUUAUAAAUUACAUGGGACAAUUAGCUGUUAGCUGGAGCUUAUUGUUACUAACAGCAGCUAUAAAGACUUACUUUUUUGAAAAACUUGCAUAUGUCCAUGAUGCUGCUCUCUGCCUGGCUCGUAAUGUGACCGUCUCGCUGUGACUGUGUGCAGGGAGCAUGUAGGUGCUGCUGCUUGCAGCAGUGAAAACGCGGACUGGAUUUUCAGUAAUGUGGGCGUUCUCUAUAUCAACAAGUGGAACGGAUUGAAUAACUAAGCGCUGACGAAGGCUCUCCACCUUACACAGUGAAGUCAUGGGAAACUAAAUGAUUUGUGAUCAUAUUUAAGUGAAUAAUGAAAUUUUAUAUUAUUAUUUAUUUAAACUCGUAUUCCUGCGUCUUUGUAUUGAAUUUGUCUGCACUUUUUUGUAAAAUAAAUAUAUAAAUAUAUAUGUUUAAAAAUAUAUAUAUAUAUAUUUAGGGGGGCUUAAGAAUAUUUUAGGGGGGCUUCAGCCCCCCUAAAAUAGGCCUAACGACGCCAAUGACAAGGGUUAAGCCAAUUAAACACAUACGUGCCAUUACACAUGCUCAAAAACCUUCAAACUCGCCAAAACAAACAAUGAUCAUACCAACAAGCCAAACUCAUCAAAAGAACACUAAAACAACAGCUUAACACAAGGGUUUACCAAUUCAACACAUUCCUGCCAUUACACAUUCUCAAAAACCUUCAAACUCGCCAAAACCAACGAUGAUCAUAACAACAAGCCAAACUCUGUAAAAGAACACUUAAAAUACAUUUUAACACAAGGGUUAACUAAUUCAACACAUACAUGCCAUUACACAUGCUCAAAAACCUUCAAACUCGCCAAAACAAACAAUGAUCAUACCAACAAGCCAAACGCAUCAAAAGAACACUAAAACAACAGCUUAACACAAGGGUUAACCAAUUCAACACAUACAUGCCAUUACACGUGCUCAAAAACCUUCAAACUCGCCAAAACAAACAAUGUUCAUACCAACAAGCCAAACUCAUCAAAAGAACACUUAAACAACAGCUUAACACAAGGGUUAACGAAUUCAACACAUACAUGCCAUUACACAUGCUCAAAAACCUUCAAACUCGCCAAAACAAACAAUGAUCAUACCAAGAAGCCAAUCUCAUCAAAAGAUCACUUAAAAUACAUUUUAACACAAGGGUUAACUAAUUCAACACAUACAUGCCAUUACACAUGCUCAAAAACCUUCAAACUCACCAAAACAAACAAUGAUCAAACCAACAAGCCAAACUCAUCAAAAGAACACUAAAACAACAGCUUAACACAAGGGUUAACUAAUUCAACACAUACAUGCCAUUACACAUGCUCAAAAACCUUCAAACUCGCCAAAACAAACAAUGUUUAUAACAACAAGCCAAACUCAUCAAAAGAACACUAAGACAACAGCUUAACACAAGGGUUAACUAAUUCAACACAUACAUGCCAUUACACAUGCUCAUAAACCUUCAAACUCACCAAAACAAACAAUGAUCAUAACAACAAGCCAAACUCUUUAAAAGAACACUUAAAAUAAAGCUUAACACAAGCGGUAGCCAAUUCAACACAUACGUGCCAUAACACAUGCUCACAAACCUUCAAACUCGCCAAAACAAACAAUGAUCAUACCAACAAGCCAAACUCAUCAAAAGAACACUAAAUCAACAGCUUAACACAAGGGUUAACUAAUUCAACACAUACAUGCCAUUACACAUGCUCAAAAACCUUCAAACUCGCCAAAACAAACAAUGAUCAAACCAACAAGCCUAACUCAUCAAAAGAACACUAAAACAACAGCUUAACACAAGGGUUUACUAAUUCAACACAUACAUGCCAUUACACAUGCUCAAAAACCUUCAAACUCGCCAAAACAAACAAUGUUCAUAACAACAAGCCAAACUCAUCAAAAGAACACUAAAACAACAGCUUAACACAAGGGUUAACUAAUUCAACACAUACAUGCCAUUACACAUGCUCAAAAACCUUCAAACUCACCAAAACAAACAAUGUUUAUAACAACAAGCCAAACUCAUCAAAAGAACACUAAAACAACAGCUUAACACAAGGGUUAACUAAUUCAACACAUACAUGCCAUUACACAUGCUCAAAAACCUUCAAACUCGCCAAAACAAACAAUGAUCAAACCAACAAGCCUAACUCAUCAAAAGAACACUAAAACAACAGCUUAACACAAGGGUUUACUAAUUCAACACAUACAUGUCAUUACACAUGCUCAAAAACCUUCAAACUCGCCAAAACAAACAAUGUUCAUAACAACAAGCCAAACUCAUCAAAAGAACACUAAAAUAACAGCUUAACACAAGGGUUAACUAAUUCAACACAUACAUGCCAUUACACAUGCUCAAAAACCUUCAAACUCGCCAAAACAAACAAUGUUUAUAACAACAAGCCAAACUCAUCAAAAGAACACUAAAACAACAGCUUAACACAAGGGUUAACUAAUUCAACACAUACAUGCCAUUACACAUGCUCAUAAACCUUCAAACUCACCAAAACAAACAAUGAUCAUAACAACAAGCCAAACUCUUUAAAAGAACACUUAAAAUAAAGCUUAACACAAGCGGUAGCCAAUUCAACACAUACGUGCCAUAACACAUGCUCACAAACCUUCAAACUCGCCAAAACAAACAAUGAUCAUACCAACAAGCCAAACUCAUCAAAAGAACACUAAAACAACAGCUUAACACAAGGGUUAACUAAUUCAACACAUACAUGCCAUUACACAUGCUCAAAAACCUUCAAACUCGCCAAAAACAAACGAUGAUCAUAACAACAAGCCAAACUCUUUAAAAGAACACUUAAAAUACAGCUUAACACAAGGGGUAGCCAAUUCAACACAUACGUGUCAUAACACAUGCUCAAAAACCUUCAAACUCGCCAAAACAAACAAUGUUCAUAACAACACACCAAACUCAUCAAAAGAACACUUAAACAACAGCUUAACACAAGGGUUAACUAAUUCAACACACACAUGCCAUUACACAUGCCCACAAACCUUCAAACUCGCCAAAACAAACAAUGUUCAUAACAACAAGCCAAACUCCUUAAAAGAACACUUAAAAUACAGCUUAAGGAAGGAAAGAGAAGUGACAACAACAGACCAGAUGUGGAGAUAGAAUGGCUAAUGAAAGUGACAGACUACAAAAAGAAAAAAAAAAAACUAAUUUGAAGUGAACAUGUGGUACAGAUAUGCAAAAUAUCUAGCAAAAAUGAAGAAUCAGUCUAACUUCUAUGUCUGUACUACGAAUUAGGCAAAACAAACCUGUACGUGUUUUCUGUAGCUGUACCUGAAUGACAGCAGACUGAUAAUAGGGCCUUAGUGACCUUAAUCCUAACUGUUGUAACUUUCCAGACCAGUGUGGCAAAUUUAACUUCUGCAGUUAGUCUUAUUCGUUUGUUGAGCCACUCCAGAGUAAAAAGAAACUAGCAAAUAGAGUCAGACCCGACUAAUAUAGAUAGUUCCUCGUGAGGUACCAGAUGAGUAUAAAGUAGUAAAUCAAGUUGCUGCAGGCUUUGAGUCUCUCAGCUGUCCUAGGUGUACAAUGAACAAAAAUAUAGAUCGAAUCAACUGCAUCCAUUUCAACGUUCAAAAGCUAGGUAAUUGGACUGAGGCUGGUUUUCAGGCCGGUCACUCGCAGUUGUCUGCAACAUCCCGGAUGCCUUUCCAAAACCUUAUAGCCCUUGACAUGCUGCUCGCAGAAAAAGGAGGUGUAUGUGCCAUGUUUGGAGAAACGUGUUGCACGUUCACUCCUAAUAACACUGCUGCCGAUGGCAGCCUCACUCGAGCCAUAGAGGGCCUUAAUGGCAAAAUGAAAGACCACUCAGGAAUAGAUAAAUUCUUUUGGGACGAUUGGAUGAAUGUCUUUGGAAAAUACAGAAAUCUUGUAGAUUCAGUCCUAAUCUCUAUUGCUGUUUUUGCAGCUAUUUUGACCUUGUGUGGAUGUUGUUGUAUUCCCUGUAUUCAUUCUCUUCUUAACCGCCUUAUCACCACAGCGUUGUCCCCUGUGGAGCAUCUGCAGAAGUUGUACCAGCUGCUCCAUCAGCAGGAUGAAGAGGACAGACUUGAUGACACUCAAUGGCCUGACCUGUGCCCCAAUCCUGAUGAUGAGUAUGAUUCUGACUAAAGCAACAUCUUGUACCUCUGUGUGUAAAUUCUUUGUGGUCAUAAACAUGAACUCGCAGCUGAAAAUCUAGAGAAGUGGCUGAACUGGAAGGAUCAUGAGAAUUUGAGCAAAGUAAUGAUAAACAGGAGGGAAAUGUCAGAAUAAUGUGUAUAAAUGUAUAUAGAAGUUAUCAUACUCAAAUUCUUAUGUAAGAGUUUGCUACAAGUAUGGACUGUUUUAACCUCUUGUUACACAUCAUAUGAGAGUGUUUCCUAACUUCUCUCUCCUGUAGCUUUAUUACACAGCACAUGAAUGUUUCUUAACUUCUCUGUGACCUUGUUUCUCCUAUUAGCAGUUGUGUGUGUGUGAUGUAUCCUCCACUGUGAAUCGUGGGAAGUAAUGAGGAGGAUCUGCUCCUAUCAGAAGGAGCUCGUUUAAUGUCAACAAUUAUGCUUUAUGAGAGUGCUAACGUUGCUGCACAUAUUUUUCCCCCAUCCUUUAGUAACAUUGUGUAACCAGGGAUAACCCUAAAUAAAGAGACUGGGCAGAAAUACCUUCAGAAUGGUUUUGAGAUUGCAACGGAAACUAUCUCUGUCCAUUCUCCUCAAGUAAGAAACCAUUGUCUUUCUCUUCUUAAUAUGUUUUAGGUCAAAUGUUGAAGGUUUUAGACCCAACAACCAAAAAAAAAGAAAAAUGAAAAAAAAAAUUGUGGCGGUUUUAGGGCUUCCUUUAGAAAAUACCCCGGUAUUGAGUUACGGGGCUAGGGUAAGGUUUAAAGUUUUUUGGGGUUUGGGUUAAAAUCACUGUCCAAGACCUUUUUAGGAAAAUGUUUCAGACCUUUUGGAGUUAGUUAGACCAAAAACAAAAAUAAAAACUAAAAAUGAAAAAAAAAUGUUUGGGGUGUUAGGGCUUCCUUUAGGUAAUACCCACGUAUUGGGUUACGGGGCUAGGGAAAGGUUUAAGGUUUUUGGGGUUAGGGUUAAAACCACUGGUCCAAUAUUUUUUAGGAACAUAUUUCAGACCUUUUGGAGUUAAUUUGUCAUGACCCGGCUCAAAGGCCAUGAAAAAGAUUGCGAGGCGUACGGGUUUAACUUAAAACGAAAGAUUUAUUAACAACCAAGAUUAAGUAAAUAAUUGAAUACCCAAGAGAAGAACUAAACUAACAAAGCUUCUAAACUAAAACAAAACAUUGUGCCACGAGGAUCACUGCCGUGGUGCGCAGCGGAGGAGGGAGAGAGAGACACUGGUCCUUGAUGAGGGCUUUUACCACCUGGUGGAAUGGCCAGAUCCACGCAGGUGUGGCCAAGCCCACUCAACCUGCCAGGGAGAGAGAAAAGACAGAAAGAACAACAGCAAACCCUGGAGGCCGGAGGCCAUCACAGGCAGGAGGCCGUCACACCCCCCUCCAUAAAAACGGGGCUCCCAUCCCUGGAACCAUAAACAAUCCCUCUGAAAACAAGGUUCACUUGUGACUUACUAGUUGAUUGCAAAACAAGAGAAAAACGUUUAACUUUUUUUUUUUUUUUUUUUUCAUUAUUAUCAAUACUAUGUACUUAACCAUUACUUUACAAAACUUACCCAGGCUCACAAUAUCAUUUUACUCUCUUCAAGAAAACUUACCCAAUGCUCAUUAUUUAUAUCCCCAUCCUGACCUGCAUGACACCCCUCCCACCUCAGCAACCUGGUACCUAGGAGCAAUUUAAGAGGGGGGGAAGCGAGAGAAACAAGUUGUAGAAAGAGUACAAAAAAACAAAAAACAUGGGUAACUCACACGGCUACAACACUACACAGGUGCUCUGGACAAGGCGUCUGCCACCACAUUGUCAGAACCCUUGAUGUGUCUAAUGUCCAGCCAGUGCGACUGGAGAUAAAGUGACCACCGGACUAAUCUUUGAUUUGGACACUGUAACGUAUUUAAAAAAACAAGCGGAUUAUGAUCAGUAUAAACCACGAUAGGCACCAACCCGGACCCCAGAUACACAUCAUAAUGUUUCAGAGCCCACACUAAGGCCAAGGCUUCCUUUUCAAUGGUCGAGUAAUUGAGUUGGUAGGAAUUAAACUUUUUUGAGAAGAAACUCACUGGCUUCUCAAUCCGAAAAUCAUCCUUCUGUAAUAACACCGCCCCCACCCCCACGUGACUCGCGUCAACCUGAAGCGCAAACGGACGGUCAAACCUGGGGGCAGAAAGGAUAGGCGCGUUACACAAUACUGAUUUUGCCCUGUCAAACGCCAGUUGACACACGGGAGACCACACGGGAGACCACACAAAGACCGCGCUUGCCUUUAACAAGUCGGUUAAUGGAGCAACUACCUCCGAGAAGUUUCUGCAGAAACAUCGGUAAUAACCUACAAGACCUAAAAAACGCAUAAGCUCUUUUUUAGUCGAGGGUACCGGAUAACUUGCCACUGCUUUUAUUUUUUCUUCAACAGGACGUACCGUACCCUGCCCCACAACCCUACCAAGAUAAGUCACUGUCGCUUUGGCGAACUCGCAUUUGGCGAGGUUGACGGUGAGACGUGCCUCAGCCAAACGACUAAAUAACUUCUCAAUUCGCUCAACAUGCGAAGACCACGUGUCAGAAACAACCACAACAUCAUCCAGUUAGACUGUGCAGCCCUCCAAAUCUCCUAAGACUCUAAUCAUAAGCCUUUGGAAGGUUGAAGGGGCAUUACGAAGCCCAAAAGGCAUUACCUUAUAUGAAAACAAACCAGUCGGAGUGAUAAAUGCCGAUAACUCACGCGCACGCUUGGACAAAGGGACUUGCCAAUAACCUUUCAAAAGGUCAAACUUGCUCACAUAUUUGGCAUGGCCCACCUGAUCGACACAGUCCUCCAUACGGGGAAGAGGGAAGGAAUCCGGCUUUGUAACAGCGUUUAAUUUUCUAAAAUCAGAACAAAACCUGGGCGUGUUAUCUGAUUUUGGAACCAAAAGGCAAGGCGACGCCCAACUUGAAGAGGAGGGUUCAGCUAUUCCGUUUUCAAUCAUAUAUUUUAUUUCAGCAUCCAUGUAUUUACGUUUUUCGGGGUUCACCCUAUAGAAUCUUUGCCUGAUUGGCUGCGCAUCUCCAACAUCGAUGUCGUGCUCAAUCAAGUGCGUCUGUGUGGGUGCGUCACUGAACAAGCCCGGGAAAGAUUUUAUUACCCGACACAAAUCUGCCUGUUCUGACUCUGCUAAAUGCCCCAAGAGGACGUGUAAAUUCCUCAGGGACUCCGAGUUGUUUAGGCGGCCUUGAAGGACAGCGGUAUCAACACACGGCAAACCAUCCUCCACCUCAGCGGACACCGACUGUGGGGGAUAAACAGUGGACACUCUCCCCACCAAACAAGCGGGAUGCGCACCAGCUGGGACAGGCUCUUGGGAAGCACCUGAAACACGAGCAUAAUAUGGUUUUAACAAAUUCAAAUGGCACAGUUGGACUUUUCGCCUUCGCUCAGGUGUCGAAAUAAGGUAAUUGUUUUCCGAUACUUUUUUCGUCACUUUAUAAGGCCCAGAAUACUUAGCCUGAAGUGGCGAAUUCACCAGCGGCAACAAAGCUAAAACUUGGUCUCCCAUACUAAAAACACGGUGUUCAACACGCCGGUCAUAGAGCCUUUUCAUCUUGUCCUGAGCUGCGGUUAAGUUUUCCUUUGCCAAUUCACCAGCAGCAUACAGUCUAUGACGGAACCCAUUUACAUAGUCGAUAAGAUUUUUCGGUGCAUCUGCAACCUUCCACUCAUCGUAAAGAACCUUCAGUGGACCACGCACAACGUGACCAAACACUAACUCAUUGGGACUGAAACCAGUGCUCUCCUGCGUUACCUCUCUAGCCGCCAGCAUUAACCAUGGUAAUCCUUCCUCCCAAUCUCUAUCAAACUGAACGCAAUAAGAGCGCAGCAAUGAUUUAAAUGAUUGAUGGAAACGCUCCAAAGCUCCCUGACUCUGAGGAUGAUAAGCAGAGGCUUUGUUGUGCUUAAUAUGGAGCUGUUUCAACACUUGAGCAAAGAGAUUGGAGGUAAAAUUUGACCCUUGAUCAGACUGGAUCACUUUUGGAAUGCCGAAAAUGGAAAUGAAUUGUGACAGCGCGCGCACUACUGAACGCGCAGUGAUCGUGCGCAAUGGAUACGCUGCAGGGUAACGGGUGCUUUGGCACAUGACAGUCAACAAAUAUACCGCACCAGAACGAGAGCGAGGGAGUGGCCCGACACAAUCAACGAUGAGGUGAUCAAACGGCUGACUUACUGCAGGAAUCGGGAGCAGAGGAGCAGGUGUAAUUUUCUGAUUCGGUUUUCCCGUGAGUUGACAGGUGUGACAUGUUUUAAUAUAAGACGCUACAUCUGUCUUAAGUCGCGGCCAAAAGAACUGCCUCAGGACCCGGUCGUAUGUUUUUCCCACUCCCUAGUGUCCCGAUUGGUCAUGAGCAAGUUUUAACACCGACUCCCGGAAUUUAUCAGGCACAACGACUUGAAUAACGGGAUCUCCAACGAAAUCUUUCCCAUGAGGCAUCCAUUUCCGGACCAACAGUUCAUUGUGUAAAAAAUAACCCCAGGAAUUAUUUUCUACCUCGUCUUCAGGCAACACCAUGUCAAACAACCCUUUCAAAGAAGAAUCUGCCCGCUGCUCCAACUUCAACUCCUCCUGCGAGACCGAGAGAGGGACAUCAGACAGAGAAAACGGCACAAACUUGGAUUUCUCACCUCUACUCUUUGCAGCCUCCGAGCUUAACUCGGGAGUGUCACGUGUCAUUGAGCGAGUGACUGCACACGCUGUAAAAACUCCAGGAAGACUGCUCUGAUUCUCAUCUGGUUGUCUUUUCACCAGCGGAACAACAGAUACUACUGGUGGCGGCGGAGCUGGAGCAUCAGCCCAGACACGUCCACCUGCUACACCGUUACCCAAAAUCAGGGUGAUGCCCUCAAUUGGAAGUGCAGGUCGCACACCGACCGUUAUCUGCCCCUGAAAGAGAUCGGAAUAAAGCAACAUCUUGUGCAGUGGAACUUUCAUUACAGUCAUUCCCAUUCCCACCACCGGAAUAAAACUCCCAGUGUGACUUUUUUCAGAGAAUGGCAACACAGAAGCCUGAAUGAACGAAUCAAAGGCAGCUGUAUCACGCAAUAUUUUGACAGGAACUUUUUCAUCACUUCCCACCAAAGAGACAUGACCAUUUGAGACAAAAGGCAAGAAUGAUUCGAGCUCUCCAGGUACAGCUUUACCCUUGUCACAGAUUCCCAACUGCCCCGUAAGUAUUCUUGGCUUCGAAACAGCGAGACAUGCCGCUUUAGGCUGCCCCGCAGCUCCACUCUGUUUGUUUUUAGAUUGUAGUGCAAAACAGUCCACUUUAAAAUGUCCUCUUUUGUGACAGUAGUUACAUAUUUUAUCCGACUUGUUCGCCUCAUGGCCUUUAAAGUCUAACUUCCCUACAGGAAGAUUGUAAUUCCCCGCACCGGCAUCCGUGCGCUCACUCAAACUGGACCUGUGAGCGUGCAUCUCUCCAAAAGAGCGUCUGUGCGCUAACACAUACUCAUCAGCGAGCCUAGCGGCUUUAUUUACAUUUUCGACUUCAUGAUCAUUAAUGUGCUGCGCAAUAUUCUCUGGAAGAGAACUUUUAAAUUGCUCCAAAAUUACCAGGUCGCAUAAUUCCUCAAAGCUCUCGAUUUUUAACGCGGAACACCAUCGAGUAAAGUGACAAAUUAAAUCACAAGCAAACUCUAAGUAUGUUUGUUUAUCAUUCUUUUUCCAUGAACGAAAACAUUGGCGAUAGGCUUCAGGGACAAGCUCAUAAACUUUUAAUACAGCAGAUUUUACUAAUUGGUAACUUUGGCUGUCUGACGCGGACAGGGCUGAAUAGGCUUCUUGUGCUCUGCCGGUCAGCGCGCACUGCAACAUUAACGUAAAAACAGAUUCCGGCCACUUUCUGGACUCGGCAACGCGCUCAAAUAACGAAAAAAAUGUCUCCGGUUCUCUCUCAUUAAAUUUUGGCAACAGUCUCAAAUUUCCCAAAACAUCAAAACCAUCAGGAGAACACGAGGAGGCAUCCAAACCCCCAGAACCAUCUCCGACUAACCUACCGCUUUUAAUUAAAUCCAUCUGAUUCUGCUGUAGUUGGAGUUUUGUCUGCUCAGUUUGAAAUCGCAACCUCUCAAUAGCCAACUGCGUAUCCGUUUCCACUUGUUUUAAUUUAUCACGCUCUAAUUGCAACAUCAUCAUUUCUUUUUGCUGCUCAAAGGUGAAAUUCGUCGCUGCAACAGAUGGAGAAUCAACUGCACCGGGAGGAUCGGUCGCCAUAACACCCAUCUCAUCCAAAGUUGCUUUUAAAAUACUUUUAAUUGUGUCCUUUAACCGCCUGUCGGAUAUUUCGAUUUCAAAAUGAUCUGCAAUCUUAAGCAGCUGUUCCUUGGUGCAUUUAUUUAAUAACUCGCUCGAAGGAGCCGAAACGAAGUCAGAAAUAUCCGACAUUUCAAUCACUCGCGGUUUCAAAUCAAAAGAAAUUUACUUACUCAACUACCUCGCGCACAUCAGGUGUUAUCCAACACCACAGAAAUACCUACCGAGCUGCUUACGAAACAAAAAAGGUUGAGACACCCCGAACCCCUAACUACCUACCCCAUAUCUUACUAGGACCUCAUCCUAGUCUUCCGAGCUCGAAACGUCACCAGACCCAAAAUAACACCCCCGACCAUGGCACGGUAGAGCGUGAUAUCCCGAGCCUUGCACGCUCCCUCCUCAGGAUUUGCCAGCAAAAACAACAAACUAAAACAAAAAAGUGACAAGUCCUGCUUGUCCGACGGCUAAACUCAUCAGGGUGCUCAAAACAUACAAACAAAAACAAAACCGACAAAAUACCAACAUAGCAGCUACGGCAAAUAAACAAAAUUAUUAUUAUAAUUUUAAUCGUGAAACAAUUUUUUAAUAACCCCGUAUCACCCCACGUAAAAGUGCCAAACCUGUUUCACAAAGCACAACCUCUGGGUUCCGAAACCUCCGAGUAGUAAGAGCGGUGACGUCACUAAUUCACAACUUACUAAGUUCAUUCACAAAUCGAGUGAAUCAACACCUACCGAGGUGAAAAAACGCAACAAACGGACGAGCCCCCAUUUUGUCAUGACCCGGCUCAAAGGCCAUGAAAAAGAUUGCGAGGCGUACGGGUUUAACUUAAAACGAAAGAUUUAUUAACAACCAAGAUUAAGUAAAUAAUUGAAUACCCAAGAGAAGAACUAAACUAACAAAGCUUCUAAACUAAAACAAAACAUUGUGCCACGAGGAUCACUGCCGUGGUGCGCAGCGGAGGAGGGAGAGAGAGACACUGGUCCUUGAUGAGGGCUUUUACCACCUGGUGGAAUGGCCAGAUCCACGCAGGUGUGGCCAAGCCCACUCAACCUGCCAGGGAGAGAGAAAGGACAGAAAGAACAACAGCAAACCCUGGAGGCCGGAGGCCAUCACAGGCAGGAGGCCGUCACAAAUUAGACCAAAAAAAAUGAAAAAAGGAAGAAAAAAAUGUUUGAGGUUAUUGGGCUUUCUUUUGGUAAUACCCGAGUAUUGGGUUACGGGGCUAGGGUCAGGUUUAAGCUUUUUGGGGUUAGGGUUCAAAUCACUGUCCAAGACCUUUUUAGGAAUAUGUUUCAGACCUAUUGGAGUUAGUUAGCCCAAAAAACACUGAGUAACGAAAAAAAUAUUUUAAGGGUUGUUAGGUCUUUCUUUAGGUAAUACCUAGGUAUUGGGUGAAAGGGCUAGGGUAAGGUUUAAGGUUUUUGGUGUUAGGGUUAAAAUCACUGUCCAAAACCUUUCUAGGAACUUUUUUCCAACCUCUGGAGUUAAUUAGACCAAAAAAAGUGAAAAAUGAAAAAAAAAUGUUUGGGGUUUUAGGGCUUCCUUUAGAUAAUAUUGGGUAUUUGGUUACGGGCUAGGGUAAGGUUUAAGGGUUUUGGGGUUAGGCUUAAAAUCACUGUCCAAGACCUUUUUCGGAACAUGUUUUAGACUUCUUGGAGUUAACUACACCAAAAAAAAAGAAAAAUGUCAAAAAAAAAAUUGGGGGUUGUUAGGGUUUUUUUUAGGUCAUACCCAGUUAUUGGGUUACGGGGCUAGGGUUAAGUUUAAGCUUUUUGGUGUUAGGGUUAAACUUACUGUCCAAGACCCUUUUAGGAACAUGUUUCAGACCUUUUGGAGUUAGUUUGAAAUAAAAAAAAAAAUGAAAAAAAAAUUGUGGGGGUGUUAGGGCUUCUUUUAGGUAAUACCCGGGUAUUAGGUUAUGGGGCUAGGGUUAGGUUUAGGGUGUUGUGAUUAGGGUUAACAUCACUGUCCAAGACCUUUUUAGGAACACGUUUCAGACCUUUUGAAGUUAGUUAGAACCAAAAAUGUAAAAAUGAAUUUUUUUAACCUUACCAGGGGCUCAUACUUAUUAGAGCGUGGAUAUAGGGGGUUCCUUAUAGAAGUGGAUGUGUGUGUGUGUGUGUGUGUGUGUGUGUGUGUGUGUGUGUGUGUGUGUAUGUGUGUGUGUGGGGGGGGGGGACUCCAAAAAUUUUGAAACAUGUUCCUCAAUGGUUCUUGGACAGUGAUUUUAACCCCUCUCCCAAAACCCUAACCCUAACCCUAGACCCUUAACCUAAUACCAGGGUAUUACCUAAAGGUUGACAAUUUUCCUUUGUUUUUGUUCUAACGUACUCCAAAAGGUUUGAAACAUGUUACUAAAAAGGUGUUGUACAGAGAUUUUAACCCAAACCGCAAAACUGUAACCCUAACCCGACCCCGGUAAUCUAAAACCUGGGUGUUACCUAAAGAAAGUCCUAACAGCCCCCCAAAAAAUGUUGAUAUUUUUUUUAUUUCCAUCUAACUAAGUCCAACCGGUCUGAAACAUCUUCCUAAAAAGCUCUAGGACAGUGAUUUUAACCCUAACUCCAUAUCCCCAACCGUAGCCCUGUAACCUUAUACCCGGGUGUUACUUAAAGGAAGCCAUAACACCCCAAAAAAAAAAGUUUGACAUUUUUCCUUUUUAACCCUGACCUUAUAAUCCUAACCCUAGCACUUUAACCCAAUACCCAGGUGUUACAGAAAGGAAGCCUUGACACCCCCCAAAAAAGAUUGAAAUUUUUCCUUCGUUUUUGUUCUAAAGAACUCAAAAAGGUUUUGGACAAAGAUUUUAACUUUACCCGUAAAACCCUAACCCUAACCUGAGCCCCGUAUCCCGUAACCCAAUACCCGGGUAUUACCUAAAGAAAGCCCAAACACCCUCAAAAAAUUGAGGACAGGCUGCCGCGGGCCGGGGUUCCGCAAGCCGGCGACACGGCCGACACACUGAUUUCUGUGACACAAUAAAAAUAUUGGUUCAUUUCAAUCUCUGCUUCUGUGUAUCUGUUGCGUUUACAUCUAUGGCAAAGCAUGUGGACAUUUGUGUGACACGCCACUUACCCUUCGGCAGGCUGUCUGAGUCACCGCGGGUAGCAGCGACAAUCCCCCCCGCAGAGGCGCCCCCAAUAAUCGCCACCACCCGCUGCUCAAACGGCGUGAGGGUCUGCUCCCCCGGACCCCCACAUGUCUGGCCGGUACUCCUCCGGAGGGCAGCUGUACGCCACUUGACCUCCACCUUGAGGUCCGACCACUUUUUUUUAUCUCUGCGGGGGUGCAUGUCUCGGAACCCACCGCGUUCACCCUCUCGCAAACUUUCUCCCACUCCAAACGUUUUCGUUUUGCACUGACGCCACUGGACAGGCUGCCAAACAAAACACGCUGUUGCUCCUCCACUUCCGCCACCAGCUCCUCCACCUCCACCUCGCACGCCGUAUAUUUCGUUUUUCUUGUAAUUUUUUCUGCGUGCGAGGACAUUAUUAUUUAAAUAUGAUUUAUUUAUUUAAAUAAAUCUGCAUAUUUAUAGGUGGACAUAAUGGGGGCGGGCCCGGUCACUCCGACAUCUGCGCUCAAUUCCAAGCUGAUUGGGAUUUAUCAAGGAAACACACGUGGCUUUCAGCGCCCGCACACCUUGAUACAUACAAAUUUUCUUUUAGCGUGACGGACCUUGCCUCGUUUCCAGUAUGAGUCCCACGCAAGUGUUGAUACAUGAGGCCCCUGGUCAGUGAUUUUAACCCUGACCCUAUAAUCCUAACCUUAGCACUGUAACCUAAUACCCAGGUGUAACAGAAAGAAAGCCCCCUAAAAAGAGAUUGAAUUUUUUCCCCUCUUUUUGUUCUAAGGAACUCAUAAAGGUUUGAAACAUGUUUCUAGAGGUCCUGGACAGUGAUACCAAAUACCAUAACCAAAUACCCAGGUGUUACAGAAAGGGAGCCUUGCCCCCCCCCCCCCCCCCUUUUUUUUUUUUUUGUUCUAACAAACUCCAAAGGUUUGAAACAUGCUCCUAAAAAGGUCCUGGACAGUGAUUUUAACCCUGACCUUAUAAUCCUAACCUUAGCACUGUAACCGAAUAACCAGGUGUUACAGAAAGGUAGCCCUGACAUCCAAAAAAAACUGUCAUUUUUCCUUUUUCUAAAGAACACCAAAAGGUUUAUAACAUGUUCCUAACAAGCUCUAGGACAGUGAUUUUAACCCUAACUCCAUAUCCCUAACCUUAGCCCUGUAACUCAAUACCGGGUGUGUUCAGUGUAGUGACUGUAUGAGGGAAGAAGCUGUUCCUGAGUCUUUUUGUUCUUGUUUUGAUUGACCUGUAGCAUCUGCCCGAGGGCAGCAGGUCAAACAGGUGAAAGGCAGGGUGGGUGCAGUCUGUGAUGAUUGCCUGUGAUGAUUGCCUGAGCUUUGCUCAGGCAGCGGGAGGUGUGGAUGUCCCUCAGGGAGGGGAGGUGACAGCCGAUGAUCCUCUCUGCUGUCCUCACCACCCUCUGGAGCCCCUGCCGCUCUGCCUCAGUGCAGUGGGAGAACCACACUGUGUUGCAGUGCAGCAGGAUGCUCUGGAUGGUGGAUGUGUAGAAGGCUCUCAGCAGCUCCUCUCCAACAUUGUUCUUCCUGAGCAGUCUCAGGAAGUACAGGUGCUGCUGGGCCUUUUUGAUGACAGCUCUGGUGUUCUCAGUUCAAGAGGUCAGCUGAGAUGAUGGUGCCCAGGAGCUUGAAGCUGUGGACCCUCUCUACCCAGUCACCAUUUUUGCUGAGGGGGAGCAGCAGAGAUGUUCGUUACUGGAUAACUAAAUCACUCAAAGCAACCCUGAAUGAAAAGAAAUUAGCAUUUAACUCAGGAAACAAACAGGAACAUUCAAAACAGACUGACUAAAGAAAUAAAAACAGCCAAAAGAGCGUAUAAAGACAGGGUGGAGAGGCUUUUUAAAAACAGAAAGGCCAGGGAUGCUUGGCAGGGCUGAAAACCCUGCUGAUGUGGAGCACACAUUGAAGCGGACCGGACUACAUCUGUGGGCACCUGCUGAAAGUCUGCUGCAGCCAGCUUGCAGAAGUCUUCUGCUCAUUGUUCAACCGCUCUCUGGCUGAGCACUCCAUUAAUCAAUCAAUCAUCAAUCUGGAAGUCCUCCAUCAUCUGCCCUGUGGCGAAGUAGAGCAACCCUAGAACCAACGACAAUUUUCGACCUGUGGCUCUGACAUCAUUUGUCAUGAAGACCUUUGAAAGACUCAUCAUGGCCCAGCUGCAGGCUAAUGUAGAGCAGCACUCUGACCCACUGCAGUUUGCUUACCAGCCGCGCAGAGGGGUGGAUGAUGCUGUGCUCACCCUGCUGCAUGGUGCCAUCACCCACCUGGAAAAGCCCAAGUCCCACAUCAGCCUGGUCUUUGUGGACUUGUGGACUCUAGCGCAUUUAUCACCGUGCAACCACACCUCAUGGGACGCAAGCUGCUCCAGAUAAACGCUAACCCCCACCUCAUCCUCUGGGUCCUCUCCUUUCUCACAGGGAGAGAUCAGACGGUAAGGGUGAAUGGUCACCUCAACGCUAUUUGGACAAUAUCAACCAGCUCACCUCAAGGUUCGGUAUCUCUCCACUUCUCUUCACUCUGUACACUAACGACUGCAGGAGCACCACCCCAGGAAUAACCUACAUCAAGUACUCAGAUGACACAGUAACUGGACUCUUUCUCACUGUGGUGUAGGGAGAACUGUCUAGACCUUAAUGUAUCCAAGAUGAAAGAAAUUGUCAUUUACUUCCAUCAUGGCCACUCCACCACACCCUCACUCACAAUCAGCAAUGAAACAAUCGAAAAGGUCCCCUCAUAUAAAUAUCUUGGCUCCAUAAUAGACCAUAAACUUACAUUUUGACUCAAUACUGAAUACAUUUUUUCUUGCUAUUUUCUAUAAAUGUUUCAUUGAAUCUAUCCUCACAUUCAACAUCACUGCCUGGUUUGGCUCACUCACCCUUACUCACCGCAACACUUUUAAUAAAAUGAUCAAAAUCAGCAGCAAAAUCAUUGUUCAGGAAUAGCAGUCACUCACCACCAUCUACAACACCAGUCCUGAGGAAAGGCAACCAGAUCCCAGAUCUUCAGGGCGCAGGUACAGGUUGCUCUCACUGAGGACAAAGAGGGCCACCUCCAGCUUCCUUCCCACCUCCAUCCGCCUGUUAAACAGCUGAUUGCUACACAAUAUUGUAGAGGAGGACUAGUAUGAUUGACAUUUUGUUUUGAAUGUAUUCAUUGUUUUUAUUGUAUUUAUUAUGGACUCUAGAUUGUGAUCUGUGAAUGAACAUGUGCUAUGUUUUAUUUGUUUCUGCACUGGCGCUUUCUCUGCAAAUGAAGUUCCCAAUGGAUGAAUAAAGUUGAUUUCAAUUUGAAUUUUGAAUCAGCACUUUGUUUACUUCAUUAUCAGCUCUUUAUUAACUCCAAACCAUCUGUCUUCAUGGGUCACUCUUUCGAGGACAGCUGAAAAAAACUGAACCUUGCGGUACACCACAGGUGAUAGCAGAGGUAGAAGAUGUGUGAUUGCCUAUGGUGACUGCAAAGGUUCGCUCUAAAAGAUACGACUGAAACCAGCUAAGUGCAGUGCCCCUGAUACCCACCCAGUUUUAAGACUCUCAAUUAAAAUAGCAUGAUCGACUGUAUCAAAAGCUGCACUGAGAUCUAGAAGAAUUUAAAUUGAGCCCUCCCCUCUAUCUGCUGCUAAAAGAAGGUCAUUGGUCACAUGGAGGAGGGCAGUCUCAGUUCUGUGACCUGCUCUAAAACCAGACUAAAAUUUCUCAAAGAGGUUGUUUUCAGACAUAAAACCUAAAAACUGUUAAGACACCACCUGGUCUAAAAUUGUUAAAAUCAGAGGGGUCAAGGUUUGGCUUCUUUAAAAGGGGUUGGACCACAGCGUGUAUAUAAGAAGAGGGAAAUACUCCCUCUUCCAGAGAGCUAUUAAUAAUGGAUAAAAUGCUGGGCCCAACCGUGUUAAAAACUUCUUUGAGAAAUCUGGUGGGGAUAAAAUCAAGACUGCACGUAGCUGUUUUCAUGUGGGCUAAAAUAUCAAAUAAAAAGGUUAAGGACACUGGCUCAAAGCUGCUAAAACAGUGCUGAACUUCCCUACUUAUGAAUACAGAGAGACUGGGAGGAGCGAUUUGAUGUCUGAUAUCCAUAACCUUGUUAACAAAAUAAGUUAAAAACUCCUUGCAGGUGUCUUGAGAAGCAUCAGUAAAAUAAGAGGGAGAGGGGUUUGAAAGUGACUCUAAAACCUUAAAUUAAACUCUGGGGUUCGAAUAAUUAGCUAAAAUCUAAUCAGAGUAAAAUGCUGUUCUUGCAUCUUUAACUGCCGUCUGGUAUUUUCUCAUGGAGUCUCUCCAGAUUUCAAGGUAAACCACCAGACCAGUUUUCCUCUAUUUACAUUCAUUUCUUUGACAUAUUCUCUUGAGUUCAUGUGUGGACUCUGUAGGCCAUGGCUGGGGUUCUUUGUUUCAUCUUUUCUUUUUCAGAGGAGCUACAGAGUCCAGGAUGGUUCCACAUAUAGUGUUAAAAAGAGAGACAAGCUCUUCAGUGUUAAAAUCUGAAUUCAAAUCUGGGUUGAGGGCAGUUAAAGAUGCAGCGAUAAAAAGCCCCGAAAACUUGCUAGCAGACGAUGCAUUAAAAACCCUUCUGUAAACAGGAGUAUGAUCAGUGAAAGAAGGCUGGGAUAAAACCGUGGAGAAUAAAACCAGUUUGUGAUCUGACACACAGAUAUCCUUAGUUAAAAACUCCCCAGGACUAAGUCCGGUAAAUAAAACUAAAUCUAGGCAAUGUCCCUUUACAUGAGUUGGUUCCUGUAUUGCCUGGGUUAGAUUAAAAAAGUCCAGAGUUUCAAUAAAAUCAACAGUCAAGGGUUGUGAGGGACAACAGACGUACAUUAAAAUCACCCAAAAUAAGAAGUUUGUCAUAUUUACAAAUAAAAAGUGAUAGAAACUCUGAAAUCUCCUGAAUAAAAACAGCGUUGUGUUUGGGUGGUCUAUGCAUGAUUAAAUAUAAAACAGAGUCUUUCAGUUAACCAAUAAAAGCAAGGUGCUCAAAAGAAUUAAAAGUGCUGAAGGUGAUGGGGGUGCAUUUAAAAUCCUUUUUGUAUAUGACAGCCACCCCUCCUCCCCGGCCUGACUGCCGGGGCUGAUGGAGGUGAGCAAAAUCAGGGGGGGUGGCUUCGAUGAGAGCAAUAUAAUUGCCUGGAGUCAGCCAAGUUUCAGUUAGAAUGAAAAAGUCCAAGCUGUUUUGUGCAAUAAAAUUGUGGCAUAAAAAUGUUUUGUUGUUGAGUAAUCUUAUGUUUAUAAGUCCAAAGUUUGCAGGUUUGCUGUUAAAAGUAGGGCAAGGUAGCCGAGGAAGCAGGGGAAUGUAUAUGAAAUUGGAGGGGGUACAAUUUCUGGCAUGAGGGCAGGGUGGACGUGAGGAUGAGGUGUGAACUGGGAUUAAAGAUUCACUGAAGGUAGUGAAGUGAGGUGGCAGAGCGAGGUGUGGGUUGGCAGGUGAGUGGGCGGGACUUAUGAGAGUGCUUUGGGAUGACUAGAGGUUAUUGUGUGGAGGUAGGGGAAUGGCCUGUGUGGGAGAAAGUGGGCUGCUGAAUGCAGGCUGUCAGACAGGUGAGGAGUGGAUCAAGUACUGGUUGUUGCAUGGAAGCAUUUGGCUACCAAGCCUGUUGGGGUGGAUUCCAUCAUGUGUGAAAAGUGAAGCUUGGUUUAAACAGAUUAAAAUUGUCAAUAAAACAGAAGUUGUAGGUGGGGCAUGUGGACUGAAGCCAGGUAUGGAGGCUGAGAAUACUGCUAAAAUGUUUUGCUCCCCGACUGAGAGUGGGGAUCGGGCCAAAGAUAAAAAUGGACUUUCCAGUGUCCUUUAAAAUGUUAAAAAACAAGUUGAAAUCACUCUUUGUGAUUUCGGACUGUCUAUGGGAAGUGUCGUUUGAGCCGAUGUGGAGCACAAUCUUAGAGACGGAGAGGGUAGAGAGGGGAGUAAAUGGAGAAGUUUGUCCAGGAUGCAGGAAUGGUGGUGCCAGGUAAACAGUGAGUUAUGGCAUUGAAAAAUCUGAUGUACCUGGUUACGGACUCUCCGAGAAUGAGUGUAGUUGGGGGAAAGAGAGGAGGAGAUGAUGUGCGAGUGCUGGAGCCUGUAGAUGUUGAAUGCUCCACCUGCACUGAGGAUGGCAGUAGUUGAUGGCGGUGGGCAGGCGCAGAUGUAGCAGGUGGAGUGAGGGUGUUUGAGGCCCCACGGGAACCCUUCCAAGCAUCUGAAGACAGCCUCCCUGAGCAGCCUGCAGUGCAGCAUCUCGGUCAAGCCUGGUCUGUGCUGGUCAUCCCUUGAGCCGCCACGGAGAAGGAGGGAGCCCCCUUCCCUGGAACUGGGUACAGUAGAGAAGAUAGAGCUGGAGCAGCAACAGGAUCUGUGGCAGCCUCAUCCCUCAAGACUGAGAAACAGUUAGAGAGGGAGAGACGUGGUGGUGAAGGAGCUCUCCCUGCUGCGAAUGACCUCCGGCCGCGAUGCACCACCUCGGACAAGGUUGGUUGCACCAGCGGCUUCGGGGUAGAGCUGUGGGCAGGGUGCGCUGAGAGUCUCACUUCCAUGCCAGCGUCAGGAACACCCGACUGCCCGCCGGCAUUGUGCUGUGCCGCACACGAGCAGGCCGGAGGCUGCAGGGUCCUCAGCCAGCCCAUUGGGAGAGUGCAAGGAGGCCAUCCAGGGCAGAGUGGCAGCGGAGGCUAAAACCAGCUGUGGUGCCAAAGCCGAAGGCAAAAGGCCGGUAAUCCUGGAAGCCUGCAUCAGGAAUAUGUGUUUUGCUUGCGCUGAUGCUAUGGAUAUGAAGCCCUCCAGCUGCCUAUCCUUUUCAUGGAGGUCAUUCUGCAGAUGGCAAAGCUUUUCUUCCAACUGUGAGUUUUUAUCUUUGCAGUAAAUGCACAAAGCCAUUUCAAAUACCCACUCUUCUGGGUCUUGUAAGGAGUUGGUGCCAAAAAAAGAUGGUGGACAUGCCACUGUCCCAGUCCAAAGACUUAACAAACAUUAGGUUAGCAUUUAAACAAGAUAGAUUAUAUUUGUCCCACCUACAAUUACACAAUUCACUCAAUGUUAAUGGAAACAAAAUAUUCAGGCAGAAAUGUUUAAACCAUACAUAUAACAAGGAAAUGACAACAUAAAACACUUCCCCUCAAUUGGAAUGAGAUUCAGAUUAAGCUUAACAACAAUGUCCACUACCAACCUCUUUUGCCUCAUAGAUUAUGCAGCAUGGCUUAAGGUUGACUUACUUUGGCAAUGGCUGCUUCUUCAGGAGGGUCACACAUCGUGAAGUUCAGAAUGAUAGAAUCGUCAGAUGCUGCUAAGCAUGAUGAUGAUGAUUACAACAGAGAAGCAUUUGUGCAUUGAGGAAUAUAAGCAAAACAGAAGCAUAUUGGAUGGAAUUGGUAUUACUCCCAUCCCAAACUUUAAUAUGAACACAUUUGUGAAUGGUCAGUAAUUACCACAUUCUUUAUUGCACAACAUGAGUUGGAAAGUUCCACUGUCCUUUUUCUUCAAAGACCACUUUGUCAACUUCUGUGUCAGAUUGGUCAAAUAUUUUCAUACCUAGCUGCUGACUUUCUUGUAUGUUAAAUUUUAGGCACACUGGAGAAAGGAAGGAAAGAGAAAAGGAUGUUAAAGAAAUUGUAACAAGACUGAAAGACCAUUUCCAUCUGAUGAGAGUCAAAACCAUAACUAAGUGGAGUGAGCCUCAUGUCGUAACACAUUGCUGUUGAGUCAAAACUUAAGCCAAUAGGUAAUUACCAUGCAUUUAAUGGCCCAGCAGAAAAAAAAAACAAAUCAGGAAGUUGAGAAGGAAUGGUUUAUGUUGUCAUGUGUAUUAACAAAGUAAAAGUCAUGAUAUUCUUUUAUCAUGAACUCACUAACCUUCUUUCAGCAUAGCAACCUAACAUACUUCUGCUCCCCAAUGAAUGAAACACGCAGCAGAAUAUUCUAGUCAAUAAACAAAGGUAAAAAUGACAACCAAGAAAAAUUUGUUGGACAAAGAUUGUUACCUAUUAACAAGCUUACAAUGUUCCACAACCUGAGCCUACUUACCAACUAUGGUCCACGCUUUACACUCACUUGUGACAGCGUGAUUACUGUGAACAACAAGGCAAAGUUUUUUAUUUUAUCUUAACGAAAUGGCUUUAAAGUAAAAGUGCUGUUUGAAUAAAUGAUUUGUAAUUUGUUACAGGGAUAAUAAUGGCUCUUUGCCUUUCACCUAGCGUAUCUUGACUGAAAACCAUGAUAAGAGCCUUCAAUCUAGUGCCCCAGCUCACGUCUCUGUGGCACCGUGAACCAAAUGCGUCCCUUAACGCAUCCCUUAAUGCGUAAAUUCCAUUGACUGUGUAUAGAAUAAUAUACAGUGUAGUUAAAAUUUUACAUUCUGUAGGUGCAGCUUCUCAAGAAUGUCGACCUUCUGAACUGAAAGCAAGUUGCUAGUUGUAUGUGACCCGACAGACAUUCAACAGAGUGACAUGUCCUCAAUCUGUCAGAUCUGUGUUUAGGUGGAAAACAAUUAUUAAAUGAUGUUACGAACACCAGAAUGUGAAUGCUACUUACCCGACCAUGGCACGACUCCAAACUAACCUCCCAUAAUGUGCUGCCGGGAAGUUCAAGGCGUCACUCAGAAGAGUUAAAGUCUUCACCUCAUGCUUUCAAGAUUUUACGCUGACCUUUAACUCUACUCUUAGAGUGGGUCUACUCUCCAUGAAGCUGUUAAUACUCUAUCUAGGUUAAAACAGGUUGAGUCUGAAAUAUUGACACCCCACUUUUCACUGUGUGCCUGUUAACAUCAGUCAAUUAGCUGCACCUGUAUGCUUAGCGAGUGGCCAUUGGCUGAAAGCAUGUCAGUGUCUUUUAAUCUCAAAGUGCAGAUUACUUUACACUGUCAGCUGAGCUGUCAGUCUAUUGAAGCACAAAACCUAAUCCCCCUAUCAGGUAAAAAAGUGUGUAAUUACUCUACCUCAGCUCAACUCAAGAUGAAACACAAAUUACAGGAGGGUUAAAUAUGUAUAAGAUUAACAAGAUCAAACAGGCGGGCAAAAUAAAUAGUAAUAACAAAAUAAUGAUCUGUGUUAUUCUGCAGCUGUCCUAUUUAAAUGUCUGUAUGUGUCUCUGUUUGUGUACAUGUGCAGCCUGUUUGUGUGUUUGUGUGUGCUUCUGUGCCCCCCCCCCCAUAUUGCAUAACAGCUGCUGUUCUCUGCAGUCACUCUACUAAGUUACAUAACACAGUCUCAUGUUCAGAGUUUAAUCCAGCUUGAACACUCCAUGGUGGGUAUUCCAGCCUGUCCUCGCUCUGCACUGAGAGCAUCUCACACAUACACACACACACACGCACACACUCACACAGAGGUUAGAUUCACAAUAGCGUGUCUGAACUCUGCAGGUUAUCAUUGAUCUCUUUGUACAAACUGCAGAAUAAUCCACAGAAAACUAUCAGAGACCAAAUACUUAUUUCUAACAAAUUCUUUAAAAAGCAUUUGUAUUCAGGCACAAGAAAAACAGCCACCGUCGGAUGUGUAACGUCAAGGGAUGAGCGGGAAUACAGGACUGUCAUCACUGACUUUGUCAACUGGUGUGGCACAAACUACCUCCAGCUCAAUGCCAGUAAGACAAAGGAGAUGGUAGUGGAUUUCCGCAGGAGGAGGACACCUCAGACUUUUCCGGUGAACAUCCAGGGUCUGGACGUCAAGAUGGUGGAGUCCUAUAGAUUUCUGGGUGUCCACCUCAACAAUAAACUGGACUGGUCAACCAGCACAGACGUCCUGUACAAGAAGGGCCAAAGUCGUCUCCACCUGCUGAGGAGACUGAGGUCCUUUGGAAUGUGCAGGACUCUGCUCAGGACUUUCUAUGACUCUGUGGUAGCAUCUGCACUUUUCUAUGCAGUGGUCUGCUGGGGGGCAGGGAGCACCGAGAGGGACAGGAAGAGACUGAACAAACUGGUCAGGAGGGCCAGUUCUGUCCUGGACUUCUCCUUGGACUCCCUGGAGGAGGUGGGUGAGAGGAGGAUGUUAGCAAAGCUUGUAUCCAUCAUGGACAAUCCCUCUCACCCACUGCACCAGACUGUGGGGACCUUAAGCAGCUACUUCAGCAGCAGACUGAGACUCCCACCUUGCAAGACGAAGUGCUACCGCAGGUCAUUCCUCCCUUCUGCAAUAAGACUUUACAAUGAACUGUAAUAAAACUGGACUCACACCACCACUUUUUUACUGGCAUUUAAAUUGUGUAUAUUAUAUAUAGUUUUAUUUUUCUUCUCCCUUUUUCCUUUUCCUAAUUUUGUUUCUUAAUUAUUCAAUUUAUUUAAGCUCUUAAUAUUACGAUCUUUAUUUGUAAUAUUUAUCUGUAUUUUUAAAUGGUUCAAACAGACUUUUUCAUAUUGUGUGUGUGUGUCUGUCAGGCACAACCACACAACAGACCUCUGCUGGUGAGAGUGUGUUCACCUGUGUGUCUGUGUGUGUUCAUGUGUGCAUCAGGGAGAAACUCCGCUUUGCACAAUUUAUAGAGCAAUGUAAACAAGCAACCAUGUAGAGACAGAAAUUAGUUGCUGUCGUGUAAAUAAGAUAAACGACAACAAACUAUUUCGUUUUUUUAUUAAAUACAAGGGCAAGCCCGUAUCAGCGUGUUCUACAUGAAAGGUAUCCUUAUGACUUUUGUUAUCUAGAAAAAGAAAGAACUAAAUCUUAUUUUGAGUAUCACUGGUUGUUUUGAAGCCAGAAGCUCUAAGCAGUUUAGGAUUAUUUUUGUCAUAUUUUUUUGUAAACAUAACAUUGUAUUUCCAAAUAAAUUCAUUGGAUAGACAGUCAGUUCUUGUCUUAUAAGCAGCAGAGAAACUUAAACAUUUGGCAGAAAAAACGCAAAUGCAAUUACAAAUGAAAUCACUGUUGUCAACAUAUCAUUGCAUGUAACUGUGUUUCAAUCAGUGGGCGUUAACCUUUAUAGAACAGUAAAUUUGCAUUGUACUAAAAUGUGUUCAUUUUCAAAGGGCAUAAAUGCCCAUUGACAAGGAAACAGGUGCAUCCCAUUUUUUUUCAAGAUUAACAGUAUUGAUAUUGAAUAUAACUUUUGUUCUGCUAGAUCUCUCUAUCAGGGGUUGAUAAAGUUUAGUACUUGGCAUUCUGUGCAUUAGAAAAAACUGUGCUUUUAAGUAUUAUUUGUUUUUCUACUGUCUGUUCAGCGUCCUCCAACAAGGACAGGUGGUGGUGGGGUUUAUAAUGUUCACAAUGGUAUUUUAUUAGUUGUUGGUUUAUCUAAGGUUGAAGUAAUGGCUGUUAUGUUAUUUUCUUUUCAGUGAUGUUCCUUGUUACAUGUUCAUUGCUAGAUUUAUGGAAAAAACAUCAACCAAUCUUGCGUAUCCAUAAGCAAAAUAAUGGAUAACUAAAGAAGACUUACACUUACUCAACAUAAAUAAGAAGUGCAGCACCAAAAAAAAAGGAUUUUUACGCCUAUUUUUAAUUUUACUCAAAUACAAAUACAAUCUCCCCCCCCCUCCCCCCAACAAAUACAAAUACAAAUACCAUCUGUGUGGCACUCCCCUAUUUAUUACCAUCACCCCUGAACUUUAAAUGGUAACGACAGGGGGAGAGGACCUGCUGCCUGGUCUAGAGAUCCUGGUACAUAAACUGCUCUGAGUGAGGAUGGCAUGUGAAGGCCCAAAGCAAGGGCUCCUGGACCAACUCAAGACACUGUCCCUUUGGGACUCUGUGAGCAUCUUGCUAUUCCACCAUAGAAGGUGGGCUAACAAAUAUGACUUUGUUAAGGGAUAGGAACACUUUACAUAGCAGUCCCUCUUUGGCUGGAGGUUGACAGCAUUCAGCCACUACUGCAGCUAAGAUUAACCCCAGCAGUACCUGAAAGUGAACCAGCUUCAGGCAUCAGCCUGCUAGAAAGGUGUCCAAAGUCUCCAGAAUCCAGGCUACCCUUUGAGGGGUAAAGGAUGCCCUCAUUGUAAGGGAAUUCAGACAGACCCAAAAAAGAUUGUUUCUUUCAUUGCUCGAGGUUGCUUUUUGAAGUUUACCUCAAAGCCAAGGGAUGUAACAUGGGCGAGGACAGAAAAACCAGCAGACAAUCCUCAGGACACAAAGCACCUGCACUAUAAUGUGACAGAUAACUGGUUUUGGCAUGCACACUUCCUGGUCCUAGAAGGGCUGAGAAAAGCAAAGAGACUUUCAAAAGUGGACUGGAGGAACUUCCACUGCUGCUACAAAAUAAGGACAUAAUAAUAAUAAUAAUAAUAAUCAUCAUCAUCAUCAUCAUCAUAAUAAUCAUAAUGCAUCAGAUUUUAGAGCCCUUUAUCAGAGACCCUCAAAGCACUUUACAUUGGAUACGUCAUUCAUUCGCUCACACAGUCACACCCUGGUGGUGGUAAACUACUUUAGUAGUCACAUCUACCCUUGGGCAGACUGACGGAAACAUGGCUGCCAGUUUGCACCUACAGUCUCUCCGACCACCAGCACACAGCACUCACAAUCAUACACCAGUGGAGGACAUACACUGGGAGCAAGGUGGGUCAAGUGUCUUGCCCAAGGACACAACGGACAGACUAGGGAUAGGAGGGAAUUGAAUCACCAACCUUCCAGUUAUUGGACGACCACCUUACCUCCUGAGCUACUGCUGCUCUUUGAGAUCAAUAACCACUCCCUUGGUUUCACCAACUCCGUGAUAUGCUUUGUGUGUUGCAUCUCGAAAGGCAAUAUGUCAAAGCAAUUAUUUAGGCAUCCUAAAUCUAAAUUGGGCGAUGUCCCCAUCUUUUUUUGGGCACCAGAAAAUAAGUGGAGUAAAAGCCAUUGUGUCAUUUGCAGGGACUGAAGUUUCCCAUAACUUUUCGAAAAGUGUUGCAAUGGCAGAUUGGAAUGAGUGCCUCUCCCUUGCAAGACGCUGCCCUACCAUCCCCUGGUGUCUAAAUGCACGCUGCGCACAAGCUGUAGUAUGCAGAGACUUUUCAGCUUUAUCAAACACACUUCGAACAAUCAAACACAAGGCACUCGCUCAAUAAUGUGACAGAUUACUGGUUUUGGCAUGCAAACUGGUCUCAGCUUACAAAAAAGGCAAGAGGAAGAGGCAGCUGCCCAGAUGCUGGUAUCUGAAGGGUCAGCCCUUUAAAGUCAGUCAUAUGAGUCUGUUGAUAUUGUGGUCUUGAUGAUAGGAAAAAUGAUUGCAGUGUCUAUUUUUCUGUGUUUACCACAAAGGUUGGUAAAUGUAGAGCAACGUGUUCAUGGUGUAAAAGAACCAUUGAAGAGAAGACUGGGACAAUGUUGAGCUUUAACUGACACCAGUCCAGGAUGCACCCAGAGAAGUGAGUAGAUGGCGAUGCUAUUGUAACCUAACCAACACAACAUAACAAUUCAAGUAUUUUUGAAAGAUUACUUCUGUCAGAAUAAUUUGUAUAAAUGUAUAUAGAAGUAAUCAUUUUACUCAUGUUCUUAUGUAAGAGUUUACUAAAAGUAUGAACUGUUUUGACCUCUUGUUACACAUCAUAUAAGAGUGUUUUCUAACUUCUCUCUCCAAUAGCUUUAUUACACAGCACAUGAAUGUUUCUUAACUUCUCUGCGACCUUGUUUCUCCUAUCAGCAGGUGUGUGUGUGAUGUAGCCUCCACUGUGAAUCGUGGGAAGUAAUGAGGAGGACUAUCUCUGCCCAUUCUCCUCGCGAGUAAGAAAUCUAAACCAUUGUCUUUCUCUUCUAUAUGUGUUUUCAGUCAUUUUUUGCAGGUUUUAGACCCAACAACUUCUAACAGAAUGCAAUCAGCAACUUAGGGCUCUAUUUUCGUGCCCGCCAACGGCACGGCUGACGAUGCAUGGUGCACCCCAUGCAGUGGUAUUUCCAUCUGGCAGAGCCCGGUGCACAGCCAGUUUGGUAUUUUCAUAGACUGAGGCACACAGAGGUGUACCAAGGUGGGUGUGGUGGCGGGGCAAGGGGAGGUGUCGACAGAAUCACCUAGCGCAGUGACAUAUUUGUGCUCGCCGCCGGCGUAGAAAGUAUGCUGAAAGCUUGCCGAUUCAAACCUAGUCAGCUUUCAGUGUGUAUUUUGGUAGACCAGCAGCGUAGUGUGCAUACGUCGCUGAUGCCUCACAGGCAGGUUUCCACAGUGUCAGGCACUUUUCAGUGCAAUAAAUAGUCAACAACAACCAAUAUUUAGUGCAACUUUCUCAGUCAGAACAUACACUUAGAUCUAUAUAAAUAUAUUCUGAUCUAUUUCUUCUCUGAUGAGCACAUUUGGCACGUGUUUGGACACUCAACCUGACCAGAAGUGAACAAGAUAUUUAAUUUGUCUACCCCUUUUUCUUUCUUCCCUGCUCAGCUCAAUCCAGACAUGUCUCCCCUGCUGCUGCGGUGGCAAGGCUGACCAGGGGCCUCAUGUAUCAACACUUGCGUGGAACUCAUACCAGAAACGAGCGCACGCAAGGUCCGUCACGCUGUAAAAAAUCCGUAUGUAUCAAUGUGUGCGGGCGCCGAAAUCCACGUGUGUUUCCUUGAUAAAUCCCAAUCAGCGUGGAAUUGAGCGCAGAUGUCGGAGUGACUGGGCCCGUCCCCGUUACGCCCUCCUAUAAAUAUGCAGAUUUAUUUAAAUAGGGUCUCCCUGUCCUCGCACGCAGACAAAAUGACAAGUAAAACUACAUUUACGGCGUGCGAGGUGGAGGUGCUGGUAGGGGAGGUGGAGGAGCGACAGCGUGUUUUGUUUGGCAGCCUGUCCAGUGGCGUCAGUGCAAAACAAAAACGCUUGGAGUGGGAGAAAGUUUGCGAGAGGGUGAAUGCGGUGGGUUCCGAGACACGCA